rnacentral:lncRNA from 1 species
AACUAAAAUAAUGCAAAAAUCAGGUGGGUUCUGCUACCAUUUUACUCAUUUAUGCAUAUUUUAGGUGGAUUGUAAGUUUUAUUAAUUAUCAUCAUCAUCAUUGUAUUUAUUACUGUUAACAAUAUUAUUAUUAUUCAUUUUUUUAUUCUUGUUAUUGUUAUUAUUAUAAUAGAUGCAAAUAAUACUAAGUGCAACAAUUAACAAAGAAUAUAUUAGUAACUUAUAACAGUUUAUUUUAAUUUCAAAAUAAAAUAAACACAUGAAUGAGAGUACAGUUCGUUCCAAUUUCGAUUCCUAUAUCUUAAGUAAAUAACUUAUUUUGAUUACUUAUUUAAUUUCAACCAAUUCCGAUUAUCAAUUAAUGAAUGCACCAUGAAAAUAUAUCCUCUAUUUAUAAAUAAAGAACCUCAGUUAUGGUGGGAGAUUAGAUCUAAAGCAAUCCCAAUCCUUUGUUAGCACGUGAUUUUGUUAGAGAUUUGGUUUAAUCUUCGUUGUGAACCGUUUUUGAUAUUUGCACUUAUCCAACGGUCGAAGGCCUUGUUUCCGUUACGAAUCAAAGUGUUAUCAGGACACUUUUAUUAUUUCCGUCUGAUAUCAAAUUAACGAUACAUGACGCAUUUUAGGUGGUUUGAUGUUAUUGCUGGUAUUAAGGUCAGUAGGCAGUCGUCAAAUGUAACCUAUGCACUCUUUCUUUUAAUCUUUUAUUUUCAUGGGCCAAAGGCUUUUGGCUAAUAAAAACGAAGCGCAUUUCUUUUAUGUGUAUUAGGCAUUUAAAAAAAAAAAGAUAUUCACCUCAACUUUGUCUUCUUAUCAAAAAUAUUAUUAAAAUUUUACCCCAAAUUUAUAAUUUGUAUCAUCUGUCAACCAAAACAUCAAAACAUUUACAUUGUUAUGUUGUUUAACAAAUUCUAAGUAAAAAGUACAUCUUACCCUUGAAUUUUGAGAAAUUAUCAAUCAUUCACCAAAACGUUAACUGCCGUUUAUAAUUGAUGACGUCACACGAGUAAUUUAGACAUUUAACAUGUUAAAUAAAUUAGUUUAAAAUAAAAAUAAAAUCCAUUUUAUAUAACCAAUAUUCAACUAAAUACACUUAACACUCUAAUUUCUUCAUUAAUUGAAAAAAAUCUAAUUUAUCUUCUCAAUUAUCUUUACAAAUUUGAAAUUCAAACUUAAUCUAGAAAUUACCCUAAACCCUAAUUCAUAAACACCUAAUCAAUCCAACACUUAAAUUCGAUUUCAUAAACACCCAAUCAAACCUAAUUUAUAUUGUCAUAGACACCAUUCCCGUUGAUCGUUGCUGCUACUACCUCUUCUCUCAACCUCGUGGAUAGCUGCAACCACCACAAGACUCCUCAUUAGCCGGUCUUCAUAGCCCAAUGCAUACUUUUGUCCAUUAUAGUAGUUAGCUGAAGGAUCUAGUGAUGGAGGAUGUAGGUGAUGAAAGAUUUGAACAAUUUCUGCGUUGCUUUUAUAAACUCUAAAAAUUUAGACAAAGAGAAGAUAAGGAAGAAGAUAGUGAGAUGUAUUUUAUUUUACGUCAUUGACGAAGGGUUUGAUACAAAUUCUAGUUAGGGAUCAAAAUUGUCAGUGGAUUUUGUUUGAAACAAAGAUUUUCCAAGGUUUGAUGGGUUUUGAUUUUUUUUUUAAAUUUAUUAUUUAUGGUGCAAAGCCACAAAUGCCCUUGAAUUCAAGGUAAAAUGGUCAUUUUACUUAGAUUCUAUUAAAUUCAAGCUAUAGUGUGGAAAAAUAAACAAAUUCAAACGUUUAUAGUAUUUUUAAUAAUAGAGUAAACUUAAGGCGAAUGACUAAUAAAUACACAAAUUCAAACUUUUAUGGUAUUUUUAAUAACAAAGUAAAAUUAAGGUAGAUGACCGACAUUUUUCUUUUAAUUUUUAUUUAUUGUGUUAGAUGUCUAAAUUACCCUUUUGACAUCAUCAAUUAUAAAUAGCAAUUAACUGUUUAAUGGAUGGUUGAUACAAUACAAAUUUUAGGUUGGAAAAUUGGACAAAUUCAAAUUUUUAUAAUAUUUUUGAUAAGAGGGUAAAUUUAAACUGGAUAACUUAUUUAAAAAAGAAGAAGAAGAAGCAUUUUUCAUUGUUUUGGAAAAAGAAGCUAUUGGUGAAGAAGAAUUGAAAUGGGGAAAAUUCGAAGGUUAGAGUUUAUGAAAAAUUAAAGUUUGGGUCUUUUAAAACUUGAUUUGAUGCGUUAUUUUGGAGUGUUUUCAACGUUAAUUUCAUUUAGGAAGACCGUUGAAGGUGGAAGUGUAGAGAGAGAAUGUGUUUUUGGAGUGAAAGAAGUCUAUAAAUUAAACAUACAUGUUCGAUUUCUCACCAAAGGGAGUAAGAUUUCCAUCUUUGUAUCCAUAUUUAUGUUGAAUUUCAUGGAACAAAGAUAAUUUAUGGAUUUGUGUACUGUUGAGUUUGAACACAAACAGAAGCCAAAAGAAACUCCACGAAUGAAGCAAAGAUCCAAGAACUCACUUACAAGAUCAGAAACCUGAUCUUGAACACCAACACCAGACACAACAAUUCAAAGGGAAAAACUAGCACUCUUUUAUUACUCAAAAUGAUUACAAAUCUGUCAAGUUUCGUAGAAGAAAUUACAAGCUUUACAAGGACACCAGAAUCACUCAAAUUGGAUGAAAAAUGAAAGAGAAAUGUGAACCAUAUCAGAUGCCACAAGUCAGCUCUGUUUAUAAAGCAUUUUUCUGAGAAUUCCCAGAGACUGCUAACAAACAUAACGAACUUUAAACACGUCAGCAACGAGUUUGCACAUUGGUCCUCAAACUUAAGUCAAUCUGCACGAAAGCCACAGAAGUCUUAACUCUUAGCAUUUAACCCCCUAAAACAGAAACUGAUUCUUCACAAUCUCCACCUUGCAGACUUGAUUCAGUUUGACUCUUAACCAUAAAAGUUGCUUCAAAAAACCUCUUUAAGCACACAGCCUUUAAGCACACAGCUUAUCUCUUGAUUACACAAAGUAAUCACUGUAAAUUAGCCAUGAUUCCCAUCAAGUUUACACAAAACUUGAACUUAGCAGUGGGAACUACUUUUGUAAGAGCAUCAGCAGGAUUUAUAUCAGUGUGUAUUUUGUUCACUGACACAGCACCUUUAGAUACUUCAUCUCUAAUGAAAUGGAGUCUCACAUCAAUGUGCUUAGUCCUUUCGUGAUAGAUUUGAUUUUUAAUAAGGUGGAUGGCACUUUGAUUGUCACAGAAAAUGGUGAAAGUUUUCUGCUUUAACCAAAGCUCAUUCAAAAUCCCACCAAGCCACUUUCCCUCUUUUACUGCCUCUGUUGCAGCAACAAACUCAGCCUCUGUAGAAGACAAGGUGACCACAUAUUGAAGAGUUGCUUUCCAGCUGAUCAGACAGCCAUUCACCAUGAACAAGUAGCCUGAGAUUGAUUUCCUCCCAUCCAAAUCCCCUGCAAAAUCUGAGUCUACAUAUCCCACUAUACUUUUCUCAUCCUGCUUUGACCUUCCAUAUAGCAGACCAUGAUCUGGAGUACCUCUAAGGUAUCUCAUAAUCCACUUAACAGCAUCCCAGUGCUCUUUUCCAGGAUCACUCAUGAAUCUGCUAACAAGACUAACAGCAUAAGCAAUAUCAGCCCUAGUACACACCAUUGCAUACAUGAGGCUCCCAACUGCCUGAGCAUAUGGAACUUCACUCAUCAAAGACUUAUCUUGAUCUGUAACAGGAGCUUGCAUUUUUGAAAGUUUGAACUGAGAUCCAAGUGGUGUCUGAACAGACUUUGCAUCCAACAUAUCAAAUCUGUCAAGAACCUUUAGGAUGUACCUCUCUUGACUGACAAAUAUAGUUCCAGCAGCUCUAUUCCUUAUAAUAUCCAUCCCAAGGAUCCUCUUAGCACAUCCAAGAUCCUUCAUUUCAAAUUCUGCAUUCAACAGGUCUUUGAGCUUCUUGAUCUCACUUCUAUCUUUGCUAGCAAGUAGCAUAUCAUCCACAUACAGCAAAAGAUAAACAGCUCCACCUGAAUUUGAGCUUCCAGAGUACACACAGCUAUCAUAUUUGCUUCUGAGAUAGCCCUUGGAGAUCAUGAACUCAUCAAAUCUCUUGUACCAUUGUCUUGGAGACUGCUUUAGUCCAUAGAGAGAUUUGUUUAAAUGACAAACAUGAUAUUCUUUUCCUUUGAUUUCAAAGCCCUCUGGUUGUGUCAUCAAAAUUUCUUCCUCAAGCUUCCCAUGUAGAAAAGUUGUCUUCACAUCCAUCUGAUCAAGCUCCAUAUCAGUUAGAGCUACCAUUGACAGUAGCAUCCUUAUGGAGCUAUGUUUAACCACAGGAGAAAAAACCUCAGUGAAAUCCACACCUUCCUUUUGUGUGAAACCUCUAGCAACUAAUCUAGCCUUGAAUCUUGAAGCUUCAGCUCCUGGAAUUCCCUCUUUUCUUUUAAAAAUCCAUUUACAGCUUACCAACCUUCUGUUGCCUGGAUCUUGAACAAGAGUCCAAGUCUUGUUUUUGUUUAAGGAAUCCAUUUCUUCUUCCAUAGCUUUGAUCCAGUUGCUACUGUCACUACCUUUCACAGCUUCUCUGUAGCUUGCUGGUUCUUCAAUAGCUAUUUCUUCUGCACUGUUAAGUGCAUAAGCUAUCAUCCCAGCAUAUGCAUAUCUGGAAGGUGGUUUUGUCUCCCUUCUAGCUCUGUCCCUUGCUAGCUGAUAGUCUUGUAGCUCAGUCACUGGAGUUCUUAAAUCAUCCACUUCAGACAUUUCUUGAAGAUCUUCUGGAGCACCCAUAUCUUGACCCUCUCUGUCACUGCUACUGGAUGACUCCACCUCAAUUCUGGAAUCCUUCCUUAUUGCAGCUUCUUUCAUUGAUUCAUCAGUAUAAGGGCUGAAGUCAAAGACAACAGAGUCAUUGUCUUCCAGCAUAGAUUCCUCAUUAAAUGUAACAUCUCCGCUGAUGAUGCAUUUAUGAGUGGCACCACACCAUACCUUAUACCCUUUCACCCCCUCAGGAUAUCCCACAAACACCCCCUUCAGAGCCCUUGAAUCCAGCUUUCCUUGCUUUACAUGCACAUAGGCUGUACAUCCAAAAAUUCUCAGAUGUUUGUAGUCUGCAGAUACACCAGUCCAAAUUUCUUCAGGAGUUUUGAACUUGAGAGCUGCAGAGGGACUCCUAUUAACCAAGUAACAAGCUGUAGUUAUAGCUUCAGCCCAGAAGCUUCUUGGUAACUUGGAGUUUAUGAGGAGGCAUCUAGUCUUAUCAAUGAGGAUUCUGUUCAUCCUCUCAGCUAAUCCAUUUUGCUGAGGGGUGAACCUAACAGUCUUGUGUCUGGUGAUUCCAUGCUUCUGACAAUACUCAUCAAACUCUUUAUUACAAAAUUCCAGUCCAUUGUCAGUCCUUAGUGCUUUCAGCUUCACCCCUGACUGAUUUUCAAGCAGAGCUCUCCAUAUCUUGAAUUUCUCAAAAGCUUGAUCUUUAGUCUUGAGAAUGUAUAACCAGACCUUUCUUGAGAAGUCAUCUAUGAAUGUUACAAAGUAUCUACCACCACUCAGAGAUGGCACUUGAGCAGGCCCCCAAAGAUCAGAGUGUGCAUAAUCCAAUACAGCUUUGGAUUUAUGCAAUCCCCUUUCAAACUUCAUUCUGUGGGCCUUCCCAAAAAUGCAAUUCUCACAGAACUUCAGCUCUUCAACUUUAUCUCCACACAACAGCCCCCUUUUGCUUAGUUCUUGUAAGCUUUUGGCACUCAUAUGUCCAAGCCUUAGAUGCCACAUCUUGGCUUUAUCUACAUCAGAACUAGCAUGCAAUGCAGACAGCACAGGUACUGAUGACCCUUCCAACACAUACAGUCCAUUAUUCUUGACUCCCUUCAUUACUAUACUGGAGUUUUUCAUUACCUUUAAGCCCCCAUGGUCAGACUUAAAGACAUAGCCUGAGCUAUCUAACAUGCCUAAGGAUAUCAGAUUCUUCUUUAAUCCUGGUACAUGCCUAACAUGUUCUAAGGUUCUUGUCAUUCCAUCAUACAUUCUGAUUUUGACAGAACCUAUACCCACAAUUUUACAAGCAUUGUGGUUUCCCAUUAAGACUCUACCUCCAUCUAUAGUUUCAUACUCAUGAAAGAGGGUUUUAUCAGGACUCAUAUGGAAAGAACAACCAGAGUCUAGAACCCACUGACCUUCAAUCUUUCCAUUUGAUGCCACCAGUAAGUCUGCACUUUGAUAACCUCCAUCAGAUGAUUCAUUAAAUGCUACAGCAACAUCUCCUGAUUUUUCUUUGCUGUCUCUCUUCUUCUCAGCACAGUCUCUGAUGUAAUGGCCUGUCUUUUUACAGUAGAAACAUUUUCUUCUUUUCAUUUUUUCUUUCUCAGACUCAUCUUCUUUCUUAAACUGAUUCUUGUUCUUCUUUUUCUUCUUAUCUUUCUUCUUCUCAGCUUUUGCCAUCAACCCUUCACCAGGGUUUUGAUCCAAAUCUCCAGAGUGCCUUUGUAUUUCUUUUGAACACAAGGAGGCCUUCACAUCUUCUAGUGUGAGAGUUGUCCUCCCAUAUAGCAUGGUAUCUACAAAACCCUCAUAGGAUUUUGGCAGUGAACUCAGCAAGAAGAAGGCUUUGUCUUCAUCACUUAUCUUGAUGCUUUCUACUCCUUCAAGAUCAAGAAUGAUCUUGUUAAACACAUCAAUAUGCUCCUGUAUUGACACACCUUCCUUCAUAAAGAAUGUAUACAGCCUUUUCUUUAAGAAGAGCCUGUGAGCAAGUGAUUUCUUCAUGCAUAGAGCCUCCACUUUGUUCCAGAUACCCAGAGCUGUUUUCUCCUCUGAGAUUUCUCUCAAGAUUGAGUCACUUAGACUCAAGAUCAGGGUACUGUGGGCUCUAUUGUGGAUCUGCUUCAUCUUUUCAUCAGAUCUUGAACUUCCAGCUGUUUCUGGAUCUUCUUCUUCCAAAGCUGGCUCCAGUCCUUGAUGAACAAGAAGUGCUCUCAUUUUCAUCUUCCAAAGUGAGAAAUCACCACCAAUGGUGAAUUUCUCAAUCUCGGGUUUUGGAAGUGACAUUGUUGUGAUCCCCCUAGGGCUCUGAUACCACCUGUUGAGUUUGAACACAAACAGAAGCCAAAAGAAACUCCACGAAUGAAGCAAAGAUCCAAGAACUCACUCACAAGAUCAGAAACCUGAUCUUGAACACCAACACCAGACACAACAAUUCAAAGGGAAAAACUAGCACUCUUUUAUUACUCAAAAUGAUUACAAAUCUGUCAAGUUUCGUAGAAGAAAUUACAAGCUUUACAAGGACACCAGAAUCACUCAAAUUGGAUGAAAAAUGAAAGAGAAAUGUGAACCAUAUCAGAUGCCACAAGUCAGCUCUGUUUAUAAAGCAUUUUUCUGAGAAUUCCCAGAGACUGCUAACAAACAUAACGAACUUUAAACACGUCAGCAACGAGUUUGCACAUUGGUCCUCAAACUUAAGUCAAUCUGCACGAAAGCCACAGAAGUCUUAACUCUUAGCAUUUAACCCCCUAAAACAGAAACUGAUUCUUCACAUGUACUUUAUUUGUAAUUAGGGUUUCCACAGACUGGUCUUUGCUUGUAACGAGCAGAAAAAUAAGAAAGGGAAAGGAUACAAGUACCAGAGCAAUCUCAUGUUGAUAAUAUAUUUUAACUGUGGACAAAAUGGGCAGGAAGUAUUUGAUAAUUGAUGUAAAUAAUAAAGAUUAGAGUAAGUAUGAGACGCUAAAUGAUAUAAGCUAGAAAAUAUUAUCACUAAUCUGGGAUUGAAAGUGAGUACAAGUGAAGCUAACCCAUGAAUUAUAAUGAUGGGUUGGGUAGCCAAUUAAAUGUUGCCACCAUUUAAGUCACACAUGUAUGGCUGUUCUUUCAUGUAGAUCUUAUCCAAAUUACUUGCUCCACUUGACUAACUAAUGAAGCGGUUUCACCAAGCCUGGUAGUAAGAUAAGCACGGAGCAUGUGAUUUAAACCGCAAGCAUCACAAGAAAUGGUUUGGUUUCAGUAGAUAGCCAUACCGUUAUUUACACAACCGAAAGAAGGAUUUUUAAUUAAAAAGCUAAUACAUAAUUUCACAUACAAUCGUCAUACAUGACCAAUGAUUCUGCUACUAAAAAAAAAAAAAAACAACUAUUACUGAACAGUAAAAACACCCAGAACUUAAUCUUAGCCUAUAGCUUAAUUUCAGUUAUUUGUAUUUUCUUCUACAUUCUAUCUCUUGGCCUUCGUCUUCUUACCUUCUUCUGCUGAUCUCUUUCAACCAUCUUCACUAACCAUCGUGGUCUCCCUAUUGACAAUAAUAUGUAUCCAAUUGACAAUCCAAUCACCACUCCAGAUGCAAACCCCAGCUUCGCCACUUUCCAGUCAAACCAGCUUGCAAUUUCAUCUUCCUCAUGAUCAGUAGAAGCCGAAGGAGGUGCUUUUGGCACCCCGUCAUUGCUACAUGUUACUGUCAACGGCUCCCCACACAAAUGAAUAUUCCCAAUGUAGGAAUCAUUAUCAAAUGUAUUAAAUUGAUUGCCUCGAGGAAUGCGUCCCCGAAGCCGGUUAUAUGAAAGAUUUAAUGAUGCAAGGGCUGUAACACCUAAUAACUGUUCUGGAAUUCUUCCAUGAAGCUUGUUGAAAGAGAGGUCCAAUGAUUCAAGUGCUGUCAUAAUCCCCAAGGACACCGGAAUAUUACCUGUCAGGCCAUUGUGUGAAAGGUUGAGCACUUUGAGUGAUUUAAAGUUUCCAAGUACUUCAGGAAUCUCUCCAUUGAACCGAUUGCUUGAAAAAUCCAUACCUCUAAAUAUGAGCAAGAUCUUGCUCAGGUUAACUUCCAGUCCUUUCAUUGCAACAGUUACAGUAUCUUUAUAGUAGAAACCACCAAUAUAUUGAAGUCCAAAUUCCGUUUCGUCGACAUUCUUCAUUGCUUCCAUACUUACAAAGAUCGCUCUUGGCAGAAAACCAGUGAAUUCAUUACGAGAGAGAUCAAUGAUUCGAAGGGCUUGAAAGGGCAACGUAAUAUUGGACUUGCAUAGUGGACCAUAGAAUCGAUUAGAUCUCAAGACCAGAAUUUUUAGCUUCGGAAGACAUCCCAACCAACACGGAAAUGUGUCACUUAUCAUGUUGUUCCCCACAUUGACAACUUCCAGCAUGUUACAAUUCGCCAAAGAUCUUGGUAAUGGCCCUUCCAACUUGUUGCUAUUAAGGUCAAGACUCCUUAAAGAACUUGCAUUUGCAAAUGUAUCAUGGAUGUAACCCUCAAGGCUGUUGUUCUUCAAGUCCAGAAUAAUCAGCUCGGUGCUAAAGUUUCCAAGACAUGAAGGAAUCGUUCCGCUCAAAUUGUUGUGAGAUAAGGAAAGAUAUUGAAGGGAACUCAAACUGCAAAUCGACAGAGGGAUCUGUCCGGACAAUUUGUUGUUCGAAACUAAGAAGACUUGUGUUGAAGGUGGUGGAACCAGAAUUGAUCCUUGGAUUUUGUUGUUUUGCAGAUCAAGAAUUUUAAUUUCCUGCCAUGGAUGUAGCUCUACAUGUGUCAGAAAGUUGUUCGAAAGAUGAAGAUCAAUCAAAUUCUUCCAUCCUUCAGAAUCAUGUUUUGAAAUUCGACCAUGAAUUCUACCAUUGGAGAGGUCUAAGCUUGUUAACUUUCCUGAGUUUCUCAAGAAACGUGGGAACUGGUUGACAUUGCAAUUAGAUAAAUUCAAUUCCUGUAGACUAGGUAAGGAAUAUUUGAUAUCCAUAUUGCUAGAGGGAAGUAAAUGAGAGUAGGCUGUUGUUUGAAAGAUAAAGAUAUUGCAGGCUUUGCAACUUUGAGAACAUGUCGAACUUGACAGUGCCACUCAAGUUGUUUGAUGUAAGAUCGAGAUAAGUGAGGUUCACUAGUUGAAAGAUGGAACUAGGAAUUGUGCCAUGUAUCUCAUUUUUUUGCAAUCGAACUUCUUGUAGUGAAUUAGGUGACUGGAAUGGAUUAAUAGGACCAUUGAGCAUGUUAUUUGAAAGAUCUAGAGAAACCAAAGAAGGCAGAGUGAACAACCAGGAUGUUACCCUGCCUUGUAGAGAGUUUCCAGAAAGGUCUAAAGUGGUUAAAUAUGACAGUCCACUUACAUGAUGGGGCAGGUGGCCAGUAAGAUGAUUUGAUGCGAACACAAUUUCAGUAGCUCUAGUGAGGUUUCCAAUUGAUGUUGGAAUUGACCCGGUAAAACUGCAUUCUUCGAUAUGUACAAUCUCCAAGAACAAUAGAUUUCCAAUUGAAUCGGGUAUUUUACCUGCGAAGUUAGUGGAAGAAAGAUACAACUUCCUAAGAGGACUACUCCAGUUAGAAUUUGGGAGAUAACCAGUGAGUUUACUGUUUCCAUAUAAAUAGAGUGCUUGAAGGUUUGGAAGACGAAAAAUUUCAUCAGGGAAAUUUCCUUGUAAACUAGCUCCACUGAGAUCGAGAGCCGUCAUUGCUGAAGACAAGUUUAGAAGAGAAAAAGAUUUGAUCAAAGACACGUUUGUUGUUCCGAGAUUGAGAAGGCUUAAAUUUGUUAGGUUACUCACAACCAAAUCAAAAGUUUUUUGUUCGAUUGUCAGGAAGUAAUUUAGGGAAAUUUCAAGAUGAGUUAUGUUGAUGCGAGAUUCUGGUUCUCCUCGUUCUACGACCAGGGUCUCUGCUCGAUCAACUUCACCACGACCAGGAUCUCUCCUCGUAAAGCUUCUUCUUCAGAGGUUCCUGCGCACACAGACAGGUCAGAGUACGCCGGUUGUUUUCCCAGCACAAACCCUCCGACGCUCAAGUCAGAUAUGAAGGUUCGGGGAACGCUUGCCACAAAUCUUAUGGCUGCAGGGUUGUUUUCUCUCUUUUAGAAUCAAAAUUGCUAACCCUUUUACCUUCGUUGGCUUCCUUUUUAUAGGCUUCCUCUGAGUCCCAGUCUUCCGCAGUUUACGCCCGUUGUUCUCCCUACGCUCGGAUGUGGAUGUCCCAUUAUCUUCAUGAUGGGCGAAUGGAGAUGGACCUCGUGCCUUGAUUCUCGGAUAGGAAGGCACGUCUCACCAACUGCCGUUGAUCGGGUCUCCUCGCCUCGAACCCUAGCGGGAGUGACCCUAUGCCUCUAGCAAGGGUUCCGCCUCACGAAUGGCAUAUUCGUGGACGAGCAGAAUAUUCCUGCUCCUGUUCCCUUGCUACCUGGCUCUUACAGGAGACACCUGCUCGCAGAAUUCUACCACCAAACAUCUGCUCAUCACGUCUGGUCUCACCGAAGUAUUUCCCUCAAACAAGUUAGUUUGGACAAGUGAGAGAUUUCAUAUGGGACUAGACCACCGAAAUAAGAAAAAGAGAGGUUAAGAUAUGUCAAUUCCUUUAGCCGUCCAAUCUCGGGAGAGAUUUGAGAACCACCGAAAUCGUUGAAAGCAGGUUGAGAGAUUGGAGAUGGGAAAGAUGGAAGAGGCUGCUAUUGUCAUCGAUGCUGCGUUCAAGCCUACUGGAACUUCUGUCGAGGCCAAUCACGUUUCCUGUCACAUUAUCACAUGUUACCCCAUCCCAAGAGCAGCAGUCGGUACCCUCUGUCCAAGAAUACGUCUUAGGAUAAAAAACUUGUUCAUUACAUGUAGCGUAAUACCCAGAACUGAAAAAAAAAAGUUUUAUUUUUAAAUUGAAGCAAAGCUAAACUUUGGUCGGGAGGGCAGAAAUGAGUUGUUUUAGGAGAUGAGUAAUGGAAAGAUGAUGAACAAUCCACUUGAAAAUAACCAAACAAACACAAGAAGAAGUAGAAGAAGAAGAGGGCACAGGAGACUUGAUUAUAAUGCCAUACGAACCUCUCCGUCAUAAUUUCUAAGAAUCAAUACUCAGAAACUUGACAAUUAAUGUCAAAUUGUUAAGAGGCAGAUGAUAAAUGUUAAUACAGAGGAGUUCUUAUAUAUAGGCAUUUCGUGGACGAUAUCUUUUGACUUUUGUAUUUCAUUUCCAGGCAUGUUCCAAUUUGGUCAAUGAUUAAUAUAUCUGAAAUGCAUCAAAUUAUGAAAUGCAAUUAAUGGACCAAAAAAAAAAAUUCCAUGAAAUGUACGAUCGUCCAAAUGGUGUGAAUUAAGCGAGCAUGCAAUGGACAAAAAAGAAAAAAGAAAUCAAUAAACGGUACCCAUCAAUUAAUGAUGAAGUAAAUAGAUGUUUUUAAAUACGAGAAUGUGGAAUUUUUAGCUAAUAAAUUUAAUUUUGAAAUAGUAUAAUCAGUGAGUAUAUACGAGCAUCCUUUCAACCGGCUAAUUUUCUGCAUCCUUUCAGCCGGCCAGUAUCAUUUUUUAGGAUUUGUAAGUUACUGUAAUAAAUAUCAGGAUUGAUAUAUAUAUAUAUAUAUAUAUAUAUAUAUAUAUAUAUAUGUAUGUAUGUAUGUAUGUAUGUAUGUAUGUAUGUAUGUAUGUAUGCAUGUAUGUGUAUAAAUAUCAGUAUAAAUAAAGUUUAUCAAUAAACUCCCACGAAAAGGAAAGAUAAAACUCUCACAAAUGUUCUUGUAAGAAUCGAAAUAUAAUAAAAGAAAAAGGAUUUAAUUAUCUAUCCUUUUUUUCACAAUGAAAACACCAAAACAAAUCAAUAGAGAACAACGUACGUAUUGUCAUUAUUAGAAGUAGCCUAUCAGACUUGGAAUCUUCAUCAAGGGUUAGUGUGUAGAAGUAAGGUCAAAAGCAAACUCAAGUGCUACACACAUAUGUAUUACCAUACUUCUUUUAAUUAAAGCAUCUCAUUUUCUGCUUUAUUGGCCUAGAGUCUUACUCGUGGAUAAUCUAUGAAAACCCACCUCAGGGUCGAUAUCUAGUAUGUCUUUAUACGACCAAGCAAAUACAUUAGAUUAUUAGAAUAUCUUUGCAAGAAUUCCAUCAACCUUAUCCUUAAGUCAUCCCCAAACUUAAACCCUAUUUAAAUAAUUUUUUCAAGUCAUCUAACUUUACCUUUGCUAUUUAGAGGGUUUUAAUAGGUUCUUAUUUGUUCUUUUUAGAAUCUCCUCGAGCAUUAAGGGAUAUUAUCUGUAUUGUUUCUUUAGCUACCAUCAUAGAGUAGCUCCUCACAAUUCUCUAGCUGCCUUUUACAACUUUUACCAUUCCAUUUAUUUAGUAUUUAAUUGUUAGAUAAUAGAUGGAAAAAACAAAUUUAUUGAUCCUGAAAAGAGGUUAUCCAAAUAUUAUCUUGGACUAUUCUCCUCUACUAUAAUAAAAUCUAACAUCAUGGUUAUUUUGAACGAUUUUAAAUCAAUAAUUACAAGUAGUUCUACAACCCCUAGUAGCAUUAACAACGAAUCCAUUCAAUGAAUUACUUAUGGCUUUAUUUUUAGGUCCAUCUUGUCUAAAGUGGCUUUAAAAAUGAUGUCAAAUGAGCUGCCAGAGUCUAUCAAAAUCCUUUUAUAUUCUUUGCUUACAGCAUUGGCUUUUAUAAACACCACAUCUUUGUAUUGGUACAUAACUCCCUCCUUAUAAUUGCAAAUAAUUUGGUCUUUGCACCUUUUUCCAAUGGUAUUAGGGGUGGGCAUCGGAUCGGAUUUGGAUAGAUCCGAUCCGAUCCGAUCUAAUCCGAACAAAUUCGGAUUGGAUUCGGAUUCUGCUUCAAAUCCGAUCGGAUGUAAUUUGUGCAAUCCGAUCGGAUUUGAUUCGGAUCGGAUCGGAUCAGAUUAAUCCGAAUAAUCCGAUCGGAUUGCACUGCUCCUUAAAAAAAAAAAGAAACAAAAAUUAAAUGAAAAAUUGAAAACUUAAACAGCUAAACCUAAUUCCCAAAUCACAAAACCACCCACGCAACCCAGCCACGCGACCUGACGCACCACGCAACCCAGCCAAACCAACCCACGACCACAAACCACACACACAGGCCACAACCUGACGCACACGACGACUCACGCCAUCGACAACACAAACGGAACGAACCCAGCCGGAUCUUGAUCAACGUCCAGUUGCCAUUCACGACGAGCAGCUGACGGCGAAAGCAACCUCGCGAUAGUCGACUUGUUCAUUGUGUAAGGUUCCUGUCUUUAUUGCAUGAUUGUCUAAGGAAUUAAAUGUGCAGUCUGUGAUGAGCAAAUCAAGAAGACGAAGUGAAAGGCUGCUGCAGAGAGAUGAGCUCUCGACUUACCUAUAUUUGGAUGUGUAAUUAUCAUAUAACACCCUGAGCUUUUGAUAAUGAAGCUAAUGAAAGAAUUGUGUAAGGACUUGUGUUUCAUUAAUUCUAGAUUUCAUUAAUUUUUGGUAAAAAUUGUCAAAAAGGUCCCAAAUCCGAAUACAAUCUGAACCGAUCCGAAUCCGAACUUAUCCGAAAUAUUCAUCCGAUCCGAAUCCGAUCCAAACUAUUUCGGAUCGGAUUGGAUCGGAUUUGAAGUUCGGAUUAAAAUCGGAUGGAUUUUUUUCCAAUUCGAAUUAUCCGAAAUCCGAUCGGAUUCAUCCGAAUCCGAAAUUGCCCAGCCCUAAAUGGUAUAUUGAAAAGAACGUCAUGACUGCUCAUACUAUAUCUUUCAUAAUUUUUUUAGCACUAUUUGAGUCCUAUACUAAUGUUGGCCUUUUACAAUAACUCUAGCAUUGACUCUUCCCGUGUUACAUCUUCAUUACUCACCUUUUCAAGCAACUUUUGCUCAUCUUCCAAUGGAAAUAAUAUAUUUACAUACUCAUUUAAAUAACAAUUUCUUACUAGAUCUUUGACCUUAUUUUUUAAAUCACGACAAUGCACCAUGAUCUGGCCAUAGUUGUCAUGAAAUUCGCAGAAUUUACUCUUGUCAUGUUUGUUAGUUGCUCUUUGAGAGAUGUUAGAGGGUACAACAGCACUCGAUCUUUAAUGGAGUGGUACAACUUUUCUAAUGAGACCUUUAAAGGUGUAUAUUACUUGUCUAUAAAGUAUAGUCUACUCAUGUGUGGUUCUAUCUCUUGAGAAGCUUUAUGUCUAGCUAGAAAGAAUUAGUGGUGAUAGAAGGUUUACACCUGAUUUGUUUGACCUUUUGUCUUAGUUAGUUUUUCUGUUGAUCACUUGGUUGUCCUAAUUGGGCACAAAUAUUUUGUUGAGUAAGACUUUUUAAUUGCUUUUUAUUAAAGGGAUCCUGAGUUGGCUUUAUUUGUGUAUGUUGGAUUAGGUCAAGAUAAGAAAUAAUGCCACGAGUAGGGUGCUCUCACUACUAGAAAAAUGGUCUUUACUGACUUUAGAAUAGUGUCAGAAAUUACUUUUACUGACACUUAUUAAUUGUGUCAGUAAUCUGGGAGUCAGAAAAAUAGUGACACUUGUAAAUGGUGUCAGUGAUUACUAUUACUAUAGUAUCACUAAAAUAAUAACACCAUGGUAUCAAAAUAUUACAAUACUAUAUUAGUAUUUGUGAUUACUGUUACUAUAGUAUCACUACUUUAUUUAUUAUUUAAAAAAAUAAUUAUAUAAAAUGACAUGUUGCCCAUUGAUUUGUUGAUAGAAUUAAAAGGCUGUGAGAAAUAAGAACAAAAAUCAAUUUAUAUAUCAAAACCUUUCGUAACAUUUAAAUAUUAUCAAUAUAUAUUACACAAUCCAAAUACUUCAAUAUACAAAGACGUCUGAUUACAAGACAAGUUAUUCUUAUAAUUGAAUAAUCUUAACUACUAUUAUCCAAUCAAUUUGAUAAUGAUACUUCUCUAGAAAAUAUCUUCAUAGUAUAUGACUAAUUACCGAAUUUUGUCCACGGGAUAAGGCAUCUUGAGCAAUGAGCCAUAUCAAAUGAAUUUGCGGGGAAAGGUAGGCGCUGUGUGGAAAUGAUGCCAAGAAUUGCGGGAAUUCCACGUUCCAAUGCAAAUUGAACUUGAGCUUCAUGAUUAUCUCUUGGUGCAAGAGAAACCGUUAAAAUUCCACGAUCUAAUAAAUCACCUCCCCAGCUGGCAACCUAUAAAAAAAAAUGUAAGUGAGUUAAAUUUAUCCUAAGAUGACCGAGAGGCACCAUAAGAAUAAACCAUCAAUGCAACAUAGAUUAGCCCAGUAUAUGAUUAGACGAAAAAGUGGGCAAAUGGAAAACAAAACUCACCGCACAUCCAGUGUCAAUAGCAGUUCGAACUGUCCCAUCUUUCAUUUCUGGAAUCAGAUCUCGCAUCAAAUCAACAUAUGCACCAACUCAUUUGGGAAACAUUGUACCUCCACCAGGAAAGAGGAACUUCUCUCCUUGUUUUCUCAGCCAAUUCUGAUUUGACUUCUGCUUGUUAAUCCAAUCAUAAGGCACAUUCCUGAAACUAGAUCCAAAUAAUAGAACAAAAUUGACUUACGGCCAACAUCAGUGGACAAAAAAACCAGUUCAUUAAUAGAUCAUAAUACCUGUACCAACAUUCAUCCCUGCUUUUUGGCCACUUGAUAGGUGGCUUAUACCCAUUAGGAGGGGGUAUUAAGCAUUCCUUCCUCUCAAAAACUGGAGGGCAGUGGCGUUCCAUGAAAGUCAGCCGAUGAGCACCGUACUUUUUCCACCUCUGUAGCAAUGAAUGUUUGCCAUCAAUAUGGCCACUUGAUAUCAUAUAGCUUUGUAACAUUGCCUAGAAGCUGUUACUAUUAUCAAAUAAGCAUUUAAGGUAUACCUUUGGAUAUGUGCAUGGAGUGUAGUCUUGAUAGUUGCUGCUGCAAUCAGGGAAGUUAACAGAUUUGAUCUGAAGCGGAGCAACCGCUGGAUCCUUGGGAGACGGGACUGCUUUCUGGACAUCCCUAAUCUCGACUCUAUUUUUCUCAGAACAAAAGAUUCCACCAAGGUAAAACGAAAACCCACGUAGUGCAACAAACAAUAUUGUCAAAGGAACAAUCCUGGGACUUUUAUCACCAUUUGGAGAAAUCGGUUUCCUAUCUUUAUGCUUCAUUUUGUCAGAAACAAUUAAUUACCUGCAUUGAUAAUAGUAAAAAAAAAUGUAGUCACAGCUAAGUGAGAUUAAAUUUUUAGCUCAAUGACCAAACACGUAAAGAAACAUCUCCAAGAUCCCAACUAUGGAAAUAAAUACAUUCCAUGCUCCAGUUUCGAUUCCUCCAUUGUCUAAGAUAUUAAACUAAGCAUCAUAAAGCAGAAUGAAGCGGACAGUACAAUAUUUGAGUCACAACUCAAUUUCACAACCCAGUCACUUAUAAUUAUCCUGAGACUAUUAAUAGGAUCCAAUUAACCAACUAAGACGGUUGAGAAUUAAUGUGUGAACUUAAAUGAAUGAGUAAAUAUCAAUUUGACCAACCAAAAAAAAAAAUCAAAUGGGAGUUAAAGAACACCAAUUUGCCAGACGAAUGAGCGUAAUAAUAAAGCAAAAGACGAAUUUGCCAGACGAUGAAGUUAUUUCUGGUUCAUCACUAAAUUCUCUAAUAAAAUAAAACCUCUAAGAUCACCAAUACAAUUCAAACAAACUCAAUUCGUAACCCAAUUACAAAAUGAAGAAUGAACCAACUGAUAACAAAAAUAUUACAACAAGGUCAUCCCAGGUUUCAAAAUCACCAAUAAUUAAUUUUUUUAAAAAAAAUUCUUGCCUGUCUAAUUCGAAACAGAACCUCUUCUCCCUUUGCCGCUUCUUCUUUGCUUUCAUAAAACCCAGCUCCAACCAAAAACUUCAACCCUAAAGGAAAUUGAAAUCAGAGUUUUCUAUACAGAAAGAAAAAAGUAAUUAUAAAUAAAGAUAAAACACAACCUUUUCUCAUGGGUUCUUUGCAUAUCACCCUCCAUCGAUCCUGCAAUUGAUAUUGGCUUCGUCACUCCAUACUGCUUAGGCGGUAACGGCGACAAAAUCAUUCUCUUCGAACUUAACAUUAAAAACAAUGAAAUACCCCCUACAAAAAAGCCCUAAUUUUUGGAUUCGAACUUUCAAAAAAACCGUAGCUUUGCUCAAAUUCUUCACUACACUUUCUAGUUCAAGGGUAUUUUAGGUCAAAGAUGGCGAUUUGAAGGUUGACGGUGACGGCUGAGGUAGAUCAUUGUUAUAGAGAGAGAGAGAGAGAGAGAGAGAGAGAGAGAGAGAGAAGGAAGGAAGAGAGCUUCAGUUCAUAGUAAGAAGCGGCCGUGGGGAGUGUUUUUUCACUUCUUAAAAAUUUUAGAUUUUAGGUUUUCAUGUACACCUUCCAUUAAAACGACAUAGUAUCUAGGUAAUUUAAUUUAAUUUUUAAUAUUAUUUACUUAUUAAGCCAAAAAUCAAAAUCCAACUCAUGGCCCAGUGGUUAAUGUUUAAAAGUAAAAAGUUAAAGUUUAGAGGUCUUUAGUUCGAUUCCUAAUGGACACAAAAUUAAAAUUUUAUUUUUCUAAUUACUAACACCUUAUUGUCACAGAUCUCUGAUAUUUAAUUUACAGACACUAUAGUAUCACAAAUUUGUGAUAUUUAUUUGUUAAACACGGAAAAUGUUCGAAAUGCAUGUAAUUACUGAUACUUUUUAAUAAAGUAUCACAAGACAAGUGUCAGUAAAGGUUAUUUUUCUAGUAGUGUCUCUUCACACCAUUCAAUUGUUUUUACGACAACUUGUCCUAGUAUAUAUAUAUAACGGGUCCACUUCCCCUUUGUGCCCUCCUCUCUUUUCUCCUCGAUUCCUCUAGUUGCUUACAUCCUACUUUCUCCUUUUCAAUCUCUAUAUCCAUCAUCAAUUGGACAUGAACUGUCAAAUAUGAGUUAAUUGCUGGUGCCUUCAUAUUGUACCAUAGUUGGCCUAUCUUCACCCUCUCUUUCAGUCCCCUUAAAACUUGAGGAUGAUUGAAAGUUUCAAGCUCAAGAAUUGCUCUAUGAUAUCUUUUAAUAAAGUCUUUAAGGUUUUCUUUCUCUCCUUGUUUAAGGUCACGAGUCUUAAUAUCAUCUUCUGGGUUCAUCGUCCCUUUAGAUUACUCAAAAUCUCCAUAUAAUUGAUCAAAAGUUCUAAUGCUUUCUCAAGAUAAUUUUCUAUGCCAAUCGUGCACUCACCCGUUUAACAUCAAUAGAAUGUUCUACUCCUAUGUAAUGGUGUUAAGCCCUUAAGUUGAGUCAUCUCAUUAAUUAUUUUAUGUGGAUUAGCAAAUCACUUUUUUCUUGAAUACUGAAGGUUUGAAAGCAAAAAUCCCUAAGAAUUGUUAUAUUCACGAUCUCUGGUAAAAGUAAGGAUCCAUUGUCCAGCAAAAUCCUCUGAGCAUGGGUUUUUCCUUUGCUGUACAUCUCUUUAAUGAUUUGUGCCAACCUACGCACUCAUUUUUUAAUUCCCUUGCAUGACUUGGAUUUUGCUUUACCAUCUGCUUGUGUUCACGUGCUACAUUUUAAUAGGCAUUGCCUUAGCUAUCUCUCUUUAAUAUUCUCUCCUUUCCUUAUAUUUAUUGUUGUGUUUGGGUCAUUAUGAGGUGGUGAUGAGUGUAGGAGUGUUUACAUUUAUAAAGGGUAAAAUUGUUGUUUUGCAUUCUAAGUCUCACUAACAUCUCUAUCUUUAUGUAUUUAAGCCCUUUAAACUUUGAUUUUAUGCAUGUUACUAUAAUUUGAGUAUUUUAUGUAUUUUAAGAUAUUUUAGUUAUUUUAUGAUUAAUGAGAUUCAAACGGCAAAAUAGACGAUAUUUUUGAGCUCAAAAUGGCUAACAAACUUGAUAAAGAAUAUAAAGUCAAAAUCAUAAUUUAACUCAUGUUUGGAGUCCUAUAUGGCAUCAUUGACGUUAUAAUUGGAAUCAUCCAUGGAAACCUAAUGAACGGUAGAAAUUUAGAUUAAAACAAACUUUGAUUGUAUAAAACAAGAUUUACAGAGGUCCAAAUCUAGUGUGCUAAGAUGUAUGCUAAUUUUGGGGAGCCCAACUGACUUUUCAUUGACUGAUGAUGUGUCAACAUCUUAAUUGACUGUCCUAUGUGCUUACUAUAGAGUGAUGCACACUGAAACAAUGCUUAUUGACUUUGUGUUCAUUAACGAUGCGAUAGUAUAUUAACGGACCGAAGAACGCAUGUACGAUACAAGCACAUACAUAAAGUGGCAGGCCUGUACACGUGUUCCCACUGAUCUAAGCACGCCACAUGGCACAAUCCUAUCCAUCUAAAUUAUUUCCAUCCAAUGACCAUGAUUUACCCAUGGUAUCUAUAAAUAGCGUGCUCUCCUCUCUGAUUUGACAACUGUGAAUUCUAAUUUCAUCUCCAUUUUGUGUAAUUCUCAUUCAAUCUUAUAUUUCUACAUAUUUUAAUAUAAAUUAUCAUUUUGCCCUUAGUAAAGCAUGUGUGGCUAAUUUAAUUUUAAUCUUGAGUUGAAAGUAUAGCCUCAAAAUGAUCCUUCAGCUUAAUUGGGUAAGCUUAUUUGUCCUCUCUCUGACUUAUGUGGGUCUUUUUCACUUUUCAUUAACAAAUAGUGUAUUUUGUCUAGCUUUUGCACUGUAUAUCAGCUCCCUAGUGAAAGAUUAUUAUUGUUUGGCAUGAUAAAUAUUUUACACCAUAUUUAUUAAAACAAAGACUCCCCUCUACUAUUUGUGAGUCAUCUUGACUCAUUUUUGACAAAGAGUGCGUAUAAGUUAUUUAGUGGACAACCUUACCAUGUUCUUGAUAGAAAGAUUAUUAUUGUAUGGUACAAUGUGUACUUGAUACCACAUUUAGCACAUAAUGUAGCGGAAGAUCAUUACCUUCAGGGACAAUGAGUGCUUAAUGAGGUUCUUUUUAAUUGGGAUUAAAAAGAAAUGUCAAUCCCAUGGUGAAGUGUUCAAUGUAAAUCUAGAGACUCAAAUGCUUUGUUAAAAUCAUUUCAUCCUUAAUUUAUUCCCAUCAUUUUUUUUAGUUUAAAUCUUAGUACUACUGAGAAAUCACCUCCGAUCAAUUCAUAUAUUAAAUAGAAAAAUUAACCCCCUGCUCAUGGGAUCAAUACUCGUAACCAUUAAUAUAUACUACAAUCGAUUCAUGUGCUUGCAAUUUCAUAAAUUUUGCACAAUAGGUGGAUCCUCUACUCUUCGCGGUAUUGGAACAAUAUUCUCUGGCCUUUUCGGUGUCCAUCUUCUGUUAUUAAUUUAGGUAUGUCAACAUUUCCCCCAGAAUUCAUUUUGUUAAUUCACCUUUGCCCUUUUUUAGUUUCUAUAACAAUAUUGUUAGGCUCUCUAUCUAUUUCUCCAUUCACUCCAUUCUUUUAUUAACCACGUAGUCUCUUGCAUCAUGGUUUAUAUAUCAUAAAAUGGUUGUUUCAUUUACCCCUGGUCAAACCCUCUUUGCUUCAUCAUCUUCAGUACUUAUUGUUAACUCACUUCUCCUGCAAUUGCCCUUUUCCCUAAUUUUCACAAAAAUGCAGCUACUAGGGUAGAAUGGCUUUUUGUACUGAUACUAUAAAUGGCACCAAAAUGUUGAUGCCAAAUCUGAUUGAGUUGUUAUGUUGGCCAGCAACUAAAAGUCAACGCCGACAUUUAAAUUUAUAUGUGGAAAAAGGGUUUGCUAAUGUCUUUAACCCUCAAUAGAAAACCAGAACUAUAAGUAGAUUUUUCGUGAAACAUUUGAGAUCACAGAAACCAAUGAAGGGAUGCUGAAAGUUCUUUUGGCAUUNNNNNNNNNNNNNNNNNNNNNNNNNNNNNNNNNNNNNNNNNNNNNNNNNNNNNNNNNNNNNNNNNNNNNNNNNNNNNNNNNNNNNNNNNNNNNNNNNNNNAUUAUUAUUAUUAUUAUUAUUGUUGUUGUUGUUGUUGUUGUUGUUGUUGUUGUUGUUGUUCUUGUCAUUGUCAUUAUUGUUAUAUUAUCAUUAUUAUUAAUAUUAAUUUAAUAAUAAUAAUAAUAAUAAUUAUUAUUAUUAUUAUUAUUAUUAUUAUUAUUAUUAUUAUUAUUAUUAUUAUUAUUAUUAUUUACAACAAUGAUAAGAAUAGAAAUAACAAUAAUAUAUUAAUAAUUUAGUUUAGGAUAAAAGUGAAAUAAUGAAAUUUGGUUGGAGUAAAAUAGUGAGUUAAAGUAAUGGGAACUUAAAUCCAACCCCUCAUAGGAAUUAAGUUUUCGUUCCUUAAUCCCAAAACUAUAGUGGCCUCAUAUGUUUUAUUCUCAUUCCCCUUUAAUUUCUAUUUUAACAAAUAAACAAUAUCAAUUAUUCUUAUUUUGAAUUCAAAUUUUCCAAUCACACAAGUAAAUACACCAUAAACCCAACUAGAUUUAUAUACUUAAUUUACAACUGUAAUCCUAGUCGGGUGUACACAUAAUUGUUUCUUUAUCAUUUUUUAUAUUGAUAUAUUUGGUCCUCAUAAUGAGUAAUGUCUGAUUUAUUAUAAAGAGUUGGUCUAUAGAUAUGCGCUCCAUAAUCUCUUCAAAUCCAAUUUCUCCGUUUACCCCAUUUAAAUAUUGGAUUUUUCUAUGAUGAUGUAUGACUUUUUACACUAUUAAUAAUGGGAUUUUUCUAGCCUAUUGGAUUUGAAUAUUUUAAUCUCUACCAUUACUUUAAUUAAAUGGAUAAAUAAUUAGUUAAUUAAUAAGCAAUAGGUAGCUUUCAAAAUUAAGUUGAUGAAUUCAAAUUAAGAGAUAAGAAUUUAUAAGUUUUAUUUAUACAAAUAUUUUACACUGUUCAUGAAAAUCUCAAGGUGUACAUUUAUUAUAUUAUUGAUGUCGUAGAAAAAAUAACAGUAUUAUAGAGAGACCUACUUAACACCUCUUAAUAAUAGUGCAAAGUUGCUUUAAUUAGCUUAUUAUAAUUAAAGAGUAUAAUAGUAAUAAUAAUAAUAAUAAUAAUAAUAAUAAUAAUAAUAAUAAUAAAAGAUAUGUGCAUUCAUUUAUGAAACUGAUGGUGAAACUAAUGUGAAACACAAGAUAUGAACUUCUGAAAAAAAGUCUCGCAGCGCUUUAUGUGAAAAAUAAUUGUAUUGAUUAUUUUCUUUCUGACGGAACAUUUUUUUUUUCUUGUCCUGAAGUACCACAUUUUAGCGCAUUUUGUGCAUAUGUGUGCCUUAUAAGUUGCCCAUGAAAUGAUAUUGCAUUCUUACGAAUUGAAAUAUUACUUUUCAUAAAUUUGAAAACAUGCAUGAUAAUAGAGCUUCGUCAAGAAGAUAUAUGUCAGAGCAAAAUAUAACUAGAGAUUUAUGCUAAUACCUCGUCAAAUCAAUCCAACCAAGUUGAGUUGUAACCUAAAUUUAAUUUUAUAUUCAUUUAUGGUACAACAAAAUAAAAGAUUAUUUUUUAGAAGAGAUCACCAAUUGCAAAGUUCAAAAAAAUUAUUCUAAGUAAUAUAAAUAAGCUUUAUAUAAAUGAAUAAAUGAUGUCAAUUUAGUUACUGUUUGGUAUUGAGGUGGUGUAAAUUUUAAACUACAGUUGUUGUGAAAAAAAAAAUUAUGACCAUACAAUAAAAGUUAAUAGUAUAUAGUAAAUAUAAUUUUUAAAUAAUAAUUUUAAUAAAAUUAGUAAAAAUAUAAUAAAUUUUUCAUCAUACAAGUAUAAAAUCAAAUUAAUUUAACUUUUAAGCUAAAGUACAAAUCGCUUUAAUGUUAUAACUUUUAAGGCACAACUACGGAAUCUCAAUCUCAAAUAGAGCCUUAAUAUAUUGUAUAACCAAAGCACAACAACUACAACAAUUAACAAGUUUUAAAGUAUUAUUAAUUAUUGAAGCAUUUAUGUUACUAUGAGGAGCAGAGGUGUGAUUGAAUAUAAGCAAGCUAUAUGCCUAUUAUGCAUUUUUUUUUUUUUGAUUAGAUGGGGCUCAAACUAGCGAGCUAAAUAGGAAUAAGACUGGGUUGAGUAACCCCAAACAAGUCUUGUACAAUAAUUGAAUAAAUACCCAUAGGCGGGUUAGAAAAUAAGUGCAAUCCAAGGGGGUAUGAGUGAGCCAUGUUGGCCAUAAAAUCCGCCGCCGAAUUUGCUUCCCAAUAAAUAUGGGUGAUGGAAACUUGCCAGUUUCUACUAAUAAGCUCCCGGAUAGCAACGACCAAAGCAUAGAAUUCGUUAGGUACAACCACUUGCUUCGAGACCAAUUGAGUAACACAAAGGCUAUCCACUUCAACCAAAAGACGUUUUAUUCCAGCCUCCCAAGCUAGAUGUAAUCCUUGGUACAGACCCCAAAGUUCCGCCAUUAGCACCGAACUCUCUCCAAUAUUCAUACAAAAUCCAGUUAUCCAGUGUCCGACCGAGUCUCGAAUAAUACCACCAGCACCUGCGCCCUCAUCUUUUCUACAAGAUCCAUCCGUAUUCAAUUUGCACCAAGGCCAUGGAGGUGGCAGCCAUCCAAUAAAAAUCUCCUUCCUCCGCGGUUGUUGACUUAUGUGAGAAUUGUUUAGUCUAUGGAUCUCGUUAGCUCUGGCCAUAAUAUCUACACAGACUGUUGAGCUAUCCACCAGCUUCCCCUCCACCAUAAAAUGAUUCCUCCAAUACCAUAAUCUCCACACCGCUACGCCGAAUAUACACUCCCAAGCUAAUGGAGAGGGAAUGUUCCACUUGUUUUGUAAAUUCGCAAUUAUCCAAUCUCGUAAAGACGACUGAAAGAAAGAGGAUUGAUGCCGAGCUGGAACAAGCCGAAACCAAACCCGCUUGAUGCAAUGACAAUCUCUCAAGACGUGAAUAAUAUCCUCAAGAGGAGCCCCACAACGAUCACAACCUGGAGACACCGGAAUAUGCCGCCUAGAUAGUUCACUCUUGGUUUUUAAUUUCACAUGUAAAGCCUGCCAAAGGAAAAUGCGAGUUGCUUGCAGCCCCUUCCAAGACCAUGCAUGAUUCUAUGCAUUAUCAGUAGCAGUGAGUUCCAGCUGACCGAGGGACUCAUAUGCCGAGCGAACCGUAAAGUUGCCACUUGGCUUAUAACGCCAAUAAAUUUUGUCAACACCAAGAAGAGAGCUAGGAGGCAUUAUCGAAGCAAUUUGCAUCAGGAUAGAAUUGGGUAGCAAAUGUUCAAAAGUUGACCAGUUCCAACCCCCAUGCACGUUUAGAAAAUCACUCACCGUAGCGUUAACCAAUUCAUGAGGCACUGGAUGAACAGCGAGAUUGAUCAAAGGGCCUUGUUUUGUUGCCCAGCAGUCCAGCCAAAAGCGAGUUCGAGAACCAUCACAAACAGCCCAGCGAGCUCCCUGCAUAGUGGCUGACCACGUGCGCUUUAUGGCUUUCCAGAUUCCAGAACCUUGUUUCUCAGGGAGGGACAACGGCAAGUGUCUAGGAUCCAAUCCGUACUUUGAGCAGAUAACCUUAACCCACAACUUGUCUGAAUUCGAAACUAUUUGCCAGCUCAGCUUCAUCAAUAACGCUUGAUUCAUCACACCCAACUUCUUAAACCCCAGGCCACCUUUGGUUUUCGGCAUGCAAAUUUUAUUCCAGCCCACCAUACUCAUCUUAUGGCUCUUCGACUUCCCAUCCCAAAUAAAACGACGGCAAGACUUCUCAAGCUUCCCACGCACCGGAGCUGGUAAUAAACUUGUCUGCAUUGCGUAAAUUGGCAUUGCUUGGAGCACCGAAUGAGCUAAAGUAAUUCGGCCAGCAAAUGAUAAGUGAGCUGCAUUCCAACCCGUGAGCCGCUUUUCCACCUUAUCAAGGAUCGAUUAGUAGGUAGCUCUAUUUAUUCUCGAAUGGAUGAGAGGCAUGCCAAGAUAGCACCCCAAGUCAUUUGUAGCCGAAUACCCCAACACAUUACUGAGGAGCUUAGCGUCUCUUGAACCUACAUUCUUAGAGAAAUAAAUUUUAGUUUUCGACUUGUUGACCUUCGCUUCAGAGCUCCGGCAGUAAUUGUCUAAAACUGCAUCUAUAGUGUACGCCUGAUCAAUUGACACCUCUGCAAAAAGGAGCAAAUCAUCUGCAAAAAAUAAAUGCGUUAGAGGAGUUCCAAGCUUGGCCAACCGAAUAGGCUUCCAGCUGCCAUCCCUCACGGCUUGUGAUAUUCCAUGGCUCAACCGUUCAAUGCACAGGACAAAAAUAUAAGGAGACAACGGAUCCCCCUGACGGAUUCCUCUCCCCGAGACAAAUUCUGCUGUAGCCUCACCAUUCCAUAAAAUACUCAUCCGAGCCGAAGUUACACAUUCCAUGACUAAUUGAGAUAACUGAAUCGGGAUACCAGUUUGCUGUAGAGUAUCGAAAAUAAAUGACCAAUUAAUUCGAUCGUACGCUUUUUCUAAAUCCACUUUAAUGGCCAUAAACCCUUUUUUCCCUGUUUUCUUUCGCAUAGAGUGAACCACUUCUUGAGCAACAACAAUAUUAUCAAUAAUAUGGCAUCCGGGCACAAAGCUAGUCUGGUGGGGGCCUAUGAGAUCUGGCAACAAGGCUUGCAAACGGUUAGCAAUUAUUUUAGUCACUGUUUUAUAAGCGACUGUGCACAAACUAAUAGGCCUAAACAUACUUAGGCUAGUAGGGUGCGCCACUUUGGGAAUCAAAACCAACAGGGUAGUAUUGAUUUCUUUGGGGAUCUUGCCCGAACUAAAAAUGUCACCCAUAAACUUGCAGAAGGAGGGCCCCACAAUUGGCCAUUGAGACUGGUAAAAGAUUGCAUGCAGACCAUCAGUACCUGGAGCUUUGAGGGAUUUCAUACUAAAAAUCACCCUUUUAAUUUCGUCGUCCAAAACUGAGACGACAGUACUCUCCAAAUCAUAAGCAUUUAAGACUGGGAAUAAAUUCGGUACCUGAUAACUUUGAGGGGUUGCAACUUCACUUUUGUAUAAGGACGAAAAAUAAUCAAUAGCAUAAUUUCGAAUCUCUCCCUCAUUAUAAAGCCAGUUCCCCGAAGUAUCUUGAAUAGCUUCAAUUCUAUUUCUCCGUCGUCUUGCAAUGGUCUUUUGAUAAAAAAACUUUGUGUUCCUAUCCCCGUACAGAAGCUCGUCUUUCCUUGACUUCUACCACCACAAGAUCUCCUCUUGACCCAUCACCGUCUCCAACUCAUUCCGAAGCCUAGCUGACACAACUUAAAAGUAAAUUUUAACUCCCAAGUAUAAGAGUGUCUUGUUGUAUUAUAACUCGGUGAGUCCGAGGUCGAUCCACAGAGAAAAGAUUUAAUUAGUUUAUUUUAUUUUAUCUAAAAAUUGAAAUUAAAACUUGAAUAUAAACAACUUAAUUUAAAUGAAACUAUGGAAUUGAACUAGUUAGGGUUAUGGAUCCACUCUUAGAAAUAAAUAAAACUUAAUAAAUUCUUUUUGCCAAUUUGUUUUAGAUUUAUUACUCAAAAGAUUAAUUAUACAAAUUAUUAUUAUUUUCCCUUUAAUUUUAUGAUGGAUUAAGUAUUUAUUGUGCCAAAAUUUAAUUUGUCUACAAUAAGUCAAAAUACCAUUUCACCAUGCCUUAUAUUAAGAUCUUAAGAAUUUAUUGUGCCAAAUUCAUUUGUUUGUCUACAAUAAAUCAAAUUUUCAAAAUAUAAAACAUGUAUAAAAUUAAAUAGAAAAUAAUUUAAUUUAUAAAAUUAAACAUAGAAUUUGAUUAAAUCAUAUUUAUUUCUUAAGAGUUUCACCUUCCCCUAACUAAUAUUAUUUAGUUAAGCAUAAUUAAAAUAAAAAGAAGUAGUAAAAUUGAAUUACUUAUAAUUAAAAGAAAUAAAAACAACUAAAAUUGGAAAUAAAACUAAUUUUAUUAAUGAAAAUAAUUAUACAAAAUGUUUGGGAGGGAUACUGUUUGGGACAAAUGCGUCGAAGGGACCAGGAACGACGAGCAGACAUCUGAUGGCGGAGUUCUGCGAACCGGUGUUUUCCGUUAAAGCCUGGCGCGUGGAAGAACAGGAGCAGAAACAUCCUGCUCGUCCACAAUGUUGUCGUCCGCGAGGCCAAUUCCUAUAAAAGGCACGAGGCCAUUUCGGCUAGAGAUCGAGAGGCGAGGAGACCCGGUCGACGGCAGUUGGCAAGACGUGCUCUCCAGCACGAGAAUCUAGGCACAACAGCCACGCUUUCCCCAGAACCGCGACGUAACAUGCAAGAUCUCACGGAGCCAGGACAGCCACACUUUCCCCAGAACCGUGGCGUAACACGCAAGGUCUCACAGAGCCGUGGCAGCCACGCUUCCCCUGAACCGUGGCGUAACACGCUAGAUCCCAUGUUUUGCCCAUAACGCAGCAGUUGGAGUCCCAUACCGUCUCGAAAAGAGCGGAAGACUGAGAUUCAGAGGAAGCCUAUAAAAAGGUAGCCAACGAAGGUAAAAGGGUUGGCAUUCUUGAGAAAAGGGGAGAAAACCACAAGAAACGCCAUAAGACCUGUGGCAAGCUUUUCCCGAACCUUCAUAUCUGACUUGAGCGUCGGAGGGUUUGCGCCGGGAAAACAACCGGCGUACUCUGACUUAUCUGUGUACGCAGGGACCUCCGGAGAAGAAGCCUGGCGAGGAGACCUCCUGGUAGUGACGAAGUUGAUCGAGCAGAGAUCCUGAUCGUAGAACGAGGAGAACCGGAAUCUCGCAUCAACAUUUUGGCGCCGUCUGUGGGGAUCCAGAGCAAAAAGCUUCUGUCGAUAGCAAGAAGAGGGGUGGAGUAAGCGAAAGUCAAUGGAGAUAGGAGGAAGUAGCGCACAAGGGGGUGACAUAAGGCUUAACGAUUCCGUGACGCUGAGGGAGGUGAUCAGCGAAGCACGGGAAAAAGUCAUGUUCGACCGGAUGGAGCGAAUGGAAAAGCAGAUGGAAACCUUGACAACUAUCCUGCAUGAGCUGCGGAACGAGCGAAGGGUAACCCAAGAGGGAAGGGUGAGAGGCGGUGGAGCGGCACCAGGUACCGAUAGUGCGGAGAGAAGUCAAACCGCUGGGAGAUUUGGCGGUGAGAGAGGCAACGUACCUCUGCGGGGAGAAUUUCAUAGAGAAAGAGAGCAGUCCCCGGUAAGACAGACUUGUGACGGGGGCGACGGGGUGGUGAACGCAGAGGAAACAGAACUGAGGCAACACUUACAUGAUGCAGAGCGAGAGCGGGAUCAAGCUGCAGCGCGCGACCCUGGUCGCGCAGGACAGCUGGAGGAGGAAGUGCGAAGGCUAGCGCAAAUAAUUGAUGACAUGCAAGGGAGGAACAGAGCCCCUGGUUGGAGGAUAAUGCUGGACGGGGAAUCACCGCUCGCAGCAGAGAUCAUGAGGGCAGUUAUUCCAAGAGAUUUCCGCCUCCCCGACCUCAGAUACUCGGGAAAAACUGACCCGCUGGUGCACAUAGAGCGCUUCAACGACAUAACGGGGGUCCAGGGAUUAUCUCCAUCCCAAAGGUGCAGGGUGUUCCCACUAUCCCUUGAGGGACGUGCACGAGAAUGGUACAGGAAACUUCCUCGGGGCAGCAUAAAAACCUUCGAGCAGAUGUGCCAGGAAUUCGCAGAGCAGUUUAGUGGGGCAAUGUCACCGGAAGAUGACAUGAUGGAGCUGAAGAGCAUGAAACAGGGGGAGCAAGAAACCCUUCGGGAAUUCAUCAAGAGGUUUCAUCGGGCUGUCCUCGACUUGGGAGCCUUCAACCACCCUCAGGCGUUAAGGGGACUGAAAGAAGGGGUGAAGAUAGGAAGGCUGUGGUACAAUUUAAGAAGCCCAGCUAUUCAAACGUAUGCAGCCGCAUACGAACAGGCUAAAAGAGACAUCGAGAUUGAGGAGGAGAAGGCUGCACGGAUCAAGACAGACCAGUUGGAAGGGUUAGGGAGGAAAGAGAAGAAAGCAUUACCAACUAAUGGACCGAACAGGAGGAGGGACCACCAGAUCUCCGGUAGUGGAGCAGGAGGUAGGGUAAUUGCUUACCAGCCUCAUCAGAGGCCGCCACAGUAUCAGCGCAGCAGGGCGCCACCUCCUCGCUCCCCAGCUAGGGAGCCUUGGAGAAGACAUGAUUCGGCAUCCGGCGAUCUUCAUCAACAUUCCCACGGUAGCAGGACGAGCAGACCAGAAGCACUCCCACCGCCCCCAACUCACAGUGGGGCAAACAGAGAAAGAGCAGUGCAUCUGGUCGACCAGAACCAGGACUAUGGGCGGUACACUCCCUUGAAGAUGCCCCUGGAUGAGGUGUACGAGGCCAUAAAGGGUCGAGGGCUGCUGCACCUCCCUACACCAAUAGCAAAGCUACCCAACAGGAGGGAUAGAGGACGUUAUUGUAAGUUCCAUGGCACCCAUGGCCAUACCACAGCAGAGUGUAGAGAUCUCAAGACCCAGGUCGAAGAUUUGGUGAGAAAUCGGUACCUGGACGAGUUUAUGGAUGGGACUUUCCCGAUGGUGGCCACCACGGAUGAAGGGGAGCAGAGUGAUGGAAUCUUGAGACGCGAGCCGCCCGCAGCGAGGGUGAUAGCUGGGGGCCCAACGUUGGCUGGAGAUUCGAACAGAUCGAGAAAAAAUUAUGCCAGAUACGCCAUGACCAGUAAAGAGAUACUCUUCAACACCCCAGCAGCCAAACGAGCAAGGGUCAGGCAAGUGCCAAUCAUGUGGACGGAUGAGGAUGAGGAAGGGAUUCUAUACCCCCACGAGGACGCUUUAGUCAUCAAGGCUACGAUCGCUAGCAAGAAGUUUGACCGGAUACUGGUUGAUACGGGGAGCUCGGUUGAUGUGCUAUUUAAAUCAACUUUGGAAGAGAUGGGAAUAGCCGACCGGAAGUUGGAAUACACCAACACCUCCUUGAAGGGGUUCGGAGGAGGGCAGCUGGUCCCUCUGGGCGUGGUCGAACUGCCUAUCACAAUCGGGAGCCCCCCGACAGAAAGAACAAUGAUACUGGACUUCGUCGUAGUGGACGAGGAAGGUCCUUACCAGAUGAUCCUAGGUCGGCCAUUUUUAAGGAUGAGCAAAGCGGUGCUGUCCAACCAUUAUCUGUCUCUGAAGUACCGGGUGAAUGGGGUAGUCGGAGUGGUACGAGGAGACCAGAGGAUCGCAAGAAGCUGCUACUCCUCGGCAGCAAGGGAGGCGAUGCAGAUAACAUCCCUCGAUACCCGAGCGGAAAACAAGACUGGCAGACAAGAACCCGUAGAGGAUCUGGAAACAGUAAGCAUGGGACCGGAGAACCCGGGAAAGACGAUCAGAAUCGGGUCGAGACUUGAGGGAGAGCAAAAGCAGGAGUUGGUGAAAUGCUUACAGGCUCAUGCCGACGUGUUUGCCUGGACACAUGAGGACAUGCCAGGGAUUGACCCAGAGGUAGCAUGUCAUAGGUUGGCAAUAAAGAAAGGUGCUCGGGCAGUAAGGCAGAAGAGGAGGUGCUUCAACCAGGAGAGGUAUGAGGCUGUAAAUGAUGAGGUGGAGAAGCUUCUGAGAGCAGGGUUCAUUCGGGAAGUCAAUUACCCAAAGUNNNNNNNNNNNNNNNNNNNNNNNNNNNNNNNNNNNNNNNNNNNNNNNNNNNNNNNNNNNNNNNNNNNNNNNNNNNNNNNNNNNNNNNNNNNNNNNNNNNNNNNNNNNNNNNNNNNNNNNNNNNNNNNNNNNNNNNNNNNNNNNNNNNNNNNNNNNNNNNNNNNNNNNNNNNNNNNNNNNNNNNNNNNNNNNNNNNNNNNNNNNNNNNNNNNNNNNNNNNNNNNNNNNNNNNNNNNNNNNNNNNNNNNNNNNNNNNNNNNNNNNNNNNNNNNNNNNNNNNNNNNNNNNNNNNNNNNNNNNNNNNNNNNNNNNNNNNNNNNNNNNNNNNNNNNNNNNNNNNNNNNNNNNNNNNNNNNNNNNNNNNNNNNNNNNNNNNNNNNNNNNNNNNNNNNNNNNNNNNNNNNNNNNNNNNNNNNNNNNNNNNNNNNNNNNNNNNNNNNNNNNNNNNNNNNNNNNNNNNNNNNNNNNNNNNNNNNNNNNNNNNNNNNNNNNNNNNNNNNNNNNNNNNNNNNNNNNNNNNNNNNNNNNNNNNNNNNNNNNNNNNNNNNNNNNNNNNNNNNNNNNNNNNNNNNNNNNNNNNNNNNNNNNNNNNNNNNNNNNNNNNNNNNNNNNNNNNNNNNNNNNNNNNNNNNNNNNNNNNNNNNNNNNNNNNNNNNNNNNNNNNNNNNNNNNNNNNNNNNNNNNNNNNNNNNNNNNNNNNNNNNNNNNNNNNNNNNNNNNNNNNNNNNNNNNNNNNNNNNNNNNNNNNNNNNNNNNNNNNNNNNNNNNNNNNNNNNNNNNNNNNNNNNNNNNNNNNNNNNNNNNNNNNNNNNNNNNNNNNNNNNNNNNNNNNNNNNNNNNNNNNNNNNNNNNNNNNNNNNNNNNNNNNNNNNNNNNNNNNNNNNNNNNNNNNNNNNNNNNNNNNNNNNNNNNNNNNNNNNNNNNNNNNNNNNNNNNNNNNNNNNNNNNNNNNNNNNNNNNNNNNNNNNNNNNNNNNNNNNNNNNNNNNNNNNNNNNNNNNNNNNNNNNNNNNNNNNNNNNNNNNNNNNNNNNNNNNNNNNNNNNNNNNNNNNNNNNNNNNNNNNNNNNNNNNNNNNNNNNNNNNNNNNNNNNNNNNNNNNNNNNNNNNNNNNNNNNNNNNNNNNNNNNNNNNNNNNNNNNNNNNNNNNNNNNNNNNNNNNNNNNNNNNNNNNNNNNNNNNNNNNNNNNNNNNNNNNNNNNNNNNNNNNNNNNNNNNNNNNNNNNNNNNNNNNNNNNNNNNNNNNNNNNNNNNNNNNNNNNNNNNNNNNNNNNNNNNNNNNNNNNNNNNNNNNNNNNNNNNNNNNNNNNNNNNNNNNNNNNNNNNNNNNNNNNNNNNNNNNNNNNNNNNNNNNNNNNNNNNNNNNNNNNNNNNNNNNNNNNNNNNNNNNNNNNNNNNNNNNNNNNNNNNNNNNNNNNNNNNNNNNNNNNNNNNNNNNNNNNNNNNNNNNNNNNNNNNNNNNNNNNNNNNNNNNNNNNNNNNNNNNNNNNNNNNNNNNNNNNNNNNNNNNNNNNNNNNNNNNNNNNNNNNNNNNNNNNNNNNNNNNNNNNNNNNNNNNNNNNNNNNNNNNNNNNNNNNNNNNNNNNNNNNNNNNNNNNNNNNNNNNNNNNNNNNNNNNNNNNNNNNNNNNNNNNNNNNNNNNNNNNNNNNNNNNNNNNNNNNNNNNNNNNNNNNNNNNNNNNNNNNNNNNNNNNNNNNNNNNNNNNNNNNNNNNNNNNNNNNNNNNNNNNNNNNNNNNNNNNNNNNNNNNNNNNNNNNNNNNNNNNNNNNNNNNNNNNNNNNNNNNNNNNNNNNNNNNNNNNNNNNNNNNNNNNNNNNNNNNNNNNNNNNNNNNNNNNNNNNNNNNNNNNNNNNNNNNNNNNNNNNNNNNNNNNNNNNNNNNNNNNNNNNNNNNNNNNNNNNNNNNNNNNNNNNNNNNNNNNNNNNNNNNNNNNNNNNNNNNNNNNNNNNNNNNNNNNNNNNNNNNNNNNNNNNNNNNNNNNNNNNNNNNNNNNNNNNNNNNNNNNNNNNNNNNNNNNNNNNNNNNNNNNNNNNNNNNNNNNNNNNNNNNNNNNNNNNNNNNNNNNNNNNNNNNNNNNNNNNNNNNNNNNNNNNNNNNNNNNNNNNNNNNNNNNNNNNNNNNNNNNNNNNNNNNNNNNNNNNNNNNNNNNNNNNNNNNNNNNNNNNNNNNNNNNNNNNNNNNNNNNNNNNNNNNNNNNNNNNNNNNNNNNNNNNNNNNNNNNNNNNNNNNNNNNNNNNNNNNNNNNNNNNNNNNNNNNNNNNNNNNNNNNNNNNNNNNNNNNNNNNNNNNNNNNNNNNNNNNNNNNNNNNNNNNNNNNNNNNNNNNNNNNNNNNNNNNNNNNNNNNNNNNNNNNNNNNNNNNNNNNNNNNNNNNNNNNNNNNNNNNNNNNNNNNNNNNNNNNNNNNNNNNNNNNNNNNNNNNNNNNNNNNNNNNNNNNNNNNNNNNNNNNNNNNNNNNNNNNNNNNNNNNNNNNNNNNNNNNNNNNNNNNNNNNNNNNNNNNNNNNNNNNNNNNNNNNNNNNNNNNNNNNNNNNNNNNNNNNNNNNNNNNNNNNNNNNNNNNNNNNNNNNNNNNNNNNNNNNNNNNNNNNNNNNNNNNNNNNNNNNNNNNNNNNNNNNNNNNNNNNNNNNNNNNNNNNNNNNNNNNNNNNNNNNNNNNNNNNNNNNNNNNNNNNNNNNNNNNNNNNNNNNNNNNNNNNNNNNNNNNNNNNNNNNNNNNNNNNNNNNNNNNNNNNNNNNNNNNNNNNNNNNNNNNNNNNNNNNNNNNNNNNNNNNNNNNNNNNNNNNNNNNNNNNNNNNNNNNNNNNNNNNNNNNNNNNNNNNNNNNNNNNNNNNNNNNNNNNNNNNNNNNNNNNNNNNNNNNNNNNNNNNNNNNNNNNNNNNNNNNNNNNNNNNNNNNNNNNNNNNNNNNNNNNNNNNNNNNNNNNNNNNNNNNNNNNNNNNNNNNNNNNNNNNNNNNNNNNNNNNNNNNNNNNNNNNNNNNNNNNNNNNNNNNNNNNNNNNNNNNNNNNNNNNNNNNNNNNNNNNNNNNNNNNNNNNNNNNNNNNNNNNNNNNNNNNNNNNNNNNNNNNNNNNNNNNNNNNNNNNNNNNNNNNNNNNNNNNNNNNNNNNNNNNNNNNNNNNNNNNNNNNNNNNNNNNNNNNNNNNNNNNNNNNNNNNNNNNNNNNNNNNNNNNNNNNNNNNNNNNNNNNNNNNNNNNNNNNNNNNNNNNNNNNNNNNNNNNNNNNNNNNNNNNNNNNNNNNNNNNNNNNNNNNNNNNNNNNNNNNNNNNNNNNNNNNNNNNNNNNNNNNNNNNNNNNNNNNNNNNNNNNNNNNNNNNNNNNNNNNNNNNNNNNNNNNNAGUGUGAAUUAAAUCCCUGAUUACCAAACGGCACUUUUAUUAGAGAAGCUCACCUCCAUGGCCUCCCCUUGGCCAUUCGCUCAAUGGGGAAUUGAUCUGAUCGGCCCAUUGCCAAAGGGACGAGGAGCAGCAACACAUGCAAUAGUCGCUAUAGAUUACUUCACGAAGUGGAUAGAGGUAGAAGCCCUUAGCAGGAUCACAGAGAAGAAAACAACAGACUUCGUGUGGAGAAACCUGGUCUGUCGAUACGGGAUCCCAUAUGCCUUGGUAACGGAUAAUGGCAGGCAGUUCGAUAAUCACAGCUUCAGGGAUUUCUGCCAGAACCUCGGGAUAGAGCUGAAGUAUUGCUCGCCUGCUCACCCCCAAUCGAAUGGACAAGUAGAAGCAGCCAACAAGACAGUCAAGAGGCUUCUGAAAACCAGGCUCGGAGCAAAAAAGGGUGCGUGGGUUGACGAGCUGUCAGGUGUGCUAUGGGCAUACAGAACAACCCACAAAACCGCAACGGGGGAGACACCGUUCGCUUUGGCUUUCGGACAUGAAGCGGUCGUGCCGGCUGAGGUAGGAACGACCACACACCGGACAGAUCAUUUCAAUGAGCAGGAGAACGACGAGCAGAUAUGUUUGAAUCUUGAUCUGCUAAUGGAGAGGAGGGAACAAGCAGCCGAGCGAUCAGUCACUUACCAACAGAGGGUUGCUCGGUAUUAUAACCAGAAGGUGAACAUACGGCAAUUCAGGGUCGGAGACUGGGUACUGAGAAGAGUGAAUCAGAGCACCAAAGAUUCGACUCAAGGAGUGCUGGGACCGAAUUGGGAAGGGCCGUAUAGAGUCAAGCAGAUAGCGGAGCCCGGAGCUUACAAGCUGGUUCGCGCGGACGGCCACGAAGUGAAACGCCCAUGGAACGCAGCACACCUCCGAAAAUACUUCCAGUAAGACUUGCUCACAUUUUAAAGCAAUUUCUGCUCAUGCUGUCUAUCUUUUAUUUUUAUGUUUUAUGUCCGAACAAUUUCAUGUAAGUCAAAUCCUGCCAUUAAUGUAACGUCGACGAAUUUUAUUCGCUUGAAACCGAAAAAAAAUCCUAAGGCAUGCAAAGGCUCGCCAAGUCUCAGAGCCUGUCUUAUGGCGAGACAGAAGCCAAGCAUGCCAGGAUCUGCUCGGCCACGAGAAGGCAGCAGAAUCCAAAUCGUUUGAAGAAAAUCCUAAGGCAUGCAAAGGCUCGCCAAGUCUCAGAGCCUGUCUUAUGGCGAGACAGAAGCCAAGCAUGCCAGGAUCUGCUCGGCCACGAGAAGGCAGCAGAAUCCAAAUCGUUUGAAGAAAAUCCUAAGGCAUGCAAAGGCUCGCCAAGUCUCAGAGCCUGUCUUAUGGCGAGACAGAAGCCAAGCAUGCCAGGAUCUGCUCGGCCACGAGAAGGCAGCAGAAUCCAAAUCGUUUGAAGAAAAUCCUAAGGCAUGCAAAGGCUCGCCAAGUCUCAGAGCCUGUCUUAUGGCGAGACAGAAGCCAAGCAUGCCAGGAUCUGCUCGGCCACGAGAAGGCAGCAGAAUCCAAAUCGUUUGAAGAAGAUUCCCAAGGCAUGCGAAGGCUCGCCAAGUCUCAGAGCCUGUCUUAUGGCGAGACAGAAGCCAAGCAUGCCAGGAUCUGCUCGGCCACGAGAAGGCAGCAGAAUCCAAAUCGUUUGAAGAAAAUCCUGAGGCAUGCAAAGGCUCGCCAAGUCUCAGAGCCUAUCUUAUGGCGAGACAGAAGCCAAGCACGCCAUGAUCUGCUCGGCCACGAGAAGGCAGCAGAAUCCAAAUCGUUUGAAGAAAACCCUAAGGCAUGCAAAGGCUCGCCAAGUCUCAGAGCCUGUCUUAUGGCGAGACAGAAGCCAAGCAUGCCAGGAUCUGCUCGGCCACGAGAAGGCAGCAGAAUCCAAAUAGUUUGAAGAAAAUCCUGAGGCAUGCAAAGGCUCGCCAAGUCUCAAAGCCUGUCUUAUGGCGAGACAGAAGCCAAGCAUGCCAGGAUCUGCUCGGCCACGAGAAGGCAGCAGAAUCCAAAUCGUUUGAAGAAGAUUCCCAAGGCAUGCGAAGGCUCGACAAAGUCUCAAAGUCUGUCUUAGGGCCAGACAAAAGCCCAGCAUGCCAGGAUCUGCUCGUUCGCGAGAAGGCGAGCAGACUCCGAAGCAUUCGGAAAGUUUUCUACGGCACGCAAAGGCCUCACCAAGUCUCAAAGCCUGUCUUACGGCGAGACAGAAUCGAUCAGCGUUUCAGACGAAAAUUAAUUCAUGAGUACGACACGAGAUAGUAAUCAACAACAUUUUUAUUAAUGGCUAACAGAGGGGAUAAAUUUCAUAAACGUUGUUCAUUACAAUACAAGAAGAAAUAUAUCAAAAAGAUGGUGGAUCAGUGAGCCGAGCAGCAUCGGUUGGCUGGACCUCCUCGGGUGCGGGAGGGGUAUCACCAGUUGCGUCCGGGGGGGUGCUCGCCUCGCCAACAUCAGCAGGGACUGCACGAGGAGGAGAGUUACCCUCCUCAAUCACGAUCGGCUCUAACCCCUCGGCAUCUUCCUUGGCCGCCUCCUCGUCCAUAUGUUGAGCAACACCAGCUGCAAGGUCAUCCAUCUUCAGAUCAGGGUGUUGCUUCCCGAGGACGGCCAUGAUACAACGAUACGAAUGCCGAAGUCCCUGGUCGUACUGGUUGUCGGCCUCCCUCUCCAAGUUCUCUACAUGAGCUCGGUGGGAAUCGCGGAGAGAUUCGAGCUGAGCCUCAUACAUAGCCCUCUGCCCUUGGAGAUCCUCCUUAACCUUGGUCAGCUCCUCCUCGAGGGUAAUGGCUUUUGCUUGAGCAAGGGACUCUUGCUCUAUCAGCUUGAGGUUCUCAACGUUUAGCUCCCCCGCCUUUUUCUCGGCAACGUCAGCUCUGGUCGUCGCCGAUUGAAUGUCCUCCUUCAUCUUCCUGUCGUAACGGCCAACCUUGGCCUUAUAGUAGGUGGCCAUGCAGCUGAGAUGGAAAGCACUGUACUGCAUGGCUCCCACCAGCUCGCCCAGGGUACAACCGUCAAAGCCCUCCAGGUCCUUCUUGUUCACGAGUUUAGACAACUCAUUGAGAUAGGGAACCAAGUGUUCUGGUCGGCUGUCGGGUAAGCGAGACCGAGGCACAACAGGUGGAGAAGAGGAAGCAGGAUCAGUGGCUGCUCUACUGGAUUCCCCGACUUUGGCAGAGGCAGGAGGGAGAGCCUGCAAGGGAGGAACCUGCUGCACGAUGUUCUUUCGCUUCGCAGCGGGAGCAUCUUUGUCCUGGUCCCUAUCGGUUGUUGGAGGCCGAGAGCGUUUCCUGGUCAGAGCUCCAAUCACUGCGUCCUCCAUCUUAUGGCCAGGAAGUAUCAACCGAGACUCGAGGAAGUUGUAUGUAGAUAGCAGUUCUCGGCUCGAGCAGGAAUUGGCCAAUACAGCCUCGACCCGUUUAAGCAGACCAGGUCGGAGCGGGAAGUGAACACCCCAGGAAACUACAGCACAAACAGACACUUGGUUAGAGACAAACCAAUACAGCAGGAACAAUUAUGGAUACAAGACAUCUAAAGCGAGCAGGCAACCUGGGACCGUGAAACGGGGUGGGACGCGACAAUCCUUCCCGUCUAUUUGUGCAACUUGACCCCAGGGACCCCCAGCAAAAAAGAAUUUCCUCUUCCAAGUCCCACCACCACCAGUUGGAAGAUCAGUUAUGGGUUUCCUGCUCUUGGUACCAGAUUGGAAGUAGUACCAGCCGGCAUCUUUAGGGCUGCUCUUCAGCUGGUACAGGUGCUUCACCUCAUCAACCGUGGGCUCGCUUUGGCAACAUCUAUCCCACAAUAUGAACAGACCAGAGAGCACUCUCCACCCGUUGGGGUUCAGCUGACCAGGAGCCAGAUUUAGCCCGUUAAGUAUCCGGGCAAAGUAAGGCUGCAAGGGACACCUCAGCCCAUACUUAAAGCUCUCCAGAUACAGGGUAACGUAUCCCCUGGGAGGCCGGCUAGGUGUAUCCUUCUUUCCUGGGAUCCUAAGAGGUAUCUCACCAGGAAUACUAUACCUAAGUCGGAGGUCAUUGAGCUCGUCGAACGUGGUCGUACACGACAUGUAAUCAAUGGCAUAAUCACGCGACAAGGCUCUACCCCCUACUGUACCCCGUUCUUUUGGUCGUGAUGCUCCUGAUGGGGACGCCUCACUAGAAUCAUCCCCUUGACCCUCACUCAAGGUGUUCUCCGAUCCAGAAGAUCCUUCUUCAUCGCUACUGUCGCUUGAGGAGGUUGUUUGGGGAGACAUCCUCCUAGCGCUAGUACCAACACUAGACCUAAUGGGCUCUAAGGGGAUCCCGGGAUCAAAAGCAAAAUCAGCGGGCAGACUAGGCAAAAAACCUAGUUCGUCGUCACCAACCUCAACGACCUUCUCCUUACCCUUCGACAUAUCCUAAGUUCUAACCAAAACACCACCGCCAACUACAACCUCAAGCAAAGCAGAGAGAAAGGAAAUUACCUACAACUAACCAAUACCGAAAAAAUAUAGAAGAAAUACCUGAAGCAGGGACUCGGUCAGAGAGAGACAGGGAUGACAGCUUUGGCGCCGAGGUUCAUUCGCCGGAGAGACAAGAAUGGAGAAAAUGACGAGUUCGUGUUUGAAGAUUUUGGGUUUCCUUACUGAGAAGCAAACUCUUGGGCUGCCAGCAUUUAAUGACGCAUAUUCCGAGAAUCCCGUAACCGUCGGUUUGAAAUUCAAAUGGAGGGGGGGAUUUCUGCCACGUCACCUCGUCCGCAAUUAAAUGCGACAUGACUCCUGGCAGCCUUUUCCAAACCCACGCGAGCGAGUACUAUCGAGUUUCUACUGCUGGUCCACUACAUUACCCAACACCAGAAACUGGGGGACCGGUGUUUGGGAGGGAUACUGUUUGGGACAAAUGCGUCGAAGGGACCAGGAACGACGAGCAGACAUCUGAUGGCGGAGUUCUGCGAACCGGUGUUUUCCGUUAAAGCCUGGCGCGUGGAAGAACAGGAGCAGAAACAUCCUGCUCGUCCACGAUGUUGUCGUCCGCGAGGCCAAUUCCUAUAAAAGGCACGAGGCCAUUCCGGCUAGAGAUCGAGAGGCGAGGAGACCCGGUCGACGGCAGUUGGCAAGACGUGCUCUCCAGCACGAGAAUCUAGGCACAACAGCCACGCUUUCCCCAGAACCGCGACGUAACACGCAAGAUCUCACGGAGCCAGGACAGCCACACUUUCCCCAGAACCGUGGCGUAACACGCAAGGUCUCACAGAGCCGUGGCAGCCACGCUUCCCCUGAACCGUGGCGUAACACGCUAGAUCCCAUGUUUUGCCCAUAACGCAGCAGUUGGAGUCCCAUACCGUCUCGAAAAGAGCGGAAGACUGAGAUUCAGAGGAAGCCUAUAAAAAGGUAGCCAACGAAGGUAAAAGGGUUGGCAUUCUUGAGAAAAGGGGAGAAAACCACAAGAAACGCCAUAAGACCUGUGGCAAGCUUUUCCCGAACCUUCAUAUCUGACUUGAGCGUCGGAGGGUUUGCGCCGGGAAAACAACCGGCGUACUCUGACUUAUCUGUGUACGCAGGGACCUCCGGAGAAGAAGCCUGGCGAGGAGACCUCCUGGUAGUGACGAAGUUGAUCGAGCAGAGAUCCUGAUCGUAGAACGAGGAGAACCGGAAUCUCGCAUCAACAAUUAUAUUAUGAUUAGGAUUUAAAGAUGGGAUAGUUCAUAAUUUGCGGGUGUAAAACUUUUAAUUUAAUUAAUUUAAUAAUUAUCGUUUAAUGUAAUUUCCACUAAUAAUAGAAUUAUAAUAAAAAUAAAUGGAGUUUAAUAAUAGGCUUCAUGCAUGUGCUCCUCACAACCCUUAGAUCAAGAUCCAAUGGCUGGUCAAACUUCAAAAGUCAACAUCACACAUGGCAUCAUUUGACUCGUCCGAUUUACCCAAAGAACGGUUGAGAUUUGGCGGGUUAAUGGGUGGAUCGGGUCGACCCGAAUACAAAGAUUCGGAUCCUCCAACUUGCUUCACCAACCAUUGCCACGUGGCACAAUCAUGGCCAUUGAAUCAUGAACGGUUGAGAUUUAGUCAAGAUUGCCAGUUAUCCCAUGCACUCAUAUCUAUUGUAAGCUCAUUUCAUCAUCCAAUCAGUGCUCGGUCAACAGGAAAAGUCAACUUUUUUUACACAAGCCCAAUUUUAAGCCGAUCUUGACUGAUCUUAAGGUUUUCGGACCUCCGGAAUCCAAAUUUGACCUCCGUUUAUCUGUUUGGAGCCUCGAAGUACGUGAAAUUAAUAAUUUUCCUAAUAAACACAUAAAAAUACACAAAAUUAAAUAUAUUUAAAACAUAAUUAAUAAUUCAUAAUAUAUUACAUAAACACAAAUAUAAAUUAUAACAUAAGCAUAAAAUAACAUAUUAUCGCUUGAUAAUUAAACAAUUUUUAAUACUAAUCACACCCCCCAACCAGCUUAUUGCUAGCCCUCUAGCAAUUAAAGCGUUAUAUUAAGAUUUAUAAAAUUCACAUGCAAGUUAAUAGUUGUUCAUCUAUCCUCUAAAUUACCAAAUAAAUGAACUCUCCCAAAUUCCUUUACCACAUUGAUGUUCACUCAUUAUCCAGAAUAUCAUCAAACCUUCUUUUGUGCUCAAGUAAUUAACACAAUACUUAUGGGGCUUCAUUAAAAGAAAAACAACAUUUUCGUUCUAAAAUUCAUUAGAAAUUAUAUCUUUAGGCAAUAGAUUAUUCACACAUUUUUUUUUUAUAUUACAUUUCUAACCCGUGUAGCGAGCUUUAGGUCAAUGACUCCCAGACCAGUUGGCCUUAGGGCACUAGGUGUUGAAGCACCCCUACGGACUUAAUUACUCGGGUUUCUAAUAAACAAACAAUAUAUCUAUUACCCAUGUAGCGAGCUUUAUGCCAGUGACUCCCAGACCAGUUGACCUUAGGGCACUAGGUGUUGAAACACCCCUACGGACUUAAUUACUCGGGUUUCUAGAUAUAACAAAAUUAAAAACAUUUUUUCUUCUUCUUUUUUUUUGAUUUUUUUUUUUUUUUGGUUUUUUUGUUUUUGGAAAUAUACACUUUCUACUACCUUAGAUACUAUUCCUAAUAAAUCAAAAGAACUAAAUGCUGUAAAACUUUAACUUACAACCCACUAGUAUGUGUCAUAGUGUGUGUGUGAAGAAUGAUUCAAUAAUACCUGUUAAAUGAGUAAACAAUUAAAUAACUUAAUAACCAAGUGGAGAGUUCACAAAUUUGAGUAAUUCAAAGAAAAGGGAACAAAAACAACUUACUAUGAAUCUCAAAAUCAAAAUAUAAUACAACAAGACUAUUAGGAUGCGUCUCAAAAGUCGUGACUCUUUACACGGCCAUCCUAGACAAAAAGCAAAAUUUUUUUUUUUUGGUUUUUUUUUUUUUUUUAACAAAGAAAAGAAAAGAGAAAAGAGAAAAACAACACACAUAUUUAAAACAUACGUCAAUUAUCCCCACCCCACAACCUAAUCUAAACAUUAUCUUAACAUUUUAUAAUUUUACAGAUAUGCAAAAAAAAUAAAAAUAAAAGAGAAUAAUAAAAGAAGAAGAAGAAGAGAUCUCACCUGAACUUGAUGCAGAAGCUUAAAAGCAAAUAACAAAGAUGAAGAAAGAGUCAAUUUUUUUUUUAACAACACCCUUAAGAUUAAGAAGAUGCGUUUCUAGAGAGACUACAUUCUCUAUAUCCUGCCAUCUUCAACUCAAAUUUGUCCUAAGUUAGUCUUUACAGAAAAAAAAAUUUUUUUUUUGUUUUUUGUUUUUUUUUUUUUUUUGUAAACACAUAACCAGGACUAAGACAUUCCACAAUUAUCAACUAUUCCCUCCCCCCAACCUGAAAAAGACAUUGUCCUCAAUGUUUUAAAAAGAAAGAGAAAGAGUGUAGAAGACAUCACAUGAACACUACAACAGAAAAUAUUUACAAACGGAGAGUUAAAUCUAAAUCGCACUUCUUAUUACUGUUACUGUUACCGUUACCGUCAUUAGUCGACCAAUUCAGUGCAACAGUCUGUGGAUCUGGCUCUGGUGUAUAAGCUUGCAAAAGAUCAAGUAACUCAUUAGCAGUAGAAGCAGAGAUAAAGAGUUUUUUUACAGAAUGUGGAACAAAAUGAUUCUUUAUUGCAUGGUUAAUAAAAGUUAGCAAGCCGUCAUAAAAAUUAUUAACAUUUAACAAACCGAUGGGUUUUUGAUGAAUGUUCAAGUGGGCCCAAGAUGCAAAUGUAAUUAGUGCCUCAAAAGUUGCAAGAUCUCCUGGCAAGAAAAUAAAAGCAUCAGCAUGAUUCAUCAUUUCAGAUAUUCUCUCUUGCAUACUUGAUACCACUAAUUCUUCUCCAAUUGGUGGGCCAGACAUGCACACUAGCGGUUUCAUGGGUUUUGGGAUAAUGCCGAGUACUUGGCUUCCUCUGGUAAAAACAGCUUCUGAGACAAGUCUUGAUAACCCUCGUUCACCUCCUCCAUAUACAAGAUGCAGUUUCCUCUCUGCUAUGACACGACCAAGAUCUACAGCUGCCUGAACGAACUCUUUGUACUUUCCAUAGUGAAACCCAGAAAGCACACAAAUAUUUUUGAAUUGUUUACUCGAAGAUGAUGCCAUUGGACUAAUUUUUCAAAAACAAGUUGUGAGUGUUUGAAAAAUGAGCUCAUAUUUAAAGAUCUUGGUAACAUAAAUAAUGAGAAACAGCUGUAAAUGGGUUGGCAAUAUUUGUCAAAUAACGAGUAAAGCUCGUGGCUCAAUAAUUCAAAAACAAACAGUAAAAAGAAAGUAAUGAUUAGAAAAAGCAAACAGUAAAAGAAAACCAAAUAUUUAUUAAAUACAAAAUCACAUCGCUAAAUGCAAUAAUGCAAAUGAUAAAAUAACAGUAAAGUAAAAUAACAGUGAAGUGAAAGGAUAUUUACUGGUAGUUGUGAUUGUGGCUCACAUCUUCCUCUGGUUUUACGUCCAGUAACGGCUUGAACGCCCUCUAUGGGUCGAGGAUCGGCUUCCCAUCCAGUUUUCUUAUAAACUGGCAAACAGGGUCUUUUUGAGUCAGAUUCCCAAGACUUAACUGUGCACUUUGUUUUUGGAAUAGUAUCCACAAAUUGUAAAUCUCACGUUGCACAAUUCCGCUUCGAUGCGUCUCAAGAGAUCGUAAGAUAUCAUCCAACGAUUCUUUACUCAUGCCAUCUUUAACGAAUUUAAUUUUAUCUUCACGAGUAUCAGAAACCAUUCCUAAAGAUUUACAAUCUGGUCGUUUGCAACCAAGUCUCACACAGUUAUGACAUUUUGAGCCAAGUCGUUUAGCUCUCCUUUUCUUAACAAACGUACUUUUACCAAAACCAGGCAUGUAAGAAACAAAUUGACCAGAAAACUCACCUGCUAAUCGGACCUUUGCUUCAAUUAACCAACGAAUGUCAGAAGGAAUGCCAUUGAUCAUUAACAAACGCAGUCGUUCACAACGAGCUUUGUAAAUUUUCCUGAGGGCAUUCUGAGGGAGAGAGGGAAAAUGCUUAUGGAGUUUAUGUUGUAUUUCUUCCAUGUAUGAUUUUGGGGUUUCAGUUAUUGUGGGAAACUGAAGAUACCGACUUAAGAAGUCACGGAGUACCGUUAUCCGCCAUUUAUACGGGAAAAUAAAUCAAAACACACCAAAAUCAAAUCUGCAAAAUCAAAUCAAGCGUGAAAGCGAGCAAAAAGAAGCACACAAUAUAAAAGGAAAAUGAACUUACAUUCGUCCUCUCAUUGAGUUAACCUCAAGCUCCAUUUGAAAUUCAUAUAUGCCACUCUCUACUGUUCUGAGUUGUCCCUCUAGAUCCUCAACAUAGGACACGAAUUCUGGUGGUUGCAGAUCCCAAAGUGGAUGUGAUUUACAGCUUUGUAUCAGGCCUCUUAAGUGAAAUUUUAUACGCCGAAAUCUUUUAAGAUGUGCGAACAGGUAUUUUCUCAUUGAGGUGCUCAUGAUGUAAAAUGAAAAUUAAUGAGAGAAUGUACAACUGUCAAACAAACACGCUUACACAAGAAAAACAAUGUUAAAAAAAAAACUAUGUACAGUGCAUCAAUCUAAGGAAAAAAAAAAAAAAAAAAGUCAAACAAUGAAACGGUAAAAUAAAAAAAAAUCAUUAAAAACUUAAUCAAGAAUUGGUGGGUCAUCCAAAUUAAUUUCGGUGUCCUCGUCACGUGGGUGAUGUUCCAGAUAUGGUUUUAAUCUUUGACCAUUAACUUUAAAUGUGACACCAUUAUUUGGAUUCUCAAUUUCUAUGGCCCCAUAUGAAUAUACAUUUUUUACAACAAAUGGGCCACUCCAUUUUGACUUUAACUUUCCUGGAAAUAAAUGAAGACGAGAAUUAUAAAGCAACACUUUUUGACCAAUCUCAAAUGUUUUUCGAAAAAUUCUUUUAUCAUGAAAUGCUUUUGUUCUUGCCUUAAUAAUUCUUGAAUUUUCAUAUGCAUCAUUCCUUAAUUCCUCAAGUUCAUUCAAUUGCAAUUUUCGCACAUUACCAACAUCAACCAAAUUUGAAUUAAAAGCUUUAAUAGCCCAAAGUGAUUUAUGUUCAAGUUCAACAGGUAAAUGACAAGGUUUACCAUAAAUUAACCGAUAGGGUGACAUUCCUAAUGAUGUUUUAAAUGUAGUGCGGUAAGCCCAAAGUGCAUCAUUAAGUCUAAGAGACCAAUCUUUUCGGUUUGGGUUAACCGUUUUUUCCAAAAUUUGUUUUAUCUCCCUAUUUGCUAAUUCAACUUGACCAUUUGUUUGAGGAUGAUAAGGGGUAGCAAUUUUAUGUGUAAUUCCAUAUUUCUUCAUUAAAGACUCAAAUGACUUAUUACAAAAAUGCUUACCUCCAUCACUGAUAAUGGCUCGAGGGAUUCCAAAUCGACUUAAAAUGUUUUCUCUUAAAAAUUUAAUCACAGUUUUACUGUCAUUAUUUCGACAAGAAAUUGCUUCAAUCCAUUUUGAGACAUAAUCAACUGCAACUAAUAUAUACACAAAUCCAAAAGAUGAUGGAAAUGGACCCAUGAAAUCAAUUCCCCAACAGUCAAAUAUUUCAAUUUCAAGUAUGGGAUUUAAGGGCAUCAUGUUUCUUUUUGUAAUUGAUCCCAAUUUUUGACAUUUUUCACAACUUUUGCAAAAUUCAUAUGUGUCUUUAAACAUGGUAGGCCAAUAAAAUCCACACUGCAAAAUUUUAGCAGUAGUUUUUCUUGAAGAAAAGUGACCACCACAUGCUUCAGAAUGACAAAAAUUAAUGACACUACUUACCUCAUUAUCAGGAAUACAUCGCCGAAAAAUUUGAUCUGGGCAAUAUUUGAACAAAUAAGGAUCAUCCCAAUAAAAUUUCUUUACUUCAACAAAAAAUUUCUUCUUCUCUUGAGCAUUCCAUUGCAAAGGCAUUUUACCUGUAACAAGAAAAUUAACAAUAUUAGCAUACCAUGGCAUUGAAGUAACAGAAAAUAAAAAUUCAUCAGGGAAAGAAUCAUUUAUGGGUGUUAUAUCAUUGCAGAAUUCGGAUGUGAGUCUUGAUAGAUGAUCAGCAACAACAUUUUCAGCACCCUUUUUAUCUUUGAUGGUAAGGUCAAAUUCUUGUAGUAACAAAAUCCAACGAAUUAGUCUCGGUUUGGCAUCCUGUUUACUCAUCAAAUAUCUCACAGCAGCAUGGUCAGUAAACACAACAGAUUUAGAGCCAAGCAAAUAUGAACGGAAUUUGUUUAAUGCAAAUACCACAGCAAGUAAUUCUUUUUCAGUUGUAGAAUAAUUCAUUUGAGCACUAUCCAAAGUCUUGCUCGCAUAAUAAAUCACAAAAGGCUUACCAUCCCUUCUUUGUCCUAAAACAGCACCAACAGCAAAAUCACUUGCAUCACACAUUAAUUCAAAUGGCAAAGACCAAUCAGGAGAUUGCAUAAUAGGUGCAGAUGUUAAAAGACAAAUUAUUUUUUCAAAAGAUUUUUGGCAAUCAUCAUUCCAUUCAAACGGUGCAUCUUUUAAUAAGAGGUUACAAAGUGGUUUAGAUAUGGCACUAAAGUUUUUUAUAAACCUCCUAUAAAAUCCUGCAUGUCCUAAAAAGGAUCGCACAUCUCUAACUGUUUUUGGUUGUGGCAAUUUAGAUAUGACUUCGAUUUUUGCUUUGUCAACUUCAAUUCCUUUAAUAGAAACAACAUGACCCAAAACAAUUCCAGAAGUAACCAUGUAGUGACAUUUUUCCCAAUUCAACACGAGUUCUUUUUCAACACAUCUUUUUAAAACUUUCUCCAAAUUAUCAAGGCAAUCAUCAAAAGAAUUCCCAAACACAGUCAAAUCAUCCAUAAAGACCUCUAAACAAUGUUCAACCAUAUCACAAAAAAUGCUUAACAUACAUCUUUGAAAUGUUGCAGAAGCAUUACAAAGCCCGAAUGGCAUUCUUUUAAAUGCAAAUGUUCCAAAAGGACAUGUGAAUGUGGUCUUUUCUUGGUCCUCAAGUGCUAUAGGAAUUUGAUAAUAACCUGAAUAUCCAUCUAAAAAACAAUAGUAGGGAUGUCCUGCUACUCUUUCUAAGAUUUGGUCAAGGAAUGGUAAUGGAAAAUGAUCUUUUCUAGUGGCUUCAUUUAAUUUUCUAUAAUCAAUGCACAUGCGCCAACUAGAUGUAAUUCGUGUUGGAAUUAAUUCACCUUUUUCAUUUUUAACAACAGUGAUUCCAGAUUUUUUAGGCACUACUUGUGUAGGACUUACCCACUUACUAUCAGAAAUAGGGUAGAUAAUUCCCACAUCAAGUAAUUUAAGGACUUCUGUUUUGACUACCUCUUUCAUGUGUGGGUUUAAUCUUCUUUGAGGUUGUUGACAUAUUUUAGCAUUUUCUUCCAAAUUAAUUCUAUGUGUGCAGAUUAAGGGAUUAAUGCCUUUAAUGUCAUUUAAAGUCCAUCCUAUUGCAUUUUCAUGCUUUUUAAGAACAGUUAGUAACUUACCUUCUUGGUCGCUUGUUAAAGUAGAAGAAAUCACAACAGGAUAAGUUUGUUCUUCUUCAAGAAAAGCAUAUUUCAAUCCUUCAGGCAAAGGUUUCAAUUCCAUUUUAGGUGCUUCUUGUUGUUCUGUCUUUUCAAUACUUCCAAGCUCCUCAAAUUUUGGCUCGUCAUCAUAAUUUUGCGAAGUCUGCAUAGAAUCAAGCAACGAAUUUAUAUUAGAAAUAUCAAGUUUAAGUUGCUUAUUUGACUCAAUUGAAUUAACUAAACAAACAUUAGAAAGUUCAGAAAAAUCCCCUUUUUGAAUAUUUUCCUCGAUACAGGAUUCAAACAAUUCCUUUUGUUCAUCAGUAUCAUCUUCAUUCUCAUUUUCUUCAUUAGGUUGCCUGCACAUGUUGAAAACAUUCAAUUCCAAAGUCAUAUUCCCAAAGGAUAAAUUCAUUAAACCAUUCCUACAAUUAAUCAAAGCAUUAGCAGUUGCUAAAAAUGGUCGACCUAAAAUUACAGGAAUUGGUUUGUAAUUAUUCACAACAGGUUCAGUUUCCAAGACAAUAAAAUCCACAGGAUAAAUAAAUUUAUCAACUUGUACUAAAACAUCUUCCACUAUUCCUUUUGGUACUUUAACUGAUCUAUCGGCAAGCAAAAGUGUAGUUGAAGUUGAUUUUAACUCACCAAGAUUAAGUUGAAGAUAAACUGAAUAUGGAAGCAAAUUAACACUAGCACCAAGAUCUAGUAAAGCAUGCUCAAUUUUGUGGUUACCAAUAAUACAAGAAAUGGUAGGACAACCAGGAUCUUUAUAUUUCAACUUAUUAUUAGUAGACAGAAUUGUACUUACCUGUUCGGCUAUGAAAGCACUCUUUCUUACCUUCAAUUUCCUCUUAACAGUGCACAAGUCCUUUAAAAAUUUGGCAUAUGAAGGAACCUGCUUGAUUGCAUCUAAUAGAGGAAUGUUAACUUUCACUUGCUUAAAGAUUUCAUAAAUUUCAGAAGAGUGGUUUGAUUUCUUUGGUUUAUUCAAUGCAUGCGGAAAUGGUGGUUCAGGUGGAACACUAGUUAUUUCUUCACUAGGUGUAAGUUCAUUUAGUCCUUCCUUACCCUUUGAAUUUUCAUCAUUUUCAUAAGGUUCAGGCAUAGGUCUAUCAACAACCUUACCACUACGAAGAGUUAUAACUGACUUGACUUGGUCUGUGGGUGGAUUUUGUUGAAUUUUAGGAUUUGGUUGUGGUUGGGCUGGAAAUUUUCCUUUUUCUUGAAUGGUGAGUGCAGAAGCAAUUUUAGCAAGAGUAUCUUUCAAAUCAGAAAAAGUUUGUGCAUUUUGAUUGUUAAUAACAUCUUGCUUUCUGAUGAAUGAAUGCAUUGUGUCCUCCAGAUUUUUCCAAGGUGGUGGAACAUAUGGUGCAUAAGGCUGAGGAUUUUGAAAAUUUUGUGGAGGUGGUGCUUGUGAAGAUUGUGCAUUAUUAUUAUUCCUCCAACUGAAAUUCGGAUGAUUUUUCCAACCAGGAUUAUAAGUCUGUGAAUAUGGGUUUGGUUUAUUGAAAGUGUUAAUAACAUUAACUUGAUCAUUUAGACAUUCUUUAAGUGCAGGCAAAGUGGGACACUCUUGAGUGAAAUGAUCAUUCGAAUUACAUAUGUUACAUGCAAUUUCUUGAACAGAUUUUACUUGAUCACUCUUUUUAUGCUCCAAAGCUUCAACUUUCCUAACUAGGGAUGCAAAUUUUGCUUGUAAAUCAUGAUCUUCCCUAAGGUUAUGGAUUCCUCCACUAGAUGGAGAUGAUUGUUGCUUAUUUGUCAAUUCAAAAGUUCCAACAGUAUCCCAAUGUUGUGCAUUUUCAGCUAAUUGGUCAAGGUAAUCUAGUGCAUCUUCAGGAUUUUUAUCCCUAAAUUCACCAUUACACAUCAUUUCAACAACCUGUCUACUUUGGGGUAUUAAGCCUUCGUAGAAAUAAGUGACCAAUCGCCAAGUUUCAAAACCAUGAUGUGGGCAUAUGUUAAGCAACUCUUUAAACCUAUCCCAACAUUGGUAUAAUGUUUCUCCAUUUUUUUGAGUGAAAGAAGUGAUUUGCCUUUUAAAAGAAUUUGUUCUAUGAGGUGGAAAGAAUUUUUUCAAAAACUGUUCUUGCAUGUUAUUCCAAGUUCUCACUGAUCCAGAUCUAAGGUUUUGUAGCCAAGUUUUAGCUUUAUCUUUUAAUGAAAAAGGAAAAAGCUUUAAUCUAAUUAUGUUCAUGCUACAAUUUUGGUCCGUGUAUGUAUUACAAACUUCCUCAAAAUCUCUUAGAUGCAAGUACGGAUUCUCAGAUUCUAAACCAUGAAAUGUUGGUAAAAGUUGGAUAAUACCUGGUUUAAAAUUGAAUCGAGAUGCUUCUGGAGGAAAUACUAUACACGACGGUGCUCCGGUUCUGGUUGGAUUCAUGUAGUCUCUCAGAGUCCUUGGUUGAUUCUGAUCAUGCCCAUGUUGAGAUUGGUUGUCUCCCUGAUCAAUUUGAGGAUUAGGUUCGCCCAAAACGUUUUCGCCUUGAUUCUCAUCCAUGAUUGGUGGUGGAGAUUGAGAUCUACGAAUUAACCUGCCACUUGAAGAUCGAGACCAAUGUCUCAUGCAAGGGUUAUGUUAUAAAGAUAAUAUUUACAUAAAUUGAUAACAAAAUAAAAUAAAAUAAAUAAAUAAGCAAAUAAUAUAAGUAUACAAAAGAAAAUUAAAUAACAAAAAUGGUGGUUGAACCCACCAAUUAAAAUAAAAAAUGCAAAAUUAAAUAAAUACUGAAAAUUAAAUAACUGAAAAUAAAAGUUAAGGGUUAGUAGUUAGUUUGGUGGUUAAACCCACCAAUAAAGCAAAAAAAAAAAUAAAUACGAAAUAAAAUAAAUGCAGAAAAUUAAAUAACUGAAAUUAAAUAAAAGUUAGGAGUUAGCAGUUAGUAAGUUAAGAGUUAGUAAUUAGAGUUAGUAGUUAAAGUUAGUUUGGUCCAAAAUAAGUCCAAAUAUGUCCAAAGUAUGUCCAAAUAUGUCCAAAGUAUGUCCAAAUAUGUCCAAGUCUUGAUUAUGUUGAGGAAUUUCGUCUAGGGAUUCUAUUGCAAAUUAUUUUUAAUUUUAUGGUCAAACUAUAAUUUUUAGAAGUUUAGAAUUAGCAAUUUGGGAUGAAAGUGAAACAAUUGAAAGAUAUCGGGGUCCGAACGUAAUUACCAGAAGAUUGGGCUAGAAACGGAAACUGUUGGGGUGAAACGAGAAUUAUGAAAGAUAUGGGGACAAAAGAGAAUUUAAGAAAAGGAAAAGGGGGCAAACGAAAUUUUACAUAUAAGAGAAAAAUAAAAACGGAAAAACAAACCAAAUAAAAAACUUUUCCCCGGCAACGGCGCCAAAAACUUGACACAACUUAAAAGUAAAUUUUAACUCCCAAGUAUAAGAGUGUCUUGUUGUAUUAUAACUCGGUGAGUCCGAGGUCGAUCCACAGAGAAAAGAUUUAAUUAGUUUAUUUUAUUUUAUCUAAAAAUUGAAAUUAAAACUUGAAUAUAAACAACUUAAUUUAAAUGAAACUAUGGAAUUGAACUAGUUAGGGUUAUGGAUCCACUCUUAGAAAUAAAUAAAACUUAAUAAAUUCUUUUUGCCAAUUUGUUUUAGAUUUAUUACUCAAAAGAUUAAUUAUACAAAUUAUUAUUAUUUUCCCUUUAAUUUUAUGAUGGAUUAAGUAUUUAUUGUGCCAAAAUUUAAUUUGUCUACAAUAAGUCAAAAUACCAUUUCACCAUGCCUUAUAUUAAGAUCUUAAGAAUUUAUUGUGCCAAAUUCAUUUGUUUGUCUACAAUAAAUCAAAUUUUCAAAAUAUAAAACAUGUAUAAAAUUAAAUAGAAAAUAAUUUAAUUUAUAAAAUUAAACAUAGAAUUUGAUUAAAUCAUAUUUAUUUCUUAAGAGUUUCACCUUCCCCUAACUAAUAUUAUUUAGUUAAGCAUAAUUAAAAUAAAAAGAAGUAGUAAAAUUGAAUUACUUAUAAUUAAAAGAAAUAAAAACAACUAAAAUUGGAAAUAAAACUAAUUUUAUUAAUGAAAAUAAUUAUACAAAAUAUUAAAAACACACCUGGAAAUCAAGAUUACAAGGAGAUGGAGAGAAUUUGAGAAGAAGAGAGUUGUAGAGAGAUCAUUAAAACAUAAAAAUGAGGCUCUAUUUAUAGAAAAAUAAAUUCAUAAUCCAGUGCUUUGCGGUCCAUCAUAGGCUUCAUGCAUGUGCUCCUCACAACCCUUAGAUCAAGAUCCAAUGGCUGGUCAAACUUCAAAAGUCAACAUCACACAUGGCAUCAUUUGACUCGUCCGAUUUACCCAAAGAACGGUUGAGAUUUGGCGGGUUAAUGGGUGGAUCGGGUCGACCCGAAUACAAAGAUUCGGAUCCUCCAACUUGCUUCACCAACCAUUGCCACGUGGCACAAUCAUGGCCAUUGAAUCAUGAACGGUUGAGAUUUAGUCAAGAUUGCCAGUUAUCCCAUGCACUCAUAUCUAUUGUAAGCUCAUUUCAUCAUCCAAUCAGUGCUCGGUCAACAGGAAAAGUCAACUUUUUUUACACAAGCCCAAUUUUAAGCCGAUCUUGACUGAUCUUAAGGUUUUCGGACCUCCGGAAUCCAAAUUUGACCUCCGUUUAUCUGUUUGGAGCCUCGAAGUACGUGAAAUUAAUAAUUUUCCUAAUAAACACAUAAAAAUACACAAAAUUAAAUAUAUUUAAAACAUAAUUAAUAAUUCAUAAUAUAUUACAUAAACACAAAUAUAAAUUAUAACAUAAGCAUAAAAUAACAUAUUAUCGCUUGAUAAUUAAACAAUUUUUAAUACUAAUCACUAGCCUCUAACCGCACAAGCCCUCGGGAGUUAUACCUUUCUAAGGCUGCUUGAAUCCCAUUUAUACGAGCCAUUAACCGUCUUUUACGCUGAAAAAUAUUUCCAAACACCUCCCUAUUCCACUUUUAGACCGUCUGGACAAAAUGGGACGCCGCAUCUCUAUAAUGGGCUUGAGGAUCCCAAACUUUCUUAACAAAAGAAUUGAAGUGCUCAUGAGUCAACCAGGGUGCCAAAAACCGAAAAGGCCUAGUCCCCCGGUGUCUGUACUCAGCUCCCGCAAAACGAACCAGAACUGGCCUAUGAUCUGAAGCAACCUUCGGAAGGUGAAGAACAUAAUUGUCCGCAAAUUUUAUUAACCAAUCACUAUUACAGAGAGCUCUGUCAAGUCGUUUAAACAGAAGUCCACGAGACCAAGUAAACCGAGGGCCUUUAAAUUUUAGAUCAAAAAUUCGGUGCCCAUCAAACCACUGCCGGAAAUUACCGCAAACUCCUGAAUUCCGUGUAGCACCCCCCCUGCUUCUCAGAAGCAUACAAUAUAGAAUUAAAGUCCUCACCAAUUAGCCAAGGCCCUUGAAUUGACAUAGCAAUGCUAUCCAUAUGCUUCCACAGCUGUCUCCGCAACAUCGGGUUUGGGCUAGCAUACACCGCCGUUACCCAAGACAUAAAAGUAUUAUUCCUACAUAUUUUAAAGUGGAUAAAUUGCCUAUGGUUCAGCAUCACCUUCACCUCUAUGUAACUCUGCCAAAGAAUCCAAAUUCCACCCGCAAAGCCCAUUGCUUCCACUCGAUGGGACUGGUCGAAACCACUCUUCUUAAUGAAAUCAUCUGCUUUGACCCCACUAAUGCGAGGUUCCAUCAAAACCACCAAGGAUGGGUUGUAGUUUUUAACAAUUGUCCUGAAUGAGCGCCGAAAAUCAGCCGAGGCUGCCCCUUGGACAUUCCAAUACAUAAUGCUAAUCAUCAUGAGAUAAAUAAAAGCAAAAAAGGAAACAUAAACACCUUAUUAAUGUUGUCCAUUCCCGUCAUGCAUCAACGCCAAAGGCGUUUCCUCGAUCAUCGAGUCUUCCUCAUCGGACAUCUCCUCCCCUUCAUUCUCCCCCAUAGACACAGCCGGAUGCGCUUGAGCAUUUACGUUGUUUAUACAACCAGCAUGUUGAUCGUCUGGAGGGUCAGACACGUGCUCAUACUCCCGUCUCAGCCGACCGCCCUGAUCACUGCCCGCCUUCCUUACAUCUCCAAGAGAUAAGUUUUGGUUAUCACAGAAUAUCACCGUAUGCUUUUUUGGGUCCAAGGUUGUAACUAGAGGGGAAAUUUAUUGGUGGCUGGGGUUGAGCUGAGGGUUAAGACAUGAUUCGGUCCUAGGGUUUGCAUGGGGCAAAUAGUUUGUAUUUUCUUCUCUUAAAGUGAAAGUGGUCUGCUGAAAAGGGUUCCGGAUUGGGUUCAAAGAGAAAGCUGGUGUCUUCUUUUGGGGUUUGGCAGUAACGGCUGUGGUGUGCUGCUGACGUCUAGCCAGAGUUUUAGUUCUAUCCUCGUGAUUGGCAGUAAAUAUUUGGUAAGGGUUGGCCGUGUUUGGUUGGUGAGAAGUGGAUGGAUUGUCUAUCACAGCGGCAUGUGUGGGGUGCUCACGGUCAUCCGUGACCUGCUCAAGAAUUUGGAAUCUAGAAACACCAGCCCUUGUAUUCUCUCAGUUCUUAGUCAAGCCAUUGUUAAUGUCCUUGCCACUAUUAAAUUUUCUGCCCUUUCUCGUGGCUAUCAUCCAAGGUCCAAAGGACUCGGCAUUACUAUCAAUAUUACCGUGAUCAUCUGGUUGGACAGUGUUCCCCUGGGGCUGCGUAUUAGGUUGAGGUUGAACCCCUUCUCCAGAAUUGGUUGCUGAAUUCAAUCCCUUGCAACUACUACUACUAUGGUCGUAUCUUCCACAUGUAAAGCAAAUCACUGGUAAUCCCUCAUACUCUACCUUUUGAACCUUCCCAUCCAACACAAACUGAGAAACCAGAGGCUUGGCCAGGGAGAGACGAACUGCAAUUCGUGCAAAUCUUCCACGCGCUGAGGAUGCUGUGUUCGAAUCAAUUUUCAUCACUGUACCCACCAAUUCUCCAAGUUUCUGGAGUACUUUCCGGUUGUAUAGAUGAACAGCGAGUUCAGGAAGACGGAUCCAUACAUUAACUUGCUCAAUAUCUGUUGUCUUGGCAUCAAAAGACAGCGUCCAUGGCUGCACCAUGAGAUAAUGCCCCAUAAUAAUCCACGGACCUUUUGUUAGGGCAUUGACAACAUCAGUAGCCGAACGAAAGCGAACCAGGAAAUAAUUGUUUUCUAGGUCAAUCACCGAGUAAGUCAUUGUUGUCUUCCACAUGGCAUUCAGUCUCGUACAGAGUGUUCUAUAACCGAUCGUGCGACCCAGCAGCUUCACUAUAACUGAGUUCUGCCAUGGUUCACAUAACUUCUCAUGAACCCUAUCCGAGAAGGUUAUGGAGGGCAUAGGUCCAUCUUUAUUUUCCGUCACGUCCCCUUCCUCAAACUCCCAGUCCCCUGCGCCGCCAUCAUAGCCCAUCUCCAUUGCUCGCGACGAGUUUACAAGGGUUUCCUUAUGCGAAACAUGUACAUGGGUAUCAUCAGCAACCUCCUCAUCACGAAACCUUGCCUUCUUAGUUGUUCUACUUUCCCUGAACGGUGGAGGGAAAAUUCCUCUAGUGCUAGGGUUUUUUCCACUUCCGGAUUUUUCGGAGCUCUCCAUUACUCUUAGUUCUAAUUUCUUUCCUUUUUGCCUAUUAUGCAUUUUUUUUCCUUCACUAGGCAAAGAAAGGACGAUUUCUAUUUAAAGCGCUCAUUUAUAUAACUUCACAUACAUGGCUGUUGAUUCUGCAACAAGUACAAUAAGAAACAGCACAACUACUGAUCUAAAGCAACGAACACAAUUAUAAAUUAACCUUAGGCUGUAGGUGAUUUUCGCUUCUUUUAUCUCCUAUGUCUUCGUCUCGCUCUCCUAUCCUUCUUCUGCUGGUCUUCUCCAACCAUCAUCACUAACCAUUGUGGUUUUCCUGUUGAGAAUACCAUGUAUCCAAUAGACAAUCCAAUUACCAGUCCAGAUGCAUACCCCAUCUUCACCAUUUUCCAGUCAAACCAGCUUGUAGUUUCAUCUACCUCAUGAUCAGUAGAAGCCGAAGGAGGCGCUUUUGGCACCGCGUCAUUGAUGCAUGUUACUGUCCAUGGCUCUCCACACAAAUGAAUGUUCCCAAUAUAGGAAUCAUUUUCAAAUGUAUUAAAUUGAUUGCCGAGAGGAAUGCGUCCCCAAAGCCGGUUAUAUGAAAGAUUUAACAAUGCAAGGGCUAUUGUUGCGCAAAUUUUAAUGUACUCGCAAGCGCACGAAUCUAUUGUAGUAUAGAUCAAUGGUGACGAGUGUCGAUCCCACGAGGAGGUGGAUUUUAAUUAUAUGUAGAAUUAAUUUUGUAAAUGGGUGGUUGAAAUUGUGGUGGAAAUGAUUUAAAUUAUCCUAAAAUUGGAAUUGAGAUGGCGAUAAUAAAUUCUAAAAUUAGAAUUGCAAUGGCGAGAAUAAAUUGAAGAGAAUUCUAUUGAAAUGACGUACUUGGGUAUCUGGAUCCGUAUCAACAUGCAUCAUGGGCUAAAUAAUCCGUAUUAAUCCCAAUUAAAUCAUGAGGGGGGAAUCCACACCUCAUGAACCACGCUCUAAUCAAUAUGGUGCUAAGGGCUUAUCGUGCCAAAUAAUAAUAACCUUGUACUAGAGGGCCGGUGAAAUCAAGGCGGUACUAGACAAGAAUAUUAUUAUUUGUCGACGAGAAGUCAAAACAUCCACAAAAACUAGAGGGGAAGAGAAAAUAAAUUUACCAAAUUAAGCCCAUGACACAUGUUGAGACUUCACCUCCAACCCAAGCUUGAAAGAAAAUUAGCCACUCAUAAUUGAACUAGGGGCAAAAUGAGAAUUUAUUAAAAUACGAAGAAAAUACAAGAUGGAGAAGGAAUUACAAAAAAUGAAUCCCAAAAAUGGAUUCAAAGAUAUCAAAUUAGGGGGAGAGGCCCCCUUUUUAUAGAUACAUGGAGGAAAUCAUGGCCAUCGGAUUAAAAAUAGUUUGGACGCUCAGGAUUGCACCACGUCAUCAGUCAACAGUCCACGGUUUGACCACGCGGAUGAACAGUAACACGGUUUGACCCGAAUGUGAACAAUAACGCGGUUUGACCCGGAUGAACAGUAACGCGGUUUGGUUGAAAAUAAUCCUGUGUGAUGCAUGCACCGUACGCGAGAUUUUUCGUCCAUUGAUAUGCUGCCACGUCACCAUCAACAGUAUAUAAGAAUUUUAGUCCAACAGGAUCGUGACAUCACAUCAGUCAAUGCCACAUCAUCGGUCAAUGCUACGUCAUCGUCCGUCUAUGUGAACAGUAACGUAUACAGUACCGUACACGUGAAUAGUACCGUACAUGUGAAUAGUGCCAUUUUUCCUUUUAUGCUCCUCCUAAGGUUUUCAACCGUCCUGAGUUCAAAAGUGAUGUCCGUUUUGCCAUCUGAUCUCUCGUUUAUUGUGAAAUGACUAUGAUGCCCCUAAAAUACAUAAAAUACUUAAUUAAAAUAAAACAAACGGAAUUAAAUCAAAAGAAGGUUAAAUUCAUAAAAGUAAAGGUGUUAGUAAGACUUGAAAUGUAAAAUGACAGUUUUCUCCUUUAUAAAUAUGCAUUUUCUAACACUCAACACACCCCCCAACCAGCUUAUUGCUAGUCCCUAGCAAAUGAAGCGAAAAUAAAAUUCAAAUUCAAAUUCAAAAUGAUUUUUUUAAAAAAAAAAAUUAGAAGCACUCGUGUUUAUUCAAUCAGAUUAAUGAUAGCAAUCAAAUAAAAGUAUAAACAUUAUCUCCAGUCUAAAGCAACAUCACACUCACAUCAACCAUCCACAUGAAUUAGCCCAGUAGACUUUGUUAUAUCUACUUUCAAGAAUGACAUGUCAAACCCCAAAAUCUCACUGGAAGUAGUGACACUCUCACAAAUAAAUUAAACCCACUAAAAAUAGUCACUCCAAUGAAUGGUAAUUGAGAGAGAAAAUAAUAAAGAAGUGAUAUCACAUGCUCUCACCAAGAUGAAAUAAAUAUGCCCUCAGCUUAGAAAUAAUACGAUCUCAAGUCAAAUAAAAAUGCUAGUCAACCCACUUUAUUUAUCUUCUUUUUUUUUUAUUAUGCAUCACUACAUCUUUUUAGCCCAUAUAACUAGCUUCUACUUCAAACUAUAGUUCCCUAAAAUCAAGAAGGACUUUUAUUGGGACGUAACGUAGGCUGGGGACAUGGCUAACAAAGAAGGGAAAUAAGGAAAACAAAGUAUAUAUUUGAGAAAAAUGCAGAAUUUUUUUUUUGAAAGUUGCAAGGUGGAUUUCACCUAUUAUUUUUAUUUUUAUUCUUUUGAAACAACAACUUUUGUUUUUUUUUUUUUGGCAUAACUUCACUAAACAAAAUAAUUAUUUACAUUUUUCUCAAACAUAAAUAGGUGAUGGAACUUAUAAAACAUCGGGUAAUACUCCAAAUCGGAGUGGGUCAAGAUGAUAAGUUGACAAAGAAAAGGUUUUUUUUUUUUAAAGGCUCAAAAGGGUUAACUAUGGAUAUUUAAUAAAAGGGAUGGCUAGAAAGGCUCAAACGGAUCAAAGAUAGCCUUUCCAUCGUCUUUUAGGGCUCUAAAUAAUCAUCCAUAUCUACUAGUUAGAUGGGCCUCCCAAUGUAACAACACACAUUUUUUUCUUUUUUUCUUUUUUUAUUUUACAAUUUUUUUUAAGGGUUAACUCAAAAGCAAUUUAGAGAUCGUGUGUAAAAUAAUAAACUGCUAACCUGUAUAAAGAGUGGGCAAAAGGGUUAUUUUCCAAGAAAAAUAAUAGGCUCAAAAACUCACUUGGUACUUAUUAUGACAUGUUCAUUCCUUCAAGCAACUCACAUUUGUCUCCGACAUCAACAUGUAGAGUAGCAAACAUAACAUAACAUCACUUAAGACCAAAGAUAAUACAAAUACUAAAAUUUAAAAUUAAUCAUGUCAUCCAAUGUUAAAACAAAUCACACAAUUUUUUUUUUCAAACAACAUUCUACCCCCCAACCUAUUCUAAGCAUGAAAGGAAAAUAUGCAUGCAGAAAUGUGAAAAUGAUGCAUAAAAACUAAUUAGAAAAGUUACACGUAAAAUGAUAGAAAACGAAAAUAAUUUUUUUUUUUAAAGAAGAUGCGUUUCUAGAGGAACUACACUCUAUAUUCAGCCAUCUUCGACUCAAAAGUUGGAAAAUGUAUAUUUAUAGAGGAGAAAUUAAAAAGAAGAAAAAUAAACAUAAACACAUAAUAAAGAAAAAGAAAAUGUCUGAAUUUUUUUUUUAAGUUUUUUUUUUAAUUUUUUUUUAAACGAUGAAGAUGCAUUUCUAGAGUCACUACACUCCAUAUUCAGCCAUCUUCAACACAAAAAGUUAUCAACAGUUAGUUUCUACAACAAAAAAUUAGUAAAAACUUAACCAAAAUUCCACAAAAAAUUAGUAAAAACUUAACCAAAAUUCCACAAUUGUCGAUUAUUCCCUCCCCCCAACCAGAACGAAACAUUGUCCUCAAUGUUUGAAAUGAAAGAAGUAGAGUUUAGAAGACAUCACCUGGGUGGUGCAACACAGAAGAAAAUAUUUACAGGCGGAGAGUUAAAUCUAAUUUGUACUUCUUACUGCGGCUACUGUUACCAUCAUUAUUUGGAUGCUCCAACACAAAGGUCCAGGGGUCUGGCUCCGGUCGAUAAGCUUGUAACAUAUCAAGUAGCUCAUUAGCAGUGUGAACACAAAUAAAGAGUUUUUUCGCAUUAGAGGGAAUGAAAUAGUUUUUUAUUGCAUGGUUAAGAAAUGCGAUAAAGCCAUCAUAAAAGUUAUUGACAUUUAACAAACUGAUGGGUUUCUGGUGGAUGUGCAGAUGGGCCCAAGAUGCUAGUGUGAUAAGUGCCUCUAGUGUUGCAAGAUCUCCUGGAAGGAAAAUAAAAGCAUCAGCAUGAUUAAGCAUUUCAGUUAUUCUUUCUUGCAUACUUGAGACGACUAACUCUUCUCCAGUUGAUGAGUCAGACGAACUGCCCAAUGGUUUUAAGACUCUGGGGAUGAUGCCUAACACUUGACUUCCUCUGAUAAAAGCUGCUUCUGAGACCAUUUUUGAUAACCCUCGGUUACCUCCUCCAUACACCAAGUGUAAUUUUCUCGCUGCUAUGCUUUGACCAAGAUCUAUGGCUGCCUCAACGAACUCUUUAUGUUUGCCAUAGGUAAAUCCAGAAAGCACACAAAUGUUCUUGAAUUGUCUAUUGGGAGUAGCUGUCAUUGUGAUACUUCGCAAAAACAAUUUGUGAGUGCUUGACAAAGAAAAUCACAUUUAAGAGUCUUGGUGAUAGUGGGUCACAGUUGUAUAUGAGGUAACAUGUCAGUGUCAAAUAACGUGUAAAGCACAUGGCUCGCGAGUUAAAAAGGAAACAGUAAAAAGGAAAAAGCAGACAGUAACAAAAUUAUUAAAGACAAUAAAGUAAACAAUAAAACAACAGUAAAAUAAAAUAACAGUAAAGUAAAAGGAUAUUUACAGGUAGUUGCGACUGUGGCUCACAUCUUCCUCUGGUUUUACGUCCAGAAACGGCUUGAACACCCUCUAUGGGUCGAGGAUAGGCUUCCCAUCCAGUUUUCUUAUAAACUGGCAAACAGGGUCGUUUAUAGUCAGAUUCCUGAGACUAUAUCGUGCAUGCUCUUUUUGGAAUAAUGGCCAUAACUGGAGAAUCGCUCCUUGCACAUAUCCACUGGGAUGCGUUUCAAGAGACAAAAGGAUAUCAUCCAAUGACUCCUUAUUCAAGCCAUCCCUAAUGAAUUGAAUCUUAUCUUCCCUGUUAUCAGACACCAUUCCUAAAGAACAUGGGUUUUUAUUGCAACUCAUUCUGGCACACUUAUAACAAGCAACAGAAAUUCUUCGAGGUCGUCGUUUUCUUGCAUAAUUUCCUUUACCACAACCAGGCAUGUAUGCAAUAAAUUUUUGAGGUAACUCACCCGCCGAUCGUACUUUUGCCUCAAUUAACCAACGGAUAUCAGCACGUAUGUUAUUCCUCAUGAGUAAUCGCAUGUGUUCGGACCGAGCUUUAUAGAUCGUAAGGAGGGCAUUCUGAGGAAGUGAAGGGAAUCGCUUGUGAAGCUUCGCUAGAAUCUCGUUUCUAUCCAUACCUUCACCUCAGAAUAUCAGUUAUUAUGGGAAACUGAAGUAACCGACUUGAUUAUCACGGAGUAUCGUUAUCCGCCACUUCACCGGGGUAACAAACUAAAGCACUCAAACAGAAAAAAAAUUAAAACACACAAAGAAAAUUAAAAUCGUCCUCUUAUUGAAUUUACCUCAAACUCCAACUGGAUGUCGUAAACACUUCUCUCAAUGUCUCUGAGUUGGCUUUCUAAACCCUCAACAUAGGCUACUAACUCUGGUGGUUGUAGAGCCCAAAUGCGAUGUGUUUUACAAAAUUGAAUCUGCCGUUUGAGAUGAGUUUUGACACGUUGAAGUGGUUUAAGAAUGUUCAGGAGGAACGGUCUAAGUAAGAUACUCAUGAGUAAAAAUGAUAAAAGAAAACUUAAUAGUUAAACAAACACACUUAUGCAAAAAUAAUUUCAAUUAGCAAAAGAAUAAUAUAAAGAAAGAAAACAAAAUCAAAUCAACGAAAAGAAAAAUCAAUUCAAAUUUAGUGGGUCACUCAAAUUUAUUUCGGUGUCUUCUUCAUGUGGUUGGUACUCUAGAUAUGGCUUUAAUCUUUGACCAUUAACUUUAAACGUGACACCAUUCUUUGGGUCCUUAAUUUCAAUUGCCCCAUGUGGAAAAACAGUAUGUACAAUAAAUGGACCAGACCAACGAGAGUGUAACUUACCUGGGAAUAGGUGCAAGCGAGAAUUGAAUAAAAGCACUUUCUGACCUGGAGUGAACGAUUUUCUCAUAACGUGCUUGUCAUGGAAGACUUUCAGUCGCUGCUUGUAAAUCUUGGCAUUUUCAUAGGCAUCAUUGCGAAUUUCUUCAAGUUCUGCCAGUUGUAAUCUUCUUUCUGAGCUAGCUUGCUGCAUGUCAAAGUUGAAUUUCUUGAUGGCCCAAUACGCACGAUGCUCAAGUUCCACAGGUAGGUGGCAAGCUUUUCUAUACACUAGCCUGUAGGGUGACAUCCCAAUCGGGGUCUUGAAAGCCGUUCUAUAUGCCCAUAAGGCAUCAUCAAGUCUUAAUGACCAAUCUUUUCUGUCUGGCCUCACCGUCUUUUCUAAUAUGUGCUUUAUUUCUCGAUUUGAGAUCUCAACUUGGCCACUAGUUUGCGGAUGAUACGGAGUCGCCACUUUGUGUGUGAUUGAAUACUUUGUCAAAAGUGCUUUGAAUGCUUUGUUACAAAAGUGGGCACCACCAUCACUGAUUAUUGCUCGAGGGAAUCCAAAGCGUAAAACAAUGUUGCUUUUCAAAAAUGCUAUCACCACCUUGUGAUCAUUGGUCCUACAUGGAAUUGCUUCUACCCAUUUUGAUACAUAGUCAACAGCAACCAAUAUAUAUUGAUGACCAAAAGACGGGGGAAAGGGUCCCAUGAAAUCGAUACCCCAUACGUCAAAAAUCUCAACCACUAAAAUUGGAUUUAGUGGCAUCAUGUUCCUUCGCGUAAUGCUCCCCAUUCGUUGACACCUAUCACAUGAAGAACAGAAAGUGUAAGCAUCUCGAAAUAUAGUUGGCCAAUAGAAACUACAUUGUAAAACUUUAGUUGCUGUUUUCUUAGCGCUGAAAUGGCCUCCACAAGCUUGUUCAUGGCAGAAUGAAAGGAUAUUCUGAAUUUCACUUUCUGGGACACAUCGUCUAACAAUUUGAUCCGCACAAUACUUGAACAAAUACGGGUCAUCCCAAAAGAAAUUCUUUAUCUCUGCAAAGCAUUUAGCCUUAUCUUGCUUGGUCCAAUGCUCUGGAAGUUUACCUAUAACAAGAUAAUUAACUAUAUCAGCAUACCAAGGUAAUACUUCCACACUCAUUAAUUGUUCAUCUGGAAAUGACUCAUUCAAUGGUAAUGAUUCUGUAAUUGUGUCAAAAUGGAGACGAGAGAGGUGGUCCGCCACAACAUUCUCUGUGCCUUUCUUAUCUUUGAAUUUCAAGUCCAACUCCUGCAAAAGUAACACCCAACGAAUUAGUCUGGCUUUUGCAUCUUUCUUUGUGAGAAGAUAUUUAAGAGUAGCAUGAUCUGUGAAUAUAAUUAUUUUACAACCAAUGAGAUAAGAUCGAAAUUUCUCUAAUGCAAACACUACUGCUAGCAUUUCUUUUUCAGUAGUUGAAUAGUUCAACUGUGCAUCAUUUAAUGUCAUACUAGCAUAGUAAAUAACAUGGGGAAUUCGAUCAACUCUUUGUUCUAAAACUGCUCCUACUGCAUAAUCAGAUGCAUCACACAUUAUCUCAAAUGGUAAGCUCCAAUUUGGGGCCUGAAUGAUGGGUGAUGAUGUCAACAAUUGUUUUAGUUUUUCAAACGCCAUAAGACAUGAAUCAUCAAAGACAAAAGGUACAUCCUUAGCAAGUAAAUUGCAUAAGGGUCUAGAAACUUUGCUAAAAUCUUUAAUGAAACGUCUAUAGAAACCAGCAUGCCUAAGGAAAGAUCUUACUUCUCUAACUGUUUUAGGUGGAGGAAGAUUAGAAAUGAGAUCCACCUUGGCUUUGCCAACCUCAAUACCUUUGCUCGAAAUGAUGUGACCGAGAACAAUACCUUGUUUUACCAUAAAAUGGCACUUCUCCCAAUUCAAGACUAAGUUCUUCUCGAUACAUCUCUGCAGAACUAGUGUUAGAUGAUGUAAGCAUUGAUCAAAUGAAUUACCAAAGAUAGAAAAGUCAUCCAUAAAGACUUCAAAGAAUCGUUCAACCAUAUCAGAAAAAAUGCUUAACAUGCAUCGUUGAAAUGUAGCAGGUGCAUUACAUAAUCCAAAUGGCAUUCUCCUUAUGCAAAUGUGCCAAAAGGGCAAGUGAAAGUAGUUUUCUCUUGAUCUUUUGGUGCUAUGGGAAUCUGAUUAUAUCCUGAGUAGCCAUCUAGAAAGCAAUAAAAUUCAUGGCCUGCUAAUCUAUCAAGCAAUUGAUCAAUAAAUGGUAAAGGAAAAUGGUCUUUACGUGUGACAGAAUUCAACUUUCUGUAAUCAAUGCAUACACGCCAUCCUGUAGUCACUCUAGUGGGUAUCAAUUCAUUAUCGGCAUUGGUAACUACAGUGACUCCUGACUUUUUGGGGACAACUUGCACAAGACUGACCCAUGAACUAUCAGAAAUUGGGUAAAUGAUACCUGCAUCUAAUAGCUUAAGGACUUCUGUUCUAACAACUUCUUUCAUAUUAAGAUUUAACCGACGUUGCAUUUCCCUAGUAGAUUUAGCAUUUUCAUCAAGGUGAAUGUAAUGCAUGCAGUCUAUUGGGUUUAUACCUUUUAUGUCUGCUAUGGUCCAUCCUAAUGCUCCUUUGUGCUCUUUUAAAACAUCCAACAACUUACAUUUUUGUUCGUCAUUUAGGGAUGAUGAGAUGAUUACCGGUAGAGUACUUUCUUCUCCCAAAAAUGCAUAUUCCAAAGUGUUGGGCAAUGGUUUGAGCUCGAGUUUCGGUGGUGAUUCUGAUGAUGGGAUGAGUUUCUUUUCUGAUGAUGCUAGUUGUUCAACUCUUGACUUCCAUUUAUUAGUGUCCAUAGAUGGUGCUGAGUCAAGCAGGGCAUUGACCUCAUGACCGAUCUGUCAAUAUCAAAAUCCAAACCAAAGUGAGUUAAACAUGUUUGUAAAUUAUCAUCACUAAGGUUUGAAACAAAAGUAUCAUCAACUAAUGCUUCAAUUAAAUCCACAUCAACAAUUCCAUCAUCUGCACUGUGAGGUUGUUUGGCAAUGUUGAAAAUGUUUAGCUCCAUAGUCAUGUUGCUGAAGGACAACUGCAUAUUUCCAGUCCUGCAUUGAAUGUGGGCAUCUGCAGUUGCCAAGAAAGGUCGGCCUAGAAUAAUGGGGAUGUGCUUUCUUGAAUCCUGUAUUGGUUGAGUGUCAAUUACAAUGAAAUCAACAGGAAAAUAAAACUUGUCUACCUGGAUAAGCACGUCCUCCACAGUACCACGAGGUAUUUUCGUGGACCGAUCUGCAAGCUGUAACACCACUGGAGUUGGGUGUAAUUCUCCCAGUCCAAGUUUCACGAAUACUGAAUAAGGCAACAGAUUUACACUAGCUCCUAAGUCCAACAAAGCAUUCUCAAUUGUGUGGUUCCCUAUACUACAUGAGAUAGUGGGGGAGCCUGGGUCUUUGCAUUUUAAAGGAAUUUUAUGUUGGAGUAUAGAACUAACAUUUUCUGUUAAAAAUGCAUUCUUUUGAACAUGCAUAUUUCUCUUUUUAGUACAAAGGUCUUUAAGAAACUUGGCAUAAGAUGGAACUUGUUUAAUAGCAUCAAGUAAAGGGAUGUUAACACUUACCUGUUUGAAGAUUUCAAGAAUCUCACCUGUGGAUUUUCCCUUCUUUCCUUUAGCUAACCUCUGAGGAAAUGGAGCUUUGGGAACAUAUUCCCGUGGGUUGGUUUCUUCUCUCUCCUCCGGUGAUGAGUCCUCAACAUUCACAGGUACAAUUUGAUUUUCUUUUAUCACCGGCAUCUCCACUUUGUUGUCGACUUUUUUUCCUUUUUGCAAGGUCAUGAUGGCUUUGACCUCUCCAUGCUGUUGCGAUGAACUGGUACUUGCUUCAUGUACUCCUUUAGGAUUAGGCACUGGUUGACUUGGAAAUUUACCUUUCUCAACAGUCAUUGCCAAGGUCUGAACUGAAGAGGCAAGUUGUCCCACCAUCUUCUCGAGGCUUGAAACUGAUUGAGCUUGUGAGUUGAAGCCUGCUCUCAACUCAUUUCGUAGUCCAUCAAUGGUGCGAUUCUGUUGCUCAAUCGUGGAGUGAGUAAGAUUCUGAAGAUUCUGGAAUGAAUCCUCCCAUGGUCUGGGCUGAGAGUAGUUCUGGUUCUGAUUGUAUGGUCUGAAUGGUGGCUGAGAGGCUUGAGGAUUUUGAGGAAUUUGUUUCAUUGGUGGAGCUGGAGCUGCUGGUCCAUUCUGUUGGAAUCCUUGAGACCAUGAAAAAUUGGGGUGGUCUCUCCAUCCAGGGUUAUAUGUGUUGGAGUAUGGGUUGUAAUUAGAUAGUUUCCUCAUUACACCUAUGGCAUUGGCUUGAUCUGAGUAUGAGUCAUGGUCAUGUGGCUCUGUUGAUUUAGCAGUCGAUAACGAUGCUAUUUGUCGAGCAAGACCUUCAACCAUCUCCUUGACUUCUUUGAUUCCCGAAGUUGACUCGCCAAUUUGAACCUCAUUCACUCCUUUAAUUCUUUUAGUAUUCCUGAGUGAUCGACUCCGUUGUUGGGAAUUAUCCGCCUGUCGCUGGAAAAACUCUCAAAUUUCUGAUGCACUUUUUGACAUUAGCUCUCCUCCACUUGUUGCCAUUAGCCAUUCUUGCACAUUCGGUAGUAAUCCCUCUAAAAAGUAUUGGCAUUGGUGCCAUUUCUCAUACCCAUGAUGUGGACACUUCAAGAGUAGCCCACUGAAUCGCUCCCAUGUUUCGAAAAAUUACUCGUCCUCUCUCUGGGUAAACUCCAAGAUUUCCCUGCGAAUAGCAUUGGUUUUAUGCACUGGGAAAUAUUUAUUCAAAAGUUUAGUUACCAUUUGUUCCCAUGAUGAAAUGCUAUUAGCAGGUAAAGUAUUUAACCAUGAACGAGCUCUAUCUUUUAAAGAAAAUGGGAAUAGUCUAAGUUUAACAUCAUCGUCUGAAAAAUUCUCAUAUUUAAAUGUUUGACAAAUAGCGUGAAAAUCAUUCAGAUGAUUAUAUGGGUCCUCAUUUUCUAAGCCAUAGAAUGUAGGGAGACAAUUUAGCACACUAGGUUUUAAUUCAAAACUCCUAGCAGCUACAUUUGGGUAUCUUAUGCAUGAUGUGCUCAAAUUAGCUAAGGGACUAAAAUAGUCCUUAAAUGACCUCUCCUGUGGUUGCAAAUCCAUUUUAUUUUUAAUUUGUUUGUGUGUGCGAAGUAUUUUUUCUAAUUCAAGGUCUAUAGGUUCAAGAUUAGGAAAUAAUGACCUACGACCAUGCAUGCAAAACAAAUAAAAUAAAAAUAAAGAUGAGAACAAAACAAAUAAAAAUAAAGAAGAGUGAGAAAUUACGAUACUAACCUUAUUGCGCUAUUACAAACUUUCUAUAAAAAUACACAAAAACAAAUACGUGAAAGAAAUUAACUAAAAAGAAUUAGUAAGAUAAACAAAAAUUACAAAGAAAAAAAAAUAACUUGAAAAUUAAAUUACAUAAAUUUAAAGAAGAGAAAAAGAAAAGAAAUUACUAACCUCUAAAUGCGGAUUCACUUUUUUUUUAAUAAAAAAUACACAAAAAAAAUAAAAGAAAUUAUUCACAAAAAUUAAUUCUAUGAAUUAAAAUUACUUACCUCCCCGGCAACGGCGCCAAAAACUUGUUGUGCAAAUUUUAAUGUACUCGCAAGCGCACGAAUCUAUUGUAGUAUAGAUCAAUGGCGACGAGUGUCGAUCUCACGAGGAGGUGGAUUUUAAUUAUAUGUAGAAUUAAUUUUGUAAAUGGGUGGUUGAAAUUGUGGUGGAAAUGAUUUAAAUUAUCCUAAAAUUGGAAUUGAGAUGGCGAUAAUAAAUUCUAAAAUUGGAAUUGCAAUGGCGAGAAUAAAUUGAAGAGAAUUCUAUUGAAAUGACAUACUUGGGUAUCUGGAUUCGUAUCAACAUGCAUCAUGGGCUAAAUAAUCCGUAUUAAUGCCAAUUAAAUCAUGAGGGGAGAAUCUACACCUCAUGAACCACGCUCUAAUCAAUAUGGUGCUAAGGGCUUAUCGUGCCAAAUAAUAAUAACCUUGUACUAGAGGGCCGGUGAAACCAAGGCGGUACUAGACAAGAAUAUUAUUAUUUGUCGACGAGAAGUUAAAACAUCCACAAAAACUAGAGGGGAAGAGAAAAUAAAUUUACCAAAUUAAGCCCAUGACACAUGUUGAGACUUCACCUUCAACCCAAGCUUGAAAGAAAAUUAGCCACUCAUAAUUGAACUAGGGGCAAAAUGGGAAUUUAUUAAAAUACGAAGAAAAUACAAGAUGGAGAAGGAAUUACAGAAAAUGGAUCCCAAAAAUGGAUUCAGAGAUAUCAAAUUAGGGGGGAGAGGCCCCCUUUUUAUAGAUACAUGGAGUAAAUCAUGGCCAUCGGAUUAAAAACAGUUUGGACGCUCAGGAUUGCACCACGUCAUCAGUCAACAGUCCACGGUUUGGCCACGCGGAUGAACUGUAACACGGUUUGACCCAAAUUUGAACAGUAACGCAGUUUGACCCGGAUGAACAAUAACGCGGUUUGGUUGAAAAUAAUCCUGUGUGAUGCAUGCACCGUACGCGAGAUUUUUCGUCCACUGAUAUGCUGCCACGUCACCAUCAACAGUAUAUAAGAAUUUUAGUCCAACAGGAUCGUGACAUCUCAUCAGUCAAUGCCACAUCAUCGGUCAAUGCCACGUCAUCGUCUGUCUAUGUGAACAGUAUCGUGAACAGUAACGUAUACAGUACCGUACACGUGAAUAGUACCGUACAUGUGAACAAUGCCAUUUUUCCUUUUAUGCUCCUCCUAAGGUUUUCAACCGUCCUGAGUUCAAAAGUGAUGUCUGUUUUGCCAUCUGAUCUCUCGUUUAUUGUGAAAUGACUAUGAUGCCCCUAAAAUACAUAAAAUACUUAAUUAAAAUAAAACAAACGGAAUUAAAUCAAAAGAAGGUUAAAUUCAUAAAAGUAAAGGUGUUAGUAAGACUUGAAAUGUAAAAUGACGGUUUUCUCCUUUAUAAAUAUGCAUUUUCUAACACUCAACAGGUAUAACGCUUAACAACUGCUCUGGAAUCCUUCCGUGAAGCUUGUUAGAAGACAGGUCCAAUGAUUCAAGCGCUGUCAUAUUCGCAAAGGAAACCGAAAUAGAACCUGUUAGGCCAUUGUGAGAAAGGUUGAGCACAAUCAGUGAUUUAAAGUCUCCAAGUACUUGAGGAAUUUCUCCCUGAAACUGAUUGUUUGACAGAUCAAUGGUUGUAAAAAUGGUUAUGAUCCUUUUUAGUACCAAAUCGCGCCCUUUCACAGUCACUGUUACAGAAUCCUGAUAAUAAUCUUCCUCUCCCUACAUAUAUAGUCCGUCGGAUCCCUUUUCGUCCACGUUCUUCAUUGCUUCCAAAAUUACAAAGAUCCAUCUUGGCAGAAAACCAGUGAAUUCAUUAUGAGAGAGAUCAAUGAUUCGAAGGGCUUCAAAGGGAAGCAUAAUAUUGGGCAAGCAUAGUGGACCAUAGAAUCGAUUAGACCUCAAGACAAGAAUUUUUAGCUCCGGAAGUGAUCCCAACCAACAUGGACAUGUGUCACCUAUCAUGUUGUUGCCCACAUUGACAACCUCCAGCUCAUCACAAUCAGCCAGAUACCUUGGGAACGGCCCUUCCAACUUAUUGCUAUUAAGGUCAAGACUCUUUAAACUGCAACUUCCAUUUGCAAAAGCAUCAGGGAUGCGACCCUGAAGGUUGUUGUUGUUCAGGUGAAGAAUAGUCAACUGAGUGCUGAAGUUUCCAAGACAUGGUGGAAUUGUUCCGCUCAAAUUGUUGUGAGUUAAAGAAAGAUAUUCAAGGGAACUCAAACUGGGACUAGAUGGAGGGAUCUGUCCGAACAAUUUGUUGUUAGAAAAUAAGAAGGCUCGUGUUGAAGGUGGUGGAAUCGGAAUUGUUCCUUGGAUUGUGUUGUUUCGAAGAUUAAGCACUGUAAUAUACUUCCAUGGAUGUUGCUCUAUUUGUGUCAGAAAAUUAUUAGAAAUAUCAAGAUCAGUCAAACUCUUCCAUCCUUAGGAAUCAGAUUUCGAAAUCCGACCAUGAAUUAUGUUGUUGGAAAGGUCUAAGAAUUCCAACUUCUCUGAGUUUCUCAAGAAACCUGGGAACUCAGUGAUAUUGCAAUAAGAGAAACGCAAUUUCCAAGGACUAGGUAAGAGAUAUCUGAUGCUGACAUUGCUAGAGGAAAUAAAUGAGAGUUGGCUGUUGUUUGAAAGAUCAAGAUAUCUCAGAUUUUUCAACUCUGGUAACAGGUUGUACCUAACAGUGCCACUCAAGUCAUUUGAUGAAAGAUCGAGAUCAGUGAGGUUCACAAGUUGGAAGAGGGAACUAGGAAUUGUACCAUGCAUCUGAUUUUCUUCCAAAUGGACUUCUUCUAGUGAAUUAAGCGACUGGAAUUGAUCAAUUGGACCGGUGAACUUAUUCUGGGAAAGAUCUAUAUAAUUCAAGGAAGGAAGAGUGAACAACCAAGACGGCACCCUGCCUUGGAGAGAGUUGUCAGAAAGGUCUAAAGUGGCUAAAUACGAUAAACCACUUACCUGAUAAGGCAGUUGGCCAGUAAAUUGAUUGGAUCGAAAUACAAUUUUAGUAGCUUUAGAGAGGUUUCCAAUUGAUGCUGGAAUUUUUCCAGUGAAAUUACAGCCUCCAAUAUGUAUAAUCUCCAAGAACAAAAGAUUUCCAAUUGAAUCUGGUAUUUCACCUGUAAAAUUACUGAAAGAAAAAUCCAACUACCUGAGAGGAGAACUCCAAUUAGACUCUGGAAUAUAACCUGUGAGAUAUUCGUUAAAGGAUAGAUGGAGUUCCUGGAGGUGUGGAAGAUGAAAAAUUUCACGUAGGAAAUUUCCUCGCAUACUAGUAUCACUCAGAUCGAGAAUAGUGAUUGUUGAGGAUAAGUUUAACAGAGAAAAAGGUUCAAUCAAAGACAUGUCUGCCAAUCCGAGAUUGAGAACAUUUAAUUUUGUAAGGUUACUAGCAUGUAAAUCAAAAGAUUUUUGUUCGAUUUUCAUGUCACAGUUGGAAAGAUCAAGAAAUGUUAGUCUGGACAUGUGAGAUAUUCCUGUGGGAGUAGACCACUAAAUCUAGAACGAGAGAGGUUAAGAUAUGUCAAUUCCUUUAGCCGAAGAAACUCGGGGGAGGUUUGAGAGCGACUGAAAUAGUUGAAAGCGAGGUUGAUAUGCAUUAUAUGGACCGUAUCUUUGGUCUUUUAUGUUUCAUUUCCAGGCCGGGCAUGUUGCGAGUUGAUAAAAGAUCGAUUCAAAUAAUAUAUUUAAUAUUUUCUGAAAUGCAUGAAAUCAAAUGCAAUGGGCAAAAUGUAACAUAUGUGAAAAAAAAAAAAGUGAGGCGGUUAAAAGGUAAAUAAAAGUAAAAGAAGAAGCUGGAAAUGGGGAAACAUAUACACGUGUGAGAGAGUGAAAGUCAAAACCGACCCAAAAAUCCAACCUGUUUGACCCGAAAUCGACCCGGCCAUAUCUUACGAUACCGGCCACCCCACCGGCCAAGCUUGUACCAAUCUAAAGCAUUAAGAUGAAACAGCCAGGAAGAAAAAACACUAAUUUGACAAAAAAUCUGAUUUUUUAUUGAUAACUUUUUUCUCCCCCUUUGCAGCAGCCAACCCGCUUCUUUAAAAGUCAGAGCCAAAGAGCCCACACUGAUUAAGCCACUAUUUCCGGAAGAAAACACUCCAAACAAUUUUAAAUAACAAAAACAGUAAUUCAAAACACCUAAAAAAUAGCUAAUGGAAAUAAUCCCAAAAUAAAAUAUUGUCAAAAAAUAAAAGGUCGUUACAUUCCCUCUCUCUUAAUAAAAGCCUUGACCUCAAGGCUUGAACAAAGGAAACUUCUCCUGAAUCUUAACUGCAUCCUCCCAAGUUGCAUCUUCGGGAAAGGAGUUAGACCACUGAACCAACCACUGCACGUAUGGACGAUUGCUUCGCUGGACUACUCUCCUGUCCAAAACAGAAUCAGGUACUAACUGUAGGUGCCCGUCUUCCCGUAUUGUUGGUAACUCUGUAAUCGGAGUGACAGCCUCUCCAACCUUUUUCUUUAAACACGAAACAUGAAAGACAGGAUGAAUUUUGGACUCUAUAGGCAACUCUAACUUAUAGGCAACCUGUCCAAUCUUUUGUAUAACCUUAUAAGGCCCAUAGAAUCUCGGAGAUAACUUCCUAUUGUUGUGAAUUGACAAGCUUACUUGUUUAUAAGGCUGUAACCGUAGAAAUACCAUGUCUCCCACCUCAAAUUUCCUCUCGGAUUUCUUCUUAUCAGCAUAUAGCUUCAUUCGAGCUUGUGCAUCCACCAAAUUGGCUUUCAACAGACGUAUCAUAGCAUCCCUAUCCUUUAAGCUCAAAUCAACAGUUGCUACGGUAGAUGUACCAGGAAUAUAAGCAAUAUACGAAGGAGGUGGACUACCAUAAACAGCUUCGAACGGUGUCAUUCGAGUUGAUAAAUGAUAAGAAGUAUUAUACCACCAUUCAGCCAAAGGAAGCCAUUUCACCCAUUCUUUCGGCCUAUCACCUGUCAUGUAUCGCAAAUAUUGUUUUAAGCACUUGUUAACCACUUCAGUCUGACCGUCGGUUUGCGGGUGGUAUGCAAUGCUCAUUAACAAGUUCACAUUCAAUAAUGAAAACAGACUUUGCCAAAAAGUACUAGUGAAGACUUUAUCUCGGUCACUGACAAUAGAAUUUGGCAAGCCAUGCAACUUAUACACAUUAUCUAGAAAAUGUUGUGCAACAUCAAGAGCAGUAUAUGGAUGACUUAAGGGCAUGAAGUGUGCAUACUUACUCAGCCUAUCCACCACCACAAAAAUAAUUUGCUUACCACUAGACUUUGGCAGUCCUUCUAUGAAAUCCAUAGAGAUAUCAGUCCAAUUAUGCUCAGGAAUUAGUAAGGGCUGCAACAGACCUGGGGAUAACACAUUUUCAUGUUUAUUUCGUUGGCAAUUAUCACAAGCUGCCACAAAGGAACAAAUUUCCCUUCGCAUCCUUUUCCAAUAAAAAGACCGUUUAACUCUGUCUAAGGUUUUUCUAACCCCCGAAUGCCCACCUUCUGUUCCACCAUGAGCCUCAGACAUAAUUAGCUGCUUCAAGGCUGAAUGUUUGCCAACCCAAAGUCUCCCCUUAUACUUGAGUAAAUGGUUUUCCCAAGUAAAUUUAGAAUGUCGAGCACUGUUGGUAACUAUUUCUUGAAUCAAUUUCUGAAUUUCUAGAUCCUGUUGCCAUUCUUGUUUGAGUUGUUCCACCCACACACCUAUAGGAAGGGAGAUCGCCAUUACCAUCGCAUUCUCAGUGGAUUCCUGUAGCCGAGAUAAGGCGUCAGCCGCUUUAUUUUCUCUUCCACUUAAGAAAAUAAUUUCAAAAUCAUAACCAAUUAACUUAGUAAGCCAUUUCUGCUGCAUAGGUGUUGAUAUGCGCUGCUCCAACAUGUAUUUCAAGCUGAAAUGAUCAGUAAUAACCUUGAAAUGCUUCCCUAGUAAGAAAGGCCGCCAUUUUUGCACUGCGAACACUACUGCCAACAUUUCCUUUUCAUAAGCAGACAACCCCAAGUUUUUUUGUGACAGUGCCUUACUCAAAUAUGAUAUGGGUCUGCCUUCCUGCGAAAGCACUGCUCCUAUGCCCUCCCCUGAUGCAUCACAUUCAAGAACAAAGGUUUUUUGGAAAUCGGGCAUGGCUAAAACAAGUGCUGUGCACAUUGCUGACUUCAAGUUAUUAAAAGCUUCUUCCGCCGUAUGAUUCCAUAAAAAAUUAUCCUUUUUAAGCAAAUCUGUUAAGGGCCGACUAAUCUUCCCAUAAUCUUUUAUAAACCUCCUGUAGCACCCAGUAAGACCCAAAAACCCACGCAACGCCUUCAACGAGUUGGGAGAUGGCCAACACUUCAUGCUUUCAAUCUUUGCAGGGUUAGUAGCAACUCCUUGCUCAGAAAUCAAAUGUCUCAAAUAUUCUACUUGUUCUUUGCCAAAAUAACACUUUGAUUUUUUGACAAAAAGAUGAUUUUUGAGAAGCGUCUCCAGUACUAACUCCAAUUGCUUCAUGUGUUCAACCUAAUUUUUACUAUAUACUAAGAUAUCAUCAAAAAAUACCAGCACAAAUUUCCUCAGGAAUGGCUGAAAAAUUUCAUUCAUAAGGCUUUGGAAUGUUGAUGGAGCAUUCGUAAAACCGAAAGGCAUGACCAAGAAUUCAUAGUGCCCUUAAUGAGUUCUAAAGGCGGUUUUAAAGAUAUCAUCUGAGUGUACCCUAAUCUGGUGGUAUCCCAACCGCAAAUCCAGCUUAGAGAAAAACUUAGCUACAUGUAACUCGUCCAGCAGCUCAUCAAUAAUAGGUAUGGGAAAUUUAUCCUUAAUAGUGAUAGAAUUAAGGGCACGAUAAUCCACACACAUGCUCCAAGUGUCAUCCUUCUUUUUAACUAAGAGAAUCGAAGAAGAAAAUGGACUUACACUCCUCUGUAUACUCCCCGCCGCGAGCAACUCCUUAAUCAUUCGUUCAAUCUCUGCCUUCUGCACAUAUGGAUACCUGUAGGGUCUUAUAUUUGGAGGAACACUAUCAGGUAACAAGGGAAUUCAAUGAUCUUGAGCCCUAGGUGGUGGCAAACCUUUUGGUUCCAUAAAUACGCCAUGAUAUUUUUUUAAUAAAUGUUGCAACUCUACUGGUUCAUCUGUAAUGAUUUCUGUAGUAGUAGAGUUAAUACAUGGCUCUAAUAAAAGUGAAAAGAUAUGGGCAGCAGCAACUUGAGGAACUUGUUUAAGAUCCUUUUGCAUAUGGACUGCCGAAACUAACUUCAUGGGCCCCGCCGUAGAACCCCUUAACACCAUUCUUCUCCUUUCCCACUUGAACUCAAUCCAUAAAUUCUUGAAAUCCCACAAUAUUGGACCCAACUGAGAUAACCAUUGAAUUCCUAAUACCAUAUCGCAUGCCCCCAACGGAAUCAGUCUCAUAUCUGCUCUGAACUCUCUCCCUUGCAUACUCCAGACCAAUUGCUUGCACGUUGCAGCACUAGCAAUUUUGGAGCCAUUAGCCACUGCCACCAUUAAUGGUUUAUCUUGUUGUACUUCACACCCUGUCCGCUUGGCCACCGACACAUCCAAGAAAUUAUGAGUACUACCCGAAUCAAUUAAGAUGAUAAUUCCAUUCUUCUUUAUAUUUCCUUUAAUCCUCAUAGUUUGAUAAGAGACAACCCCAGACAUAGCAUGGAGAGACACCAAAUGAUCCUCUUCAUCAUCCCCAAUUUUGUUGCCUUCAUCACUGAGUUCUUCAUCGUCUUCUCCUUCCAACAAGUAAAUCUGCCGCUGUUUACAUUUGUGCCCUGGUUCAAACUUCUCGUCGCAGUAGUAGCACAACUUCUUAGCCCUCUUCUCUUGCAUUUCUGCAGCAGAUAUUCUUUUGAUUUGAGGAAUUUGCCCCAUAGAAUUGCGUUUCGAUUCUGCUGUAGGGAUUACAUGGGAGGACAUUGUCCUUGUUGAAGCCUUGGCUUCUUUGAUCAUUGCCUCCAAGGUACUCUCUUGUAAUAAGGCUAACCCAACUACUUGAAUCAGCGUUUUCGGCUGAAACAUGGCUACCUGAUUCUUUAUGGCAUCUCUCAAUCCGCUCACAAAGCAUUGCACAAAAAAAUCUUCCGAUAAUCCUCGAGUUCUGGCCACCAAUGCUUCAACUUGUUCUUGGUAAAGCCUUACUGUUGAAGUCUGCCUUAACUUACUAACCUGUCCAACCAGGUUAUCAUAGGUAUCCGGACCGAACCGCGCCAUUAAAUCCGUAGAAAAUUGCCUCCAACUAGGUUCUGCAACAGCCACCUCAUAUCCUUGGAACCACUCUAACGCUUUUCCUUCCAAAUGAAUGGUUGCCAAUCCCACCAUAUCAGAUUCUUCCACCCCAUUGUAUUUGAAAAACCGUUCACACUUGUAGACCCAACCACUAGGAUUUUCUCCCUCAAAUGUUGGAAAAUUCAAUUUUGAAAAUCUCAUAUGUGAGUUAUACAUACCAGAGUUCGACCCGGUUCUUAGCUUUGUGGGAAUACUACUCCCACCUUCCGAUCUUAUUCCCGAAGCCCCUGAUGUGCCCAUUAUCUGAUCAAGUUUGAGACUGAUCGCUGCCAUCAUUUGAGAAAACUCCUUCAAUUCCAUUGCCUGUUGGUUAGAAGCCUCUUGCAAUUGUUGUACCGAUUCUUCUAGACGUCGCUGAUCGUGUGCUCUAGUUCCCUUCACCAUUUUUUACGGUGCCAAUUCGCUGCUCUAAUACCAAUGAAACAGCCAGGAAGAAGAAACACUAAUUUGACAAAAAAUCUGAUUUUUUAUUGAUAACUUUUUUCUCCCCCUUUGCAGCAGCCAACCCACUUCUUUAAAAGUCAGAGCCAAAGAGCCUACACUGAUUAAGCCACUAUUUCUGGAAGAAAACACUCCAAACAAUUUUAAAUAACAAAAACAGUAAUUCAAAACACCUAAAAAAUAGCUAAUGGAAAUAAUCCCAAAAUAAAAUAUUGUCAAAAAAUAAAAGGUCAUUACAUAAGACUGACCAUGAUACCCCAGCCGUCCAAGUCACUGGAAAAUAGCCAUAACAUCGGCGACCAAAGCUUGAAAAACCCGCGACUUUUCCACCUCACUCUGCCAGGAUUUUCGCUGGUUUUUGGUGACACCACCGGCUGGAUUUUGUUCCCCACGACUCCUUCUUCAAUUCCCGACCAUCCACAGCCACCGGGAGUCACUGUUUCGCCGCGGGCCAAUUGUUGGACUUUCACGGCUGUCAAGCUAGAUUCUGGCGUCGUUGCCGCGCGUGAGAGGUCACCACCGGUACCAUUAGACCCAGAGUGGUCGAACCUUUCAGACCUGAGCUUCCCGAUCUUCGUUGCUUGAAUUCAGGACACCGUUGACCAGCGAGGGCAAUUCGGUAAUUUCACAAUUUGGGGGCAAUUUUGUAAUUUCCGACACUAUGGAGAUUUUAGUAAUUUCUAAAAUUGGGGAUUGGUUGUAAUAAUGAUUCCGAGAGUAAUUCAGUGGUUUACGAUCUCAGAAUAUUUUAAUGAUUUACGGAGUCGAGGGUAUUUUAGUAAUUUUAUCGACACGGGAGUUGUAAAUUAUGGAGAGAUGUUUGUUUUGAGUUUAUUGCAUAAAUUUAGUCUUAACUCCAAUUUAUAAAAAAUAAUUAUGUCGUUUCCAUAAUUUAGGAGGAUCCACGAGCCAGAACCAGUCCACGGGCGUAGACGAUAACAGAGCGUGAACAUUAUCACUGUGAGUGGAAUAUACAAAACAAAUUUCAUAGUUAAUUAUGAUAGUAAAACAUGUUUGCGAAAUAAAUAUUUUAAAUGUUCUGAUUUAAUUAUUUUCUUGAAAUGAAUUUUAUUCACGCAUUGAUAUUAUAUUAAAAUGUUUUGUUAAAGGUUUUUCAUAUCGACUUUGAAUAAAUAUGAUAUUAUUUUUAAAAAUAAGAAAAGUGAAUUUAGAUGUGAUGAUGAAAAGAAGAGCAUGAUUUAAAAUAUGGUUAAAAUGUAUAUGAAUAUGAGUAUAGAUAUCGUUUUUAAAAUUAUUGGACAAUACUAACCAUCGUGGCUUUCCCUUGAGAAUACCAUAUAUCCAAUUGACAAUCCAAUCACCAGUACAAAUGCAUCCCCCACUUCGCCAUUUUCCAAUCAAACCCGCUUGAAGUUUCAUCUUUUUCGUCAUCAAUAGAAACUGAAGGAUGCACUUUAAUUCGACACCUUGGUUUGAGGAAUGAGUUGUUUUAGAAGAAUAGCGAUGGAAAGACGAUGAAAAAUCAACUUGAAAAUUAUAACCAAACAAAAGGAAGUAGAAGAACAAGAGAGUACAGCAGACUUGGUUAUAAUGCCAUAUGAACUUCUCCGUGGUUACUAGGAAUUAAUACAAAGAAAUGCGACGAUUACUUACAUAUGUCUAAUUGUUGAGAGGUAGAUAGAUGGGUGUUAUAUUCAUUACAUGGACCGUAUCUUUGGUCUUUUAUGUUUCAUUUCCAGGCUGGGCAUGUUGCGAGUUGGUGAAAGAUUGAUUCAAAUAAUAUAUUUAAUAUUUUCUAAGAUGCAUGAAACAGAAUGCAAUGGACAAAAUGUAACAUAUGGGAAAAAAAAAGUGAGGUGGUUAAAAAGUAAAUAAAAGUAAAAGAAGAAGCUGGAAAUGGGGAAACAUGUACACGUGUGGGAGAGAGAAGCUGUUAAAACCGACCCAAAAACCCAACCCGUUUGACCCAAAAUCAACCUGGCCAUAUCUUGUGGUUCCGGUCACCCCACCAGCCAAGUUUGGUACUAAUCUGAAGCUUGAAGACCGGCCAUCAUCCCCUAGCCGUCCAUGUCGUCGGAAAAUAGCCAGAACAUCGGCGACCAAAGCUUGAAAAACCCGCGACUUUUCCACCUUGCUCUGUCGGGAUUUUCGCCGAUUUUGGGUGACACCACCAGCUGGAUUUUGUUCUCCACGACUCCCUCUUCAAUUCUCGACCAUCCACAGCCACUGGGAGUCACUAUUUUGCCGACGGCCAAUUGUUGGAGUUUCGCAGCUGCCGAGCUAGCUUCUGGCGCCAUUGUCGCUCGUGGGAGGUCAUUGCCGGCACCAUUAGACCCAGAGUGGCAGAAACUUUCAGACCUCAGCUUCCCGGCCUCUAUUGCUUGAAUUCAAGUCACAUUGACCGGCGAGGGUAAUUCGGUAAUUUCACAAUUUGAGGGUAAUUUUUCAAUUUCUGACCCUAUAGAGAUUUUAGUAAUUUUUGAAAUUGAGGAUUGGUUGUAAUUAUGAUUCCGAGAGUAAUCAAGUGGUUUACGAUCUUGGAAUAUUUUAAUGAUUUACGGAGUUGAGGUAUUUUAGUAAUUUUAUCGACACAGAGUUGUAAAUUAUAGAUAGAUGUUUGUUUCGAGUUUAUUGCAUAAACUUACUCCUAAUUCUAAUUUAUGAAAAAUAAUUAUGUUGUUUCCUUAAUUUAGGAGGAUUUGCGAGCGACAAUCAGUCCGCGGGCGUGGACGAUAACCGAGCGUGAACAUUGUCACUGUAAGUGGAAUAUACAAAACCUAUUUUCAUAGUUAAUUAUGAUAGUUAAACAUGUUUGCGAAAUAAGUAUUUUAAAUGUUUUGAUUUAAUGAUUUUCUCGAAAUGAAUUUUAUUCCCACAUUGAUAUUAUAUUAAAAUGUUUGGUUAAUGGUUUUCCGUAUCGACUUUAAAUAAAAUAUGAUAGUAUUUUUAAAGAUAAGAAAAGUGGAUUUAGAUGUGAUUAAUAAAAGAAGAGCAUGAUUUAAAGUAUGGUUAAAAUGUAUAUGAAUAUGAGUAUAAAGAUUGUUUUUAAAAUUAUUGGACAGUGCCUAACCCUCUAGAUACAGUGAUACAUAUGAUAUGAGAGGUCUUUGGGGUCUGUCUGAACACACAUUGAGGCUUUGGGCUGUGUGUUUGGGCGCUUCUGCCUUUUAGGGGCAUAUGCAUGUGAUAUAAUGAUAACAGUGAUAUAGAUACAAAUGAUAUAGAUGAGAUACAGAUCUUUGGGGCCCAUCUAAGUACACACAGAGGCUUUAGGGGCUAGAUAGAUAUAAUGAGAUAUGAGAUAGUAUUUCUCAAUCUAUACGUGUGGCUCCGAGGCGUGACGGUACCUAUAUAGUACGUCAUUGCCUGUCCGUUGAGGUCCAGAUACAACGAGAUUAUUCUCCUGAGUACUUGUUUAGUGAUAAUUUUUAGAUUUAUGUAUAUUAUAUGAUAUUGUGAUAUGAUUUCCAUGGUUAUUACGUACGAUAUUAUAUAUGCUCUUCAAGAUUAGUAAUCUGAUUUAAAUGUUAAAUGAUUUAUUAAUGGUUUCUCGCAUGUGGUUUGAUAAAAUCAUAUUUGGAAAUGAUAUGAUUAUUAUUUAUUUUUUAAAAUUACUAUCCACUCACUGAGCUCACUGAAUUUUAUAUUGAUUCCAUUUUUAUUAUAUUUCCCCCUCCAACAAGAGGUUGCAGGUAUAUUAGACCGACCAGUGACUGUAAAUAUAUUUUGAGUAUUGGCUACGUGAUGGUGUUAGAGGAUAUAGAUGAAUUUUAUUUUUUGUUAGAACAUCCUGAUCAUUUUGUUCUGUUGAGAUUAGAUUAUAUAAUUUUGUUAUAUUAUUCUUUUGGGAUUAAGAAUAAACUGAUGUAUAUUAAUAUUAGUUAUAAUAUAAUCUUUUGAUACUUUGGAGGUAUUUUGAGUAAAAUUCAGUAUUUUUGUUGAGAAUGUUGAUCAUUGGAGCUGGUUUUAGAUUGAAUUACUUUGGGGAGUAUUAUAUUCAUAUUUGUAGAUUGAGAGUGUUAUAUUUAUAAAGGAAGUUCUGCUAAAUUUUCUGCAGAAUUAUCACUAAUUAGAUUAUUAUGAAGUGUGUUUUGAUAGGACUAGAUUGUCUCGCUCGAGAGAUUUGGGGCAGGUGGUUUCACAAAAAUAUAAAUUUCCAUGAAAUGCACGAUCCUCCAAUAUCAUUUAUUUGGAUUUGUUGACUGAAAUCCAACGGAUGCAAGGGUUAACGGAAAAUUUAAAAAAAAAGUAGUGGAUCACCGGAUGAACGGGUUAAGGGUUUCAAAAUUAUCAAAUUUUUCGUUUUGUUUCGUAAGUCAUCACCAAACACGCAUACUGUUACCAAAAUGUGUUCACGUUAAGGGUUUCAUUAUUUGACCUAGUAAGUGCAAGCUGAAUACGCAGGGUUUUAAUUUCACAGUGUGGCCUUGAUUGAGGAAUCUCAAUUUAAAAAUAUAUUGUAAGCAUGUUUAAUCAUCCUUGUGAACCGGCUUUCAAUAUUUGCCCCAGUUUAAUGAUAUCAUGUGAGCGCUUUGCAGUUAUCUAGCCGUUGAAGGCCUUGUUUCUGUUAUGAAUCGAAGUGUUAUCCAAACGCUUUUAUUGUUUCUAUUUAAUUUCAAAUUAAUGACAAGUUACGCGAUUUAGGUGAUACGAUUACAUGGCACUUACGCCCAUGGAAAGUAAUAAAAAAUACAGUAAAAAAUAGCUGCUGUGACAUCAAUAAUAACUACAAUUUUUUAAAUUGAUAUUUUUUAAAAUUAAAAGUAAUUGAUAGCUACUAUUAUAUUGAUGUUGUCAUGUUGUAAUAAAUGGGUAGAGUUGUCUUUUUCAUUUUUUUAUGAGAGUAGAUCAGCUAUGUUCUCUUUUUUUUUCCUUCCAUUUUUUAAAGUUUAUUUUAAUAAAACUAUAUUUCCAAUUUAUUGGACAUUGAACUCAAACUCGUGAGCUCUGCUUUCACUUCGGAAGUUAUGCCAAGUGGUCAUCAUUUGACAUAAUAUUUAAUAACAAGUACCUAAAUAGUGGGGAUAGACAAACUCAAUUCAACGCAAUAGCUCCUAUCUAAUCCCAUCUAGUUUUGAUUAAUUGAGUUGACUAUUGUAGGUUAAUUGGGUCAUUUUUUCUAACUCAAUUAAUAAUUAGGUUUGGUUGAGUUAAUUAUGAAGAACUUGUCUAAUCCAACCCAACCUAGGAAAAUAAGAAUAAUAUGUUAAUCUUCAAUUAUAAAACCCUAAAGACUCAAAUGACCAACAUAAUUUUUAACAUUUUUUUAUUAUUUUAUAAAAAAGACUAUUCAAUAGUGUCUAGUGAUCCGGACUUUAAUUUCAAAACUAAAAUCACUCUUUCAUGUAAGUAAAUUUAUUACCUUUUAAGUUUAAAUUUUGAAAGUAAGUUGGUUUCAAUUUCUCUUUAUUUUUAUGUAAACAAUUGAUAGUACAUAAUUAUAAACAACUUUCAUUUAUUACUACUUACUAGAUAUGAUGCUAGCUAAUUAUCUAAAAGAUCUAAAUUUAGAAUUAGAAAAGAGAGAUGCAAGAAUUCGGGAAUAAAGUUUAGAAGCUCAUGGUUGAAAUUUUAUUAAAUUUAAGAUAGUUGAUUUUUUAGCUUUUUUUUAAUCAAACACUAGAUAAUGAAUAGAAUUUUCAUGUUAUAAUAGAUUUAUCUUAUUUUAAUAAAUUUUAAAUUUUUUUUUAAACUUUAAUUUUGAUUUGACAUUCAACCAAUCAUCCCAAUUCAACUCAGUCCGAUUAGAUUAAGUUAAACAUACUUAUUUAGUUGGAUUGUGUUGAUUUUAUCUUAAUUCAUUUAAAAGCGGGCUAGUGUCAUGACCCAACUUAGACCCGACAAGAUAUUGUCCGCUUUAAAACCCGCAUGGUUUUGUUUCUGGAGUGCCAUACACCUCAAAAUGCUUCAACUAGAGAGAUAUCUUGAAUAGGAGAAGUAGACAUCCACAUGGACGAAUUAUAGCGACAAAUUUCAAAGCCAUUUCCAACAUGAACGGUCUCAAAGCUCGGACACUCAAUUCUGUUUAGAGAUGGCAAAAUUUGGGUCCGGGUUUGUCCAUUCCGGUUCCGGACCCAGAUGACAAUUUGCUAUUCCAGAUUCGAAAAUAAACCCGGAUUUUUUAACUCCGAGUGCGAACCGAGUUCAACCACAUGGACAUCCACAUGGAGAAGUAGACAUCUACAUGGAUGAGUUAUAGCGACGAAUUUCAAAGCCACUGCCAACAAGAACGGUCUCAAAGCUCGGACACUCAAUUCUGUUUAGGGAUGGCAAAAUCUGGGUCCGGGGUUGUCCAUUUCGAUUCCGAACCCGGAUGACAAUUUGCUAUUUCGGAUUCGGAAAUAAACAUGGAUUUUUAAACUCCAAGUGCAAACCGGGUUUAACCUGUAAAAAUCCAGGUUUCCACAAUCCGAGUUUUGAACCUGGAUGGGCACCAUUUUUAGGCUUGUUCUUGAGUAGAAAACUAGAGUAAGGGCCCUGUCAACGUUCAACUUUACAACUUUUUUCCAUCACCGAUUGCUUCAAUAUCAAAACAAGAGUAAUAUUUAAAUCAAAGGGAAAAAUUGAUUAAAGAAUAUAACAAAUCAGUGAAGCAAAAAUGCAAAACAAAACCCACAUUUUGUGAUUGUCAGCUUUUCAUCAUCAAACAAAAGCUAAAAUGAUAGUAAAAUAGAACACAUAAGGCAACGGGAAUGAAAACCCAACGAAUUUGUGCCGCCGGUCACUGCUUCGUAUACGUCUGUGAAUGCUAAAUCUUCACUUCGUGUGUGAUUGUCAGCCGCCAGUUGUGACUGUGAAUGAGUUUAGGAGUUACUAAGAGAUUCAAGCCUUUGAUGAUGCUUGAUGAUGAACUAAUGAUGAUGAUUGGUGACGAAUUGAUGAAUUUGGGAGAUGAAAAGGAGAGGAAAUGGUGGCGGAGAUGAAAAGGAGAGGCUAUGAAUUAAGGAAUUUAGGAGAUGAAAAGGAGAGAAAAUGGUGGCGGCAGCUAAAAGCAUGAAAAUGCAAAUUAGGGUUUGUGUGUGUGUGUGCGCGCGCGCGCGUGUUUUUCAUUGAUUUUUUAUUUUUAUAUUUAUAUUAAAAAUAAAUGUAUGCAGGUCCAAGUUCUGGACAUACGGGUUCAGCUGAACUUGAAACCGGACCCGAAUAUAUCCGGGUUUAAAAAAUGUGAUAUCAUAUCAUAAUUUUAUUAUACUUUGGUACGGGUUGAACCAGGACGGAAUGGUCCGAGUCUGGGCCGGGUCCAGAAAAAACUGCCAUCUCUAAUUCUGUUGCAUGUUGGUGGAAACAUUUUCAGCCCCUUUGAAGAUUCAGGCCAUAAACCCAAGUUCAGAUUUGAGAGUAGGCCCAGAAGAACUGAAAGCUUUAACCAUUUUUGUUUUUGAGUGGAGAGACUUUUGGGUGCUCGUUGGUGAGGAUAAUGAAUGAAUAAUGCCUCAACGCAAAAAUAUUUAUCAGCCACAGUGUUUGUGUUUUUUGAACUGAUGAUUUUCUUGAGGUUCAUGUGAAGACACGUGUUGUAACUCUUUCCAUUUUUAAUUUAUCGAAAAAUCGAAAUUUAUGGAAAAAUGCUGACCAAAUGGGUUUGAUGAUACGGCUGACUUUUACUGUUUAACCUUUUUAACCAAACAAUUCAAUUUAGUAAUAAGUUGAGUUUUAAAAUUAUAAAUUUUAAUUUAUUUUUUCACAAAUUUUGAGAUUAAUUUGUAUUAAUAUUAUAAGCUAAAUGGUACAAUAUUUAUGUAUUACAUCGCGUAAGUAAUGUCGAUUAUAGUAAGAGACAUCACCACAUGACAACUUCUCAUUAAAAGAUUGUAGGAUUAUUUGUAGUUUAAUUGACUUAAUUUCAAUCAAUUAAGCAAUUAAAUUUGUUUAUCUUUAACUUAAUAAUAAUUUUUAGUCAUUAUAUAAUUAAGUUAUUAAGCCAACUUUUUUAGUUCAGUAUUUAAUUUAAAAAGAUAUUCUAUAAACUAUGUUUAUAUACUUAAUUAAUUUUCAUUAUUAGCUAAAUAAAAAUAUAGUAUUAUUACCUAUUUUUAUAACUUGUGAUCAUAUAAUGGUAGACUAUUAUUAUUCUUUUUUUUUCUUCAAAUUAGCAUUAUUUAUCUCCAUAAUUUUUUAUGAAUAUUUUUUUAUAAAGGAUUGCAUUCAAUUGAACUUGAUUUAAGUAAUGAUAAUAUAUUACCUUAUUUAAGUUCUUUAAGAUAUUUAUUAUUUAUUUAAUAUUUAUAAUUUGUUGGGACACAAUUAUAAAAAUACUAAUUUUUAAUAGGGGUGGCAAAAAAGUCUAGGCCAGGCCUAGCCAGUAAUGGAUAUGGGCCCAAAAAUUACAAAGCCCACAUAUGUUGGGUCUGGAUAAAGGGCUUAACAAAAAUGCCUGGACUUAGCUCAGGCUUUUCAAUUUAUGAAUAAAAAAUAAAUUUAAUUUAAAUAAAACAAAAAAACUCAAAAUAUUAAAUUAAAUUAAUUUUUUAUAUUAGUAUUUAUUAUUUUAUUAGAUUAUAUUACUAAUAAUAAAAAAAACUUAGGCUCGGCUUGAGACCGGUCCGUCCAAAUUUGGCCGUACUUUUGAAGAGUUUGGACUUUGUUUGAAUGAUGUGGGCUUGGGUCUGAGCUUUGAAAAGCCCGACCUAAACCCACAAAUUAUCAUCCCUAGUUUUUAAAUUUUUUAAGUUAAAAAAGUGAACAACUUAAUAUUUAUUUGUAACAAUUCUGAUAAAAAAAUAAACAUAUCAUUGCAUGUGAUAUUUAGAACUCAGAUUAAUUUCACAUGUAUUUUAAUUAUAAGAAAAUACUAUCUGUGUCAUGAAAUCCACAGCUCAAGAUGAAAGACUGACACGUCACAACGUUCCCCUUUAGCCACAUAAUAGUUAAAGAGUUUCCAUGGUAUGUACAGGGGCAAAUUUUGAAAGACGUGUUAAUUUUCUGAAGUAAUACUAGAUUUACAAACAUCGUGCAUUCCGAGUCAAAUAUUAAAGAGUUUGAAGUUUGCAAGAUUGAUAAUACCCACACUUGAACCCGCGAGAGAGUUCAUCACUGUUUUGGGACUAACCUUUUUCCAGGUUAGUCAAGAGAUUUCUUUGAUAUAAAUCAAAUUUCAUGGAAUCUCUGUAAUGACUGAGUUGAGCGCACGCAUGAUGUUCGAUGAAAUUCCUGAAUAAAACUUAACAUUUCUUGGACGAGUAAGACGUCAUUUGCUUUAGCCAUUUCUUUUCUUGCUUGCACAUUUGUUGAAAGGAGGACCAUGAAGAAACAAAGGUGCUUGACAGAUCCUAAGCCUGUUACUGUCCAGCCCUCAUCAGCUGCUGGUGGUUAAGAAAUUAUGCGGCUGGAUUUGAUGUUUGCCUUACUCAUCUGAUUGUCUUCCUAAUUUGGUGAUUCUAGUUUAUGAUAAAGACAGUGAAUUAAAAGCCAGAAGCACCUUGAUCUCUAAAGUUCUUUGUUAUGUUGGUCUAAUGCUGCAUUCAACAGUCUACCUCCCUGGCGCUUAUUAAUGUCUUAUAUGCUUUUUUUUAAAAAGGUAGUGGUUGAUAGAGCAGUAAUUGAUUGUUUGAUCCUCCGAUGACCAGUCAAAUAAAAUUACUUGAAAAUCAUUCGGUCAAGUUUUUGUUUGAUGAUAAGGCUGACUUUAGAAUCAUUCUCAGAAGCUCUCUUAUUAUCUGAAUCUUUCCCAAAUUGUUUCUAUAUAUAUUUAGCAAAACUCAUGGUAUGAAAUUUUCAAUCUUGAUCUUCGAAACUAACUUUCUCCAAGGACUGCUUCUGGUUACGCACCAACAUUUUUUCUUUUUUCCCAACAAUAAAAUGACUGGAUAAGUCCCCAUGUCUAUCUGUUUUGCCAAAAGGAAAUACAAAUUCUUUUACACAGAAUAUGCAUUUUCAAGAACUUAUGCAUGCUAGUUAAUGUUCUUUAUAAAUAUCAGAUUCAAUCAUAUUUGUUUAAUUGCAGAAAGAACUCUGUCGGAGCAGCAAGGGAAAAUUUUCUUGUAAGAACCAGAAAUGAUAAUGAAAGGAAAAGGAUUUAAUUAUACAUUCUGUUUUUUGUCACUAACAACACUAAAACGAGUCAGUAGAGAGCAAGCUUAUGUAUGGUCAUUCCUAGAAGCAGUCUGUCAGCAUUGGAUUCUUCAUCAAGGGUUGGUACUUAGUAGUGAGGACAAAACCAAACUAAAGUGCUACCCACAUGUGUUAUAUUAAUUAACAACAACAAUUUCACUGAAAAAACGUAUAUAUGGUCAUUCCUUCAAUUUUCAAGGAAGGUAAAACGAAAUCUUGAAGCAAAAGCUUUGACUGAAAAAACUGAAAAAAAUAGCGGCUUUAGUACAUCGUCCUACUCGAUCAAAAUUAGAAGAAGCAAAAGCUGGAGGAGAUAUUUGGAGUUACCUUUUUGAUUGAUUUAUCUCAAUAAAAUUAUUAUUAUUAAUGUUAAAAGAAUGAAUUUUUGAGUCGAUAUGAAAUGAAGGAACGUGGGGAAAAUGAGAAGGGUGUGAGGAAGGAGUGAGAAUGAAACGGUGACGUUUUGUGGGUGUAGUGGGGGGAAAAAGUGGCCAGAUGAGGAAGAGGCGGGUGACAAAAACAGGAGGGAAAUGGAAGGCACGCACGAGUCCUUUGUAUUUAUUUUAUUCAUUGGGAAAUCGGGAACGGUGAAAAAAAAAUUAAUAUGACAUUUUGUUAAAAAAUUGGAAACAAGCUUUAAUACAGUUGUUUUUUUUUAUAAGAUUUAAAUAAAUUAAUUGUAUUAUCUCACCAACUAAUUGAUAAAUAACACAUUAUUUAAGAUAAUUUUUUAGAAUAAAAAACUGAAGAUGUAUAGCAUUACUCUUUUUUUAUUUGCUUAAAAAAAAUCUUUAAUAUAUGUAAAACAAAAUACCGUAGUUUUGAUGGUGAAAUUGAUAUUACAUUUUGUUAAGCAUUUUUCAUAUCGCGAUAAAUUGUAUCUUUUUCUUUUCUUUUUUCUUUUGUGUUUUUCGGUAGGUUUCAUGUGGGAAUCAGAAUUAUCUCUUAUCUGAGCAUUUAUGAUUUUUUACAAAUCUCGUGCCACAUAUCUUUUAAUGUUUGUGAAUGAUUAGAAUUUAAUUACUUUUUUUUAAUUUAUUAAUUACCAAUCAUAUUAACAGAAUUUGCUCAGAUGAAAAUCAUAUUAUAAGAGGAUCUUAAUCCUUCUUGUAGACUUGCCUGCUUAUGCAUCAUUUUUUAAAUUAAUUCGGAAUAUUAUUACCUUUUUGUAAGAUUUUAGAUACAAAUAAUUGAAAAUGGAGUACGAUUUUUGCAAGUAAUUAUUUUUCUGAAUAACAAACUUCAUUUAUUUCCGAAUAACCAAUCAAAAAUAACAAAGUAAUUGCUUGGGAUCGAGCCAAACAUAAAAACCAAAGCAACAGAGUACAAAUUUAGUUAAAACAUCUACCACUUGAUACAAAUCUGAAAGACAUGGCGAAUCAAAAAAAUUUAUUUUGGUCGUAAUAAGUAUUGAACAUCAUAACUCUAUAUCCUUUCAAAAAAAAUAAAAAUUCGUAACUCUAUACGAGUACUAUGUCAUUCCAAGACUAGCUGAACAACAUGUAAAUUUUACUUUUAUUUGAAUUUAAUGUUUUUUAUCGAAUUUACACAAUUUUAUUAAAACCUAAACUUCAAAUGUUAAUGUUGGAUCCUUAUCUAAUAACUUAAAUAGUAAUAUGAUUAUUCAGCAAAAAAAGAAUAUUAUGAUAGAUUCAUUAAAAAUUUAAAGUUAGCUUGUAACUGCAAUGUUAACAAUUUUUUUUUUAAUUUCAUGUACGUGAUAUUUGAAUUCAUAUUCUUACAUGAAUUAAUGACUAAGAUGUGGUCCCAUUAACAUGAUAAUUAUAUUUAUUUUUAUUAUUUUAAAUUUUACUCUCAUAACCAUCAAACAAUUCAAAAAUCUUUAAAGAAAAUGCCACAUGAUGCUUAGUGAAUUAGCAUUCUCACAUGAGAGAUCAACUAGAUUCUUAUCUAAAAUUUUAAAUCUAAGUUACUCGGUGGCUAACUAAAACUUUAAUUAAGUAAAUACGUAAAUAUAAUUUCUUAAAUAAUAUAAUUUUGUAGUUUGAUUAAUAUUUUAAUCUUAAGUCACACAACACUCAACUUGUUGCUAAGAUAAAGCAAAGGUCAAGUUCUCAUUAUAUUCAGGGGACCUUGUUUGAUUAAUUGGUUGACUAUUUAUCCAAUUUGGACCAUUUGUUUUUUUUUGGGCAGAAGUUCUGUGAAUCUAUCAUCUUUCUUUUGAUUUACACUAAAAGUAAAUGGAUUCUUAAAGUGAUUAAUUAUUUAGUAUCAACAUAACAAUUUAGAUAUUUGUCUAGUUUGUUACAAAAAUCUUCAUUUUUUUGCUACAUAAUGUAUCCAUAUAAAAUACGUAUAUGUUACCUUAAUGGGUAGUUCUAGCCAAAUUUGAUAUAUCUUUCUAACUUUGGCUUAACAAUUUUACUAAUUCAAAUUAAUUCUAUAGAUUUAUAAUGUGACAGUAAUAAAUUAACUUUAAGGUUAUUUUAAUAUUGUAUUAUAAUGUGCUAACAUUUACGAUCAAUAAUUAAAAAAUUGUUAAAUCUUUUAUUGACAGCUAAGUUAUAAAACAAUUUUAAUGUUUAAGGUUUAGAUCAGAUUAUAUAUUUAUGAAUACAAAUUCUUAAUAUAAAGUCGAGACAACCUUUCUUGACAGCUUCCAUUAUGGCGAAAUACAUAAUUUAUAUUACAUAGAAAAUUGGUCAAUACAAUAAAGAAUCUUUAUUGAAGAUUUAAUAAUAAUGUCAUAAGAUGUCAACAUUAAAUAUUUUACCAAAUACGAUACAACAUAGUGUUAGCUUAUAAAACUAUAUUUGCUUCAACCUACAUACACAUCUAUUGUUGUAUACGAAAGAAAAUAAGCACUACAUUUUGUAAACUAUAAGAAAAAAGUAUAUUAAAGUAACAUGUACGUAUGUUCAAUAAAUUGAAUCAAGGCCAUGUUCAUGCAAGGAAGUUCACUAGUGUAUAAUUCUGUUUUUAUAAUUUCUCAAAAGGAAUAUUCAGUUGAAUUCUUUUGAUUUUUUAUUUACUAUUUAUAAAUAAAAGAUAAAAACAAAGAGUUAAAUUCAAUUUAUCACGAGAAGAUAGAGUGAAAUAGAGAUUUUUUUUAAAUAGUUUUAUUUUCUUUUCACAAAGAGAAUAGACGCUGUGGUCUGCGCAGAGAUGGGGCCCAGCUCGUACGUCCAUUUGACGAAAAUCUUGUGAUUAGAACCGGAUAAGCAAUCGUCGUCGGACGCGUGGAUAAUGGAUAGGAGUGAAAGAAAAUGGGGCGGCUUUUUAAGUGUUGGUGGAGGCUGACGAAAACGAAAGGAAAGACAAAUAAAAGAUGGUGUCGACGUGUCGUUGUAAAGCGGGGGUGUUUUUUUUUUUCACAUGAAAAAGAUGUUAUCACUUAUCAUCAAGAUUAGUGGGUCCACGUGAUGUCUCGUUCAUGGGGUCCACGGUUUUUAUUUUAAGAGUAAUCAUAUUGGACGGAAAAAUUGGAUAGAACACUCGAGCAAAUAGAAUACUGUAUGAAAAACCAAAAAAAAAAAAAAAAAGUAGAAUACUGUAUGCAUCGGUGCAUGUUUACGCUAGCAUAAAUAGAAGAUGACAUAAUUAGAUUAAUUUUUAUAUAAAUUUAUUUUAUAUAAAUUAAUAUGACAUAAUUAAAUUAAUUAAAUUAAAUAUUUUUUAUUUUACAUAAUUUAUUUUAUUAUUUUAUAUUUUCAUCUAACCAAUCAUUUAUUCAGCAAUAAUUUAUACAAAAUAAAUUUAUAUAAGAGCUUGUAACUCUAUCAUCACUAUGACUUAGAAACUGAAAUGAUUUUAUUUUAAUGAUAAAAGCUCUUACAGUAUCUUUAUUAUUUUUGUCAAAAUUAUCAUUUAAAAGUUAUAUUUAUUAUAAAUCAUCAACUUUUACUUUUUUGUUAUACCUUUAUUUUUCACAAUAAUUAUAAUUUAAAGAUAACAAUACCUUAAUACCAAACAAAACUUCAUUCACAAUUCUUUUGUUAAUUCAUCGAAUAUUUUAAGAAAUUAUAGUUAUUUAUUUUUUGAAAAAAAACUAUUAAUUUCGUUUCAUUCCUAUCAGAUUAAGCAGAUGUAAACUAAUAGAUGGACCAUUAAACUUUCUUUACCGACAAGUCCGUGCACAAAGAAAACGAUUGUCGAUGCAUUAAGUAUUGAUGCAAAGCAUUAACAUUAUUUAUUUUAUUUUUAAACCAUAAGCAUAUUGUGUUGGGUACAGAAUCUAUGGUCAAGAGUUGAUUGAGAUCCACGUGAAACUCGUGUUGGACAAAUUUCGACUAUUGAUUUAGUGCUUAAUAGUCCACACAAGCUCAUCCGAUCACCGAAAUUGGUCCAAAUUUUUUAUCCAAAAUUGUGCAACCAAAGGACGAUGUAAUUCAUAAUUAAUAAGGAUCAUUAAUUAUGUCGGAUUUUGUAGCAAAAUUAUGGCUCAGGGGAUUUUGGGACAUAUCUCGCGAGGGUUAUUUAGUGUCAAGUGCGUCCAAGCUCUCAAAAACUUCAGGCUAGACAUGGACGCUGAAAAGUUGAAUAUGAAGCCUAGGUUCAAUGGCAGAUUUUUUUAUUUAAAUAUCUUCAAUUUGCCCUUAAAUACUAAAUUUAUAUCCUAUUAUAUACAUAUACCUCACGAAGAUAGGAAAAGUAAAAAAUAACCUUAAAAAAAAAACCAAGAAUCCACACAUUUCUUCCUCUCAGUGCAGGAAGAUGUAGACUACGAAGUCGAGUAAGUCGAGAAUUUAGUCGAGUAAGAAUUGAAAAUAAGUAAGUCGAGUAUAUGGUCUAGUAGGAAAUCGAGUAAGCAUAUUAAAUGAAAUCGAGUAACCAUAUUAAAUGAGUCAAGUAUUAAGUAGUCGAGUAUUAAAUAAAAGUCAAGUAAAUUUUUUGAACAAGUCGAGUAUUAAGCCGGGUAAGUACAUUGAGUCGAGUAUUAAUAUUUUUAAAGAAGUAAAGUCUGGUAAGUUGAGCAUUCAGUCAAGUAAGAAGUAAAGACGAUUGAACAAGUCGAGUAUCUAAUCGAGUAUGAAGUUGGGUAUGAAGUCUGGUAAGUUGGGUAUGAAGUCGAGUAAGAAGUGAAGACAAUUGAAUAAGUCGAGUAUUUAGUCAGGUAUGAAGUCUGGUAAGUUGAACAUUCAGUCGAGUGAGAAGUGAAGACAAUUGAAUAAGUCGAGUAUUUAAUCGAGUACGAAGUCGGGUAUGAAGUAUGGUAAGUUGAGCAUUCAGUUGAGUAAGAAGUGAAGGCAAUUGAAUGAGUCGAGUAUCUAGUCGAGUACGAAGUCGGGUAUAAAGUCCGGUAAGUUGAGCAUUCAGUCGAGUAAGAAGUGAAGGCAAUUGAAUAAGUCGAGUACGAAGUCGGGUACGAAAUCUGGUAAGUUGAAUAUUCAGUUGAGUAAGAAAUGAAGACAAUUGAAUAAGUCGAAUAUCUAGUCGAGUAAGAAGUCCAGUAAGUAGAUUGAAUGAGUUAAGUAUUAAAUUUUUGUUGGCAUUUUAUUGAGGCUAUUUUUGUACUUUCCCUGAUUUUUUAAGUAUGUAUGUGUAAAGUUACAGAUUUUAAUAAUUGGAAGUAUAUUUUGGCUAUUAUGAGGGAAACGGGGUAUAUCCAAUCAAUUCCCUCUUCAAAGGCUCUAUAUCAAUGAUAGUUUUGAAAUUGGGGGCAUUGAAGCGGUUGGUUUACGAGGCCAUAGAAGCAGAUUUUAUUUAUUUAUCAGCAAAAACGAAGCUAGUCUUUUGUGGCCAUUUGUCAACUAAAUUUUCUAUUUUGUGUUGAAGACAUACUGAUUAACUAUGAAUUACAUCCUUCUCCAGUUGCACAAUUCUAUCAACUAACAUUCUUUUGCUCCGAAUUAAGGCCUGCAUAAGCAUGAUACGUAUAAUUAACUUGUGCAGCAGAAAUGAAGGCAGAUAUUUAAAACUCAAACAGUAAUGAUCAACUUGCUCUGAACACCGAACAAUGGAUCAAGUGGAAGCCGAGGAUCCAACAUUUCAUCAAGCGGCAUUGGAAGGUGAAGUUGAAGCUACGGAAAGAAAUCUGAUCUCUUGGAUGCUUUCCCUUGAUCACUUCCAAUACUAACACUCCGAAACUGUACACCUCGUAUUUUUCUGUGAUCUUGAUUGUGAAAGCAAGCUCUACAAGGUCAAGGACAAAUAAAAAAAGAAAAAAAAUUGUUUACUCUCUUUUGAAAGAUCAAUGCGUAUAAAUUAGUAAGCUUUUAUAUCUCUAGAGAAUGUGUUGCAUGAUAAUAUUCCUCAAAAUGGCAAUGAAUAUCAUAAGGCAUCGGCAACGCUUUUUAUCCCAUUCAUUCUCUGACUCCAGCCCGCUUAACUCUUAUGUGGCUGCAUUGUUGCUCAAGAUUAUGGCCAACUACCCCUUUCAAGAAAUUCAUAAACUAAAAUUAAAUGUCAGUCAUGUUUUACAAUACUCUGAUGUCGUAUCUCUGUCAAGCCCUCAAUCUCGUUCAAGCAUUCUUUAAUUUUGAUCAGGCAUCCACAUUGAUCAAAUAUAGGACAUCAACUAACUUUGACAUAACAAAAAUAAACAUCCUGAAAAAAGAUUAACUUGGUAGAGGUCGGUAUAAGAAUCAAGUGUAAAUUAAAUCAUUCAACCAAAUUCACAAUCAAACUCUAACCACCGAAGUUGUUAUCACAACAUUGGAGAUUCUACAAGGUAUAAGCCAUUGAGCAUUCAAGACAAUUGGCGAGAGCUGUAAGUCCUUUACAUCGUAUACUCAAAGCUAAGACAAAUCAUUCCCAAAAAAAUAUAUAUACGAAUUGUUAUUAGUUUAUUUGAUUUUUGGUUAAAUCAUAAGGACUGCAAUGUAAAUUAUCCUCAAUUUUUAAUUCUUUUUUCCCUACCAUUCCUUUCUUUUAACAUUUAGUUUAACAUUAUCAAUAAGUAAGAGCCACCCAUUAAUUAAUGCAGUGGUACACACUUUCAAGUUUACAUUUGACGGGUUCACCGUUUUGUAACUGUCGCAAGAAAUUAUUUUUUUAAUUAUUACAAACUUUAUUUAAUUAGCUAAACCUCUAAGGAAUGAGCAAACUUUAUUUAUAAAUGAAAGAGUUGAGUACACCAUAUACCAAGUAUAUAUGGAUGACAUAAUAACCAACGCCUCCUGAUUCUUGAAAACUAGAACAAACAAACUCUAGUACAUGAGAAAAAUAAGCCAAGCAAAUUAGAAGUAUACUUAGAAAAUUAAGACUCAGUCAAGGCAGCUGAGGUUAAAUCCUUACUUGUUGACUGACCACCUUCAUAGUUGGUCUAGACUCUGGACUCUCAUUCAAGCAUGAAAAAGCAACCUCCAUUAUUGAUAUCAGUUUUUCUUGAACACUGCGUGAUGGAGGUGGAAGACGCGGGUCCAAUAUUUCAUCAAGUGCUAUAUCCGUGUUGAGAGAUGAAGAUGAAAUCAAAGAAAGAAAAUCUCUUGGAUGCUUCCCUUUGAUCGCUUCCAACACUAAUACUCCAAUACUGUACACAUCGCAUUUCUCUGUGAUCUUCAUUGUGUAAGCAAGCUCUGUAAGGUCAAUGACCAAAAAAAAAAAAAAAAACGUGCAUAAACCUGUAAGCUUUUACAACUCUACUGAAUGUACAACAUAAUAUUUUUCAACAAUAUCUAGUUACAUUGUUAUGUUACCGCACACAUAACAUAAAAAUGUUCCUCAAAAUGGUAACAAACGAAUACUAAAUACCUGGUGCAACGUAUCCGUAUGUGCCUGCAAAUUCAGUCCAGUUGGACGAUUCUGGCUUCAGAAACUUAGCAAUUCCAAAGUCCGCAACAUGAGCUUCAUAUUCCAAAUCUAGCAACAAGUUCUUACUUGAUAUGUCUCGAUGGACAAUCGGAGGAAAGCAGUCAUGGUGCAAGUAAGACAAGGCAUCAGCAACGCCUUUGAUUACAUUCAUUCUCUGACUCCAACGCAAUUCUUGUGCUGCUGUAUCACUACUCAAGAUCGCAGCCAAGCUACCCCUUUCAAGCAAUUCAUAGACCACAAAAGAGUGUCGGGCAUGCGAGCAAAAUCCGUAAAACUUCACAAUGUUUCGAUGUCGUAUCUCUGUCAGGGCCUUCACUUCGAUCAAGAAUUCUUUCUGAUCAGCAAUCUGGUCACAUGGGAGUGGCGAGUGAAAUUUCUUAAUAGCUACGACUUGCCCAGAUGGUAGUUCAGCUCUAUAAACACUUCCAUGUCCGCCAUUUCCAAUGCAAUACUGUGCAUCAAAAUCAUUUGUUGCUCUAACAAUUUCAUCGUACACAAGUUUCCCUUCAAAAUUCAAUAUAGAAAACAAUCCAUGAGGGUUCUGGUUGCUACUCUGUCGAUCUCCUGAGUCUGACUUCCGCUUUCGAAGAAUGAAAAUUGCUAUCAACGCCAUUGAAAGAAAUAGUGCUCCUAAAACAGGGAACACUAUUGCAAACCACUUGACUCUAGAAUUUUGCUUGUGUGACAAGAAAACUUUGCAUGGUUGCAUUCCUUUCACACCUCCACACAAUCCUUUAUUCCCCUUUAACGCUUCCACUGGGGCAUUCCGAAAUGCUGUGCUAUUUGGAACUGGGCCUUGUAAUUGAUUAUCAGAAAUGUCAAUGACUGAUAGACCCCGCAUUCCCUCAAAGCAAUUUGGAAUCGAACCAGAGAGAUUAUUGUGGGAGAGAUUCAACUUUUCCAAGCUUUUCAAACUGCAUAUUUGAAAUGGUAUCUCUCCUCCAAAAAGGUUAUGACUUGCAUCUAAUUCUGAAAGUUGAACUAGCUUCUCCAAUUCCUUUGGCAAUUCUAGGACAAACUGGUUGUUGCUUAAGCCCAAGUAAUGCAAUUUCAGCAAGUUGCCGAGACUUUCUGGGACUGAAUUGUUGAACCUAUUUGCAGAUAAGUCGAGGUAUUCAAGGUCAACCAGCGAGCCGAUUUCUGGAGGUAGACGUCCUGUAAAUUGAUUCCCUCUCAAAAUGAGCUCGGUUAGAGAAUUUAACUUCCCAAGUUCCUUUGGAAUCUCCCCAACUAUAUGAUUCAAUGAAAGAUCGAGUGCUUGUAGUUGAGACGAGUUUCCAAUCUCACGCGGUAUACCUCCAGUAAUGUUAUUCAUCGAAACGUUGAGAGUGCCUAAUUUUGGGCAUUUCCCCCAGUUAGACGAGAUUUCACUGUAAAAAUCAUUGCGGCUGAGAUCUAUGAAAGCCAGGUUAGGAUAAAUGCCCAAAGCUUCUGAUAUAUUUCCAGUAAGGUUGUUUGCAUUAAGGCGUACCCGGAUUAAGCUUGUGCAAUUUCUCAAGCUUUUAGGAAUUGUUCCUUGAAAAUGGUUUUCAGAAACGCCAAAAUACUGUAAUGCUCCACCUCGACAAACAUUGUGCGGUAAAUAACUUGUAAAAUGAUUGAAAUCCAAUCCUAGCCUGGUUAACAUGGGAUUCUCAAGGGAGGGAGGAAUGGAACCGGAUAGGUUGUUAUAAAGGAGGACUAGUUCUUUUAGGUUGGUCAAAUUACUAACAGAUGGUGGAAGAACCCCCUUAAAUUGAUUUUGGUUCAAAUCGAGAACGCUAAGAGACCUCAUCUUUCCUAUUUCAUUUGGAAUGGAACCAAAGAGCUCGUUUUCAGACAAACGUAAAGUUGAUAAACCGGUUAGAUUACUGAAGGAACGUGGAAUAUAACCUAUGAGUUGAUUGUCGUUCAACUGUAAAUCAUUAAGGGACUUCAAUUUUCCUAUACUUGAUGGCAUAGAACCAGAAAGUGAAUUUCCAUAGAGGUACAAAUAAAUUAAGUUGCUCAAAUUACCAAAAGAAAGAGGGAUUGGACCACUAAAUUUAUUAUUGCUCAAAUCUAAUUGGGACAAAUUUUUCAAGUUUCCAAUGUCAGGAGGAAUGAAACCAGAAAGUGAAUUAUCAUUAAUAACCAAUCGAUACAUAUGGCUCAAAUUUCCUAACGGAGAGAUUGAACCGUUCAAGUAGUUAGAGUACAAGUAAAUAUCCUCCAUAGAACUCAAUUGGCCUAUUUCUGGUGGAAUUGAGCCAUCCAAUUGGUUAAGCUGAAUGUGAAGGACCUCCAAAUGACUCAGAAGAGCAACCUCUGGUGGAAUAUUUCCAGAAAAUUGAUUGGAUCCUAAAUAAAGAUAUCUGAGAUUCGAAAGGUUACUAAUUGGAGGCGGGAUAGUACCAAAGAAUCCAUUCCAGGUGAGAUCAAGAUAAACAAGAUGAGGAAACGAUGAGAAAGAGAAAUCAUGAAGCGUACCGUUUAAUCCUACAUUUGGAAGGCUGAUGUUGACAACUCUUCCGGCAUCAUUGCAGCUGAUUCCGGACCAAGAACACGGGUUUAUUUUGGAUGAAACAUUGGUGGCGUCGUUAAUCCAAGAAGAAAGGAGAGAUCGGUUAUGGUUUUGAAGGCUGGCUUUCCAUUUGAGAAGAGCAUCAGCUUCUUCAUUAGAAUCAGAAGAAACAGGAAGAGAAAAAUUUGACACAAAGAAUAGGAUCAACAAAACAAGUGAAGGAACUACUGUACUGAGGGUUGGUGAUCCCAUUGAUAUUACAAAAACACAACCAAAUAAACAAAGUUAAACCGAAGUUUUAUUGAAAUUCAAAAGAUAUUUUGAUGACUCUUACCUUUUGGAAAACAUACAACGGUGCAGAAAACGAGCAUGUUGGACGCCGAAUUUAUAGAAGCCGCACACGAGAGCAAUUGAGAGGUCAACAAGUCGAUGCGUCAAGUUGGGAAGAUUUUUCCAAUGUUUCAUAAGGUGGAAAAGUUUUCCAAGAUUAGGAUAUUUUUUACAUAGUAGUCUGAAUUUUAUUGCUCUGAAAUUAUCCAAAAAAUGGUUCCCUUGGUUGCAAUUCAGUAAAUCAAUCACCGUUUGAGCCGUAUGUCAUGUUCUUCUACGUCGAUAUACGACUUGUAGUCGUCCAUCUACUACUUGUUGGUUAGUUAUUUUGAUUAUAAAAUAAUAAUGAAUUAAUUAAAAAUAUAAUAUAAAAUCAAAUGUUUUCUUAUUAGUUUAUAUUCUAGAUUAAUUUAACUUAUAGUUUAAUUAUUUUUAUUAUAUUUACUGCUAAUGUCAGCAUUUUAACUCUAAAUUCUAAUGGGUAUACUUGUCCAAAUUAAAAAAAAAACAUGUAAUUCCUUUCCCUUUUAAUUUUUGUUUUUUGUGAAACCAAAUAAUAAAAAUCAAUUUUUGCGCUCCUAUCCUCUCAUUACCUCUCCACUGCUCCAUUUUUUACCCCUCCGCUCCUCCUUCUCAAAACCAAACACUACCGGAAGGUACAUUUUUAAACACACACACACACCCCACAUCAUCGUAAUCAUCAUCAUCUUCUUUUAAAAGGUAGGUAUGAUAAACGACAAGAUCCGCAAGGUGCCCAAGAUCAGCCACUGGAGGUGGCUUGUGAAAUGAUGAAAUUAGUAACUGCAAAGUAUUAUUACUAUUAUUAUAAUAGUUAUUUAUAGUAGUAUUUUAUUUCAUUAUUAUUAUUGUCAUUAUUAAUAUUAUUACUUUUCGUUAUUUUUAUAAUUAUUAUUGUUGUUGUUAUUUUCAUUAUUAUUAUAUUAUCAUUAUUAUAUUUUCUAGCCCCAAAUUUUAUGAAUUCUCUUUAAAAUUGGCCUCCACUAUAUAAAUGUCUUAUUCACCCAUAUUUGUGGGCUCUCCUCUCUCUAUCUCUAUCUUUUAGAUCAUCACAAACGUCUCCAUUUUUAGGAGGCCAUUUUUCAUUCUCCACCCCACUAUCUUCUCUACCAUAUCAUCACUCUUCAUAUCUUUUUUCACCAUCUUUAUCUUUAUGAACACCAAUCUCUAUAUAGAUAUCUAGCUAUAUAACUUGUGUUAUUCAUCUUAAAAUUUCAUACAAUCUCUCAUUUAUAUAGUGGAUUAGCAACGGCUUGCUCUUAUGGACAUAAGCCGAAAACCAAAUCAAGUAAACAUUGUGUGCUCUUUAUAUUUAUGCUUAUUUUACUAUAUUUUCAAUUUGAGGUCGAGAUUAUGUUUUAGGUAGGACCUUAUUUGAGCUACUCCAAUUAUGUUAAGUAUUUUGUGAGACCAUAUGAAUUAUCCAUCAAGCACACUUGAGUCACUUGCCCCAACCAUAAAAAAACAUAUCUAAACCCAAAUUUAGCACAAGCUUCCCUUAAAUAUAAAUUUAUUUAUUUGAAUCAGAUUUAAGUUGGAUCCAGUGAGAAGCACUCAAUUAAUUUGAAUCGGAUCCUAGUGAAAAUUUGGUGAAAAAAUUAAAGACAAACCGAAGUGGAUUGAAAUUGGAAAGGUUUUCAAACACUUACAAAAUAAUGAAGUUGAGCAUACAAGCAUAUCCGGGGUCAAAAUUAUGGAACCCACACGUACAAAAGCAAUUAGCGAGUGGUUAACAAGUCAAUGCCUGAACAAGACCGCUAAAGUAGAGAAGAAUUUUCCCUUCUCGCUGAGCCAAAAGUCUUCAAAGAUGUCUAGGAUAUUAAGAUUACCCAAACAAAGUCCACUUGUUGCAGUUUUGUCAGAUCAAUCUUUGUAUUAAUUGCCUCUUCUUGUAACACAAUAAAUGUCCAGGAAAACUCAUACUAGAAAAUAGAAAAAAUUACAUUUGUGAUCAAGAUUAAUGGAAAAAUUGACAAAUUAAUGCUUCUUUGACCCAAACUGUGACCAUGUAACAGUUUGAUCAGAUUAAUUUACAAAGAAUGCUUAUAAUUAAUAUUAGAAGAAUGGAAAUAACACUUUGAGCAUAUCUUCUUAAAAAUUUACUUACCUUAGGGCAAGUCAUGAAUUAUGCCUAAAGCAAAGAAAUAUAUUUUGAUAAUAAACUAAUCCAGUCCCCAAACUAUUUUCUCUACUUGUAAAUAAACUUCUCAUUUCGUAUGCUCAGCAAAGAGUGGCCAUGUCACAUCCACAAUGUGUUAAAGAUGUUGAAUCAAAAUAGAGUAAAAACUCUAAUUGAUCAAGAAGAAGAAAAACUCUCUUUAGAAUAAUCUCACAAAAUUGCAAAAGAGAAGAACUCUUAAGAAAACUUUCAAAUGCUUAUAAUAAAGCUUUGAUUGUUGAAUGAUAAAACUCAAAUACAAAUGAGGUAUUUAUAGGUUACAAGAAACAAUCUAAACCACUCAUUAAAAUAACCACAAACUAAUUUAAACCAUUGAAAUUAAACAUGGGAAAAAUACCUAAUUUUCACCUAACUAAAUUGAUGUAAGCAAUGACAUCAAAUUAAUUUAGGUGUGGACUUAUUUGGGCUAAUAUUGACUUCUCAACACUCCCCCUCAAUGUUAGCCCCCAUUCUUUGAAUCACGCUGAGCUGACGACGGAAAUGUUCAAACUUUCCAACACUCAAGCUUUUUGUAAACAAGUCAGCAAUUUGUUCAUCUGUCUUAACUUGCCUCAUCUCAAUCUCAUUUUGCAGAACUUUUUCCCUAACAAAGUGGUAAUGCACUUCCACAUGUUUAGUUCUUGCAUGAAAAACAGGAUUCUCCGCCAGCCGAAUUGCCGAUUGGUUGUCACAGUACAACAGAACUGCAUAAUCUACUGGUUGAUGUAGAUCAUUCAUUAGUUGUAUCAGCCACGUGCUUUCUUGAGCUGCCAUUACUGCUGCUCGGUACUCUGCUUCCGUAGUUGACAAGGACACAGUCGGUUGUCUCUUGCUACACCAAGAAAUCGUUCCAGAUCCAAGGGUAAACAUAUACCCAGUAGUUGAUCUGCGAGUAUCGUGAUCUCCUGCAUAGUCAGCAUCACAGUAGCCAACUAGUUUGCAAUUUCCACCUUUCUUGUAUAGAAGACCAUAGUCUAUUGUACUCUUCACAUAUCUGAGUACUCGCCGAACCGCUUCUAAAUGAGACUUCUUCGGAUUUUGCAUGUAUCGACUCAUCACGCCAACUGCAUAAGAAAUGUCAGGUCGAGUCAAGGUUAAGUAGAUUAGACUACCCACUAAUUAUCGAUACAUCGAUGCAUCUUCCAGGUCUUUGCCUUCAAGUGCACACAUCUUGGCAUUUGGUUCCAUCGGCGUUGAGAUUGGCUUACAUUCUAGCAUCCCAAACUUCUUCAACAAAUCUUUGGCAUAUUUCUGUUGACAAAGAAAUAUCCCUUCUUUCGUCUGAUCAACCUCUAGCCCAAGGAAAUGCUUAAGUUGUCCAAGUUCUUUCAUUUGAAAACGAACUGACAAGUUCUCAUUUGUUUGGAAAAUUUCUUCAACAUCAUCUCCAGUGAUGAUUAGAUCAUCUACGUACACGAGCACAAUAGCUAUCCUUUCUCCAUUAGCUUUAGCAAACAAGCUGGAGUCUGCAGAUGUUACUGAAUACCCACUUUGAGUUAGAAAUUCAGCAAUCUUGCCAUACCACGCCCUGGGUGCUUGUUUUAGUCCGUAGAGAGACUUUCGCAGCUUACACACAUACUCAGGAUGACCUCGGUUCUGAAAACCCAUCGGUUGAAUCAUGUAGAUCUCCCGAUCCAGCUCUCCAUGGAGAAAGGCAUUCUUCACGUCCAUCUGCCACAAGUUCCAGCUUUUGUUGGCUGCAAGUGCAAGUAAGACUUGGACGGUUGUAAGUUUUGCCACUGGACUAAACGUUUCGUCUACCAAUCGAGCCUUGUACCUCUCGAUUGACCCAUCUGGACAGUGCUUUAUUUUGUAAACCCAUCUGCAGGAUAUGGGUUUCACAUUUUUUGGCUUUGGCACGAGUUCCCAGGUCUGAUUUUGCUCAAGUGCACUGAUCUCGUCUUUUAUAGCUGUCAUCCACUCAGAACUCUGUGAUGCUUCUUCGAACGUCUCAGGUUCUAUUCCAGCUGCUUCUUCAACUAUGGCUGCAUUAGCGUAUUUGGGAUUUGGCCUUCGGGUUCUUGUUGACCUUCGUAAUGGACUUGAUUCUUCCGUUUCACUAGGCACACCUUCUUCAUCUGGUUGUCGAUACACCCCAGAUUGCCAAGGAUUUAGAGUUACUCUUCGUUCGCUAUCACUAUCGCAUAGAUCCCCAGCUGAGCUUAUAUGAAUUUGGACAGUAUGCUCCCCCAUCUUUUGUUAUAGCAUGUCUCCAAAUUCUUUCGAGUCUGGCAGCACUUCUUUUUCUGAGGUCCACCAUGAGGAUGCUUCAUCAAACACCACAUCUUGUGAUGUGUAGCACAUUCCAUUUACUGGAUCACAACACUUCCACCCUUUUCGCUGAUUGUCGUAUCCCACAAAGAUACAUCUGACUGCUUUCUUAUCGAUCUUGCUACGUAGAUGGUCAGGAACAAAUACAUAGCAUACACAACCGAAUACUCGAAGAUAGCUAACUGUAGGUUUCUUGUUCCACAAUUUCUCAAAGGGUGAAACAAACUCCAACCUUGGUUGAGGAAGCUUGUUGAUGACAUGAGCUGCAGUUCUCAUACCUUCGGCCCAAAAUCUUCCAGGUGCAUUCUUCGCAUGUAGCAUACUCCGGCAAAUUUCAGCAAGGUGCCGAUUCUUCCUCUCUGCUACACCAUUUUGUUGUGGCGUAUUGGCACAAGUAUACUGAUGACGUAUUUGGCAUUCCCGUAGGUAUUGAGAAAACUCUCUCGAGCUAUACUCACCCCCGUUGUCUGUGCGCAAGCAACGAAUCUUUUGCUCCACUUCUCCUUCGACUAUCUUUUUGAACUCUUUGAACUUUGAGAAUGCUUUAGAUUUUUCUUUCAUGAAAAAAAGCCCAUACAUAUCUGGAGAAAUCAUCAAUGAACGUAACCAUAUACCGCAUUCCGCCAAUUGAUGGUUGCUUAAAGGGUCCAAACACAUCAGAGUGAAUUAACUCUAAUGGUUUCUUUGCUUUAAACUUCGACUCCUCGUAUGGCAAUUGAUGUGCUUUACCAUAUUGACAUCCCGCGCAAACAGUAUUUGUUCUCACGUCAAGUUGAGGAAGUCCCUUAAGCAUCGACUUCUUCACCAUCACACUUAGCUUGGAAUAACUAACAUGACCUAGCCGCAUGUGCCACAGAUCUGCCGUGUCAUUCCUUCUUGUCUUGUCCACGUAUGCAGACUCAGCUGACAUCACAUAAACUGACUCCAAUCGUCGUCCCUCCAUCGUAGGCUUUUCUGAGAUCUUCAGGUCUCGGAAUACCUUCACAUUUUGUGGACCAAACAAGACAUAGUGGCCUGAUGAUGUCAAUUGAGCUACGGAUAGCAAAUUUUUCUUCAUUCCUGGAACAUGGUAGACAUCUUGAAGUGGCACUUGGUUGGGACUAUAUCGAAGUGUAACGAUCGCUUUACCGAUGUGAGCUAUCGGUAACCUUGAGUUGUCAGCUGUUACUACCACACGAUUUCCCUUGUACUCAGAACAGUUUUGCAACUUCUGUCUAUCACCUGUCAUGUGAUUUGAGCAGCCUGAGUCUACGAUCCAAUCAUUCUCGUAGUUAAUCUUUUCCGAUGUUGUUACCGUGAGAGCUAAUUCUUCUUCCUCUAUAGCGAGUAAUGCUUCGGCAUCCCAGCUAUCUUCACUAUCUUCUUUAGAACUAGAAGUAGCAAUAUUGCUUUCGGUAGACUUCUUUUUGGACCAACAAUCUCUCUUCAUGUGGCCCUUUUUCCCGCAAUUGUAACAUUCGCCAUCGAACUUUCUAUUACUGUCACGAUUCUUCGAAGCUCCCCCUGGACGAGAGCCAUUCCCUCCCUGAUGACUUUUUGUCUGUUCACCAGUCUUUCUAGAUCCACCUUUGUUGUGCUGUCUUGAACCACUUCUGCUUUGGUUGGUGUAAAGCACUUCCUCUUCACCCUUUAGUGAGACUCUUCCCAUUUUCUUGGCCAUAGCUUCUUGGGCUGUCAGCAAAUUUUCAAACUCAACAAGUGAUGGUUGUGUCGGCCAUCCUUGUACAGCGGCUACAAAGCUUCGGUAUUCGGGUCUUAAGCCAUGGACAAUUAUUCUUUUUAUCCUGGCUUCCCCAAUAGUAGUUGUCGGAUCUAAUUCUGAAAUUUCGCGGCAUAUCGACUUCACCUUGUGAAAGUAUUGGGCAACCUCCAUGUCGCGUUGCGCCAUUGAUAGAAGUUCAUUCUCGAGAAGUUACAAUUUUGUAUUGUUCCUCUUUGAAAAGAGUGUAGCGAAGGUGUCCCACGCUUCCUUCGGUGAUUUAGCAUCCCGAAUGUGCUCCAACAUUUCUUCUUCUAUUGUGGUCUUUAAAGCAAACAUUGCUUUGCCUGCUUUAAUUUUCCACUUCCGCAAGACGCCGUUAGCAUCUUCCGCUGCCGGUUGUGUAACUUCACUACCAUCGACAACCUCCCACAAGUCUUGACCUUGAAGGUAAGACUCUAUACACAUUGCCCACGUGUUAUAGUUUUGGUUGUUGAGCUUCUUGAUUCCUCCAACAACUUGAAGAUCACCCAUCGUAUCAACAAGACUUUGACUACACUGAACAAGCUUGAGUGACUACCGUGCAGAGUAAUACACUACUCUUGACACAAAGAAGCUCCCUCUCAAGGUUUGUGAUAACCCUAGCAAUAAUCUCAAGAAAUCUUUUCUGAUGUGGAAGAUCAGUCAAAACUGCAACCACAGAGCAUACUCGGAAUUUCAAGAGACUUUACAACCAAUGCUCUGAUACCAAAUGUUGAAUCAAAAUAGAGUAAAAACUCUAAUUGAUCAAGAAGAAUAAAAACUCUCUUUAGAAUAAUCUCACAAAAUUGCAAAAGAGAAGAACUCUUAAGAAAACUUUCAAAUGCUUAUAAUAAAGCUUUGAUUGUUGAAUGAUAAAACUCAAAUACAAAUGAGGUAUUUAUAGGUUACAAGAAACAAUCUAAACCACUCAUUAAAAUAACCACAAACUAAUUUAAACCAUUGAAAUUAAACAUGGGAAAAAUACCUAAUUUUCACCUAACUAAAUUGAUGUAAGCAAUGACAUCAAAUUAAUUUAGGUGUGGACUUAUUUGGGCUAAUAUUGACUUCUCAACAAAAGAAUCCUCGAAUUGCUUGGUGAGUUACUAUUUGUACUUUGCACUUGUGUUCCCAACCACGAAAUAUAAGACCUGAUCUUCCUUUGAUUUUGUCUUCAAAAAUUUCAUUUACGCCCAUUUCUCAAGCUCUUUUCGAUGCUUCUGAAGCUAGGCCAGGUUCUAUUAUUGUGGGACUGUAAGAAGCGUCUGAUGCGUCCACUAUUUGAAGAAGCCAAUUAAUUAUUAUUUCUAGAGAAUCGGUUUUUUGUAAAUCACGCCACUUUAAACAUUUGGUUUCCAUUAAUUGAAGCCAUACUUCAUCAGCCCUAGUUUCUUUGUGAAAAAUCUCCAGUGUCUCUAAUGAUCCGAUAUUGAUAGCUUUAGAUAUCUGAGCUAGAUGUGGCAAAACAAAUUGAUGCAAUAAAUUUACAGAGGCCAUAUAGAAGCAGAGUUUUGUGUUGGGGAAAAAUCAGGUUUUUAAAAUUUUAUAAAACCUUUUAAGAUCUCUCUCAUACGAUAUAUAAGAAUUUAUAAUUUAGAAAUCGUACCUUGAAAAUCCGAUUUGGCUUUUUCCGCUGAAGUGAUUUAGGCUCCUAGAUCACGAUCCGUCACUACUACUCCUGUUAGAUCACGAUUAGUCACCACCACGCUUGUCAGAUCACGAACUGUCACCAAUGAUCUUCCAGAUUAUGGCUCAUGUUUGAUCUGCACUUGACCUGUGGACGCCUUUAUCACUACCAAAGCAACUAGCAUGAGAAAAUUUUUCUCUCAACAAUAGAGAGAAAAAUCUUUUUCUCUAAUCUGUAUAAAGUGACUGCUCUCUAUUUUCUUUAGAGAAAAUAAGCUUUUUAUAUCUUCCUUUAGUGAAAACCCUAGGCUCCAAAUAAUUAAAAAACAAAACUCACGUUACUUGCUUUUUCUAUAGGGGACCUACCUUGUAAAAUAACAUAAGGCUCCUUACACACAAGUUAAUUAAAUGGAGCCUCCCACUAAAUGAUAUAUUUAGGUUUUUGACCCAAAUAACUAGUUAUCUUACUUAUUAGUCCAGUCGUGGUGCAUUCAAUUAAAUGAGCUAACCCGGAGAUCAUUUGAGAACGUACAAUAGUGGCUAUAAUAAUUAGGCCUAUAAAUAAACUAGCCUAAUUAUUUAAUUCCAAAUCUACUCCACUAAAAGAUUGGAAUUGACCUCCAUAAUUGUAUGCUCGAAUAAUAAUUCGUCCCAAGUCACAUUGAUUUCUUUACUACACAAUCCUUUGUACCACAUCAUUAAUUAAAUCGAUAUCUCAACUGUCCAAUCAAUUUAAUUAUAUCUUGUUCCUUGAUACUUACUGGUUUUCUCUAAUGAUCAUUUUCAACAUACUAAAUAUGUUGACACACUCUGGCCAAAGAAUUCUAUGAUCAAGUGCCGAAAACCCAUCAAGAGAUGUGUUGUACAAAUUCUAUAUUGUUAAUCUAUAAUUCCAAUGCUCAUAAAUGCUCCCACCAAGAUACCAGGUAAUCUAGACUACAAGUAUGUGUCAUGCCCAUUGGUAACUUAAAUGGAAUAACAAUUACAAUCAUGAAAUCAUAAUUAACUCAAGAUUAAGAUUACAGUAAAAUCAAUGCCUAUGAGAUUUAAUAAGUCUGACAGUUAUUACAAAGUUAAUUAAAUCUCAUAUGUGAUCUUGUUCAAUGUAGUCGUACUACAUCAAUAAAUUCAUACAUGAUUAAGACAAAUCAUUCAAUGAAUUUAUUACAGUCUAUACCUAAAUAAAGUGCCCAACUUUAUUUAUUAACUGCGAACUAAAUUUAUUUAAUCAUAAGAUAACUUGUAUUUAUGUCUUCUGUGAAUCUACAUGGUGAUCACAUAAAUACAUAUAAUAUGAUUAAUUGGACUUUAAUAAAAAUAUUAAUGCAAUUAAGGUAUUUGAAUAAAAUAUCUCAUUAAUUUUAUUAAUCAGAAAAAAUAUUUAUUACAAUUAAAUCAACACAUAUGCUUUUAAAGAGCAUAUUUUCCCAACAAUCUCCCACUAGCUCUCAAAGCAUAUUUGACAUCUCACGCAUGCCCAUGGAUUCUAAGUGGAACUUAAAAGGUUUCCCAGGCAUGGCCUUAGUAAAAGGAUCUGCCAAGUUUUGCUGUGACGCAAUUUGAGUAACCUCCACAUCAAAAACAGAAAUGAUCAACUCAAUUAACAAGGUUUCAAGAACAGGUUCUCAAUACAUAAACCUAAAACGAAACAAACACUGCCAAGAACAAUAACAAAUUUGCGUGGUUCAGCUGUACCAAUGAGCCAAAACUUUCAUCUACGGGAGAAGCUUUCUUGUGAGUUUUAAUUGAUGAUCAAUGGAGAUUUUUUACAAAGCAAUUACAAAAGAUUACGGAGAAUACUCUGGAACUUUCCCUCUCUUUUGUUUCUCUCUAUAUUGCUUGUUGAUGCUGAAAUCGGCUCGCCCUUUGCCCGACCAGAUUUUUGCACCAACGUUUUCGUUAUCAAUAAUGAAAAUAUCAAUUCUUUCUUGCUUCGACGCUUGCUCCGGCCACUGAAGUUGGAAUUGUCCCUAUUUUUCUCACUAAGCCUGCAUUCAUAAAAAUGGAUAAGAGACGCCGGUGGUUUUGCCGGCGUAAACCCUCUGAUGCCUAAGUUAGCACAAGGUGUCUACGGGAAAAUGGUGCAAUUAAGGUUCAAAUAAUUGCUUAGAAUUGGCUCACUCUCGGUAUUGAAAAGUGUUUGGAUACAAUUUAGCAGAGUUUUCCCUUCUCUCAGUUUUUUCUCCCCCUUCUUCAUCGAUUUCUUCUUCUUUUAUAGCCACUGUCCCACGUUCCCGUUUAUCCUUCAUCCCUCUUUUUUUUGGGUGGUGGCAGCCCCUCAUGGGACUCUAACUGCUACAUUAUGGGCAAACAUGAGAUCUCGCGUCUCCCGCAACGGUUCUAGGAAAAGCGCAACUACCGUGAUUCUGUGGGAUCGUAUUCCCGCUUUUUCGGGGGAUGGGUAUUGGCUCGGUAUAUACCUCUGGUCGGUAUACUCCCCUGGUUGGUACCCGUCUCUGGUCGGCUGAUAUUUGUCCCCGUGUUCGGCUCGUACCAUUUGGCUGAGGUGAUCCAUGUCGGGGCGAAAAUAGUAGCAUGGUCGACCUGGUGCUUUUACUUACUUAACACCAGUUCCCCAGUUUCUGGUCUUACGAGUGAAAUGAGUUAAGAGUAGAAACUGAUAGUCAAAUCUUACCAACCCGGGGGCUUCUCAUCUGGUCUUCUGUUUACCGGGACGGGCCUGAGGUACCAUUUUUCUUCUGGGGAGGUUCCGACCUUAGCGUGGGCCUUAAUGAGCAUGUCCAUUGCGUAUCUGGGCUUGCAUCUAGCCUGGCUUCUUGUAACGGUUAGUGACGUGGCAUCUCCAGACUCUUCGUAUUUAAAAUUUGAAACGAUGGGCUAUUCGUCCUCGAUAUACGGUAAGUGAGCUGGCAUCCCCAUCACUUAAAUGCUUUCAUUUCCUCAUUUUUGUUUCAAAUCCCUAGACUUGCAUCAUCAUCGUUUCGUUAUUCGUCUCUCCGUCGUUAACCUACCCCUUCUUUGAACUAUACUCACACUUCUUGCGUCCAGAGUAUCUACUUGCUGGGUUUUUUCUCUGUCACGGCAGCCCUAUCAGGACCAGUUCAUUCCAGGUAUUGCUUUUAAUCUCUUCUCUGGUUGUUGUUGAUUGGGUUCUGUGUUGCCCCCUUUUGUAUCCGUGUACUCGAGUUUUCUUUGUUUUCUUUUGGGAUUCCGAUAUGUUAAAUCGAAAAAGGAAGUUAAUUGUUGAUGAAAGUGAUGAAGAAACAGGGGAUUCAGACCUUAACGUGUCAAUACCCACCGAUUUCUUAGGUCCCUCCAAUAGUGUAGGUCCUUCUCAUGGCAGGGAUAGCCUUGAAUACCACCGUCCCUUGACCAUUUUACCUUCCCCUGAAUUAGAGCUUGUGGGGAAUAGAGGUGGACCCGCAUCCGGCUCUGGUGAGGAUCAUAGUUAUGGUGGGGUUGGGGUCUCUAAAGAAGUGGGUGAUGGCGAGGGAAGCAGUUCCGAGCCGAGCGGACCCUCUAGGAAAAGGAACCUUGGCCAUAGGGUGGAGGCGGAUUCUUACCCCAUUGAUUUCAUAGCUUGUGCCACUACCCCCACUGAUCUAUUCAAGCUUAGAAACCUCUACAACAUUCCCGAGGAGGUUCUCCUUGUAGUUUCUGGGAAAGGUGAUGUACCUAGUCGGCCUCCGAAGGGGUAUGUAACGAUGCACUUGGAGAGUUUCAGACUAGGAGCUCGGUUGCCCCUUCAAUGUUAUUUUGCCAAGAUAUUGGGCGGUAUACACCUGGCCCCAGGUCAGCUACACCCGAACGGGUGGAGGGUUCUCUCGGCUAUGUUUGUGCUAUGGGAGAGGUGUGGGUCGGAGGAGCCUUCCCUUGUUGAAGUGAAGCAUCUGUACCAGCUGCAGAGCAGCCCAAAGGAGGCAGGCUGGUACUACUUCAUGUCCAAUCUGCAAAAAGGAAACCGAUCACUGAGUUUCCUUCUUCAUGUAAGAAUUGGAAGAAUAAAUUCUUCUUUGCUGGAGGAAACUGGUGUCCAGCAGUCCGGUCGCUUGGUGGGGAUAUUUACCUUCCAACGCAUUUUGUCACCCCAGGUCGUUCAUUUUUGCCUAUAUUCUUAAUCAAAAUUGCCACUUAUUGGAUUCUUUAACCUUGUAUGUUUUUUCAGAAUCUUGGGGUUUGGUUAAGGACUUUGAAGACCGACCUUUGCUCCAGGUUGAAAUUGCUCUGGUGAACGCGUCUACCUGUCAAGACCUGCUGUCGCCAACAAACUUGGUCGGUUCAGGUUUAGUAGACAUAGCUGUUGGAAUGAAUAACAAGAUCCUCAGUUCUAUGACCAGAAAGCGUGGUCGGGCUCCGAACAGAUCCAGCAACCCUCCCAUUUCUUCAAAGAAAGUCAGUGUUGGUCCUUCUAAGGCUUCUGUUCCUGCUCUGCCCCCACCUCCACCUCGUAAGAGUGGUGGGGAGAAAUCUACUGACAAGAGUUCAGAGGUCAGCACUUACUCUGGAGACCGAUCCUCUCCUCUUCCGGCUCGUGAUCAGGGUGACUACCUGACCCCGUAUAAGAGGGACUAUGGGAAGUUAGUGGGACCGAAAAUGGUCCAGGACAUUGAGAGCAUGAAUCUCAGUGAAUUGGCUGGUUCCGUCCAGAGGGUCUCCUUCAAGCUGACUACCAUAGUUUCUUGUUAUAAGAACAGGAUCACACGCCAUGACAAGACGCUUCAAGCUGACAAUCAGGACUUGAAGAAGAGAGUUGAGUCUGCUGAUCGUUUGAAGGAGAAAAUUGCGGUUGCUGAGUCCACUUCCUCCAAACUUGAGGGUGAGUUAGCUGACCUGAAGUCUGGUCUUCAGGCUACUCAAAGUGAAAGAGAUACUCUGAGGACCGCCCUUGAGGGAGAGAUCAAAUGCCUGAGUGAGCAGCUGGCUGAGGAGAAAGGCAAAUCCGCUGAUAUGGAUGAUCGGUUGGAUGCCGAGUAUGACUCUGGGAUUUCUUUCUCCUAUAAGUGCAUCCUGUCUGUGCUUAAGGAAGAAUAUCCCGAGCUGGACAUGAGCAAGCUGGAGGCUGGAGUGCAGCGGUAUAUGGCGGAGAUCGGCCAGGUAGAUAAGGAGCAGGGUGAGCAGGAUCAGGUGGAGGCUCCUUUAGAUGGGAUGCAGGAGGGGGAAGCUGGUGGACGUGCUUUUGAAGUGGGACAAGGGUCCAUGCCUCCUCCCCUUAGUGUUGCUGAUCUUCCACCUCCAAAGAUAACUAAUCCUUCACCUGCUGAAGCCGUUGACCCUCCUAAUCCUUAGGUCUAUUUUUGUAUAGACUCUAGAUUUUCAUUCGUUUUGUAAACAUUUAAAUAUUUAUAAAUUUUUAGAUGCUCUCUAUUGGCUUUCUUGUCUAGUUUUUGCUCAUAGAUUGUUUUUGCAAAAUAAUUGGACAACUUAUUUGAUUUUGUCUGCUGGUUCCUUAGAGGACCGACCAGGAGUAGACAUUUACUUGCCUUAGUAAAAUUUUCGUAAAAUUUAUUGCUGGUCUUUCGUUGACCGAGCAGAAGUAAACACUUACUUGCCUUAGUAGAAUUUUCGUAAAAUUAGCUACUGGUCUUUUGUUGACCGAGCAAAAGCAGACACUUACUUGCCUUAGUAGAAUUUUCAUAAAAUUAGCUGCUGGUCUUUUGCUGACCGAGCAGAAGUAGGCACUUACUUGCCUUAGUAGAAUUUUCGCACAAUUAGCUGCUGGUCUUUUGUUGACCGAGCAGAAGCAGACACUUACUUGCCUUAGUAGAAUUUUCGUAGAAUUAGCUGCUGGUCUUUCGUUGACAGAGCAGCAGCAGGCACUUACUUGCCUUAGUAGAAUUUUCACAAAAUUAGCUGCUGGUCUUUCGUUGACCGAGCAGAAGCAGGCACUUACUUGCCUUAGUAGAAUUCUUUAAUGGGCUUGUUAGCAGGGGGAUUUCAUGUUGAAUUCAUCUUUAUUGAAAUUUAAAUGUGUUACAGAAAUACAGAAUAUAUGCAUGUGCAACAAGCCAUCAUGCAUUUAGCAGAUAUAAUUUAUCAAAAUAAAGAUUUAGUAUAGCACUUUGCUUACUGGAAAUACUUCUUUAAGUGCUCGGCGUUCCACGACCUCUUCACGUCUCGUCCAUCCGGGUAUGCUAACUUAUAAGCUCCUGGUCCAACCGCUCGUAUCACCCUAUACGGGCCUUCCCAUUUUGGGCCAAGAGCACUAUGGUUGGGAUCCCUAGUGUUUUGAUUCACCUUCCUAAGUACCCAAUCUCCUGCUCGGAAUUGCCUCAUGCGUACGUUCUUGUUAUAAUAACGCAUGACCCUUUGUUGACACUGGGCCGCUUUUUGCGAGGCCCCUUCUCUUUUCUCCUCCAGCAAGUCUAGGCUCAAGCAGAUUUGUUCUCCAUUUUGCUCCUCAUUGAAGUAUUCCGUCCAGUGUGUUCCUAUUCCAAUUUCUGCUGGGACUACCGCCUCAUGACCAAAUACUAAAGCAAACGGAGUUUCCCCUGUAGCAGUUUUGUGAGUUGUCCGGUAAGCCCACAAUACCCCUGGUAGCUCGUCAACCUAAGCUCCAUUCUUCUCUCCCAGUUUAGUCUUUAGGAGUUUCUUUAUCACUUUGUUGGCUGCCUCCACUUGCCCGUUUGCCUGGAGGUGUGCGGGGGUGCAGAACUUCAGGUCCACCCCUAAGUUCCGGUAAAAUUCUCUGAAAUUAUUGUUGUCAAAUUGCCUCCCAUUGUCUGCAAUGAUGACAUAGGGGAUCCCGUAUCUGCAGAUGAUAUUCUUCCAAAUAAAAUCUGUCGUCUUUCUCUUCGUAAUUUGGCUGAGGACUCCCACUUCUACCCACUUGGUGAAGUAGUCUAUUGCCACAAUCGCAUGUGUUGCCGCUCCUCGGCCUUUAGGUAAUGGACCGAUCAGGUCGAUUCUCCAUUGGGCAAAAGGCCAUGGGGAUGUCAUUGUGGUCAGCUUUUCUGGGGGUUGUGCAGGAACCUCAGAAAAGAUUUGGCAUGUUUUACAGUUCUUUGCCAUCUUUUUUAUAUCCUGGUGCAUGGUUGGCCAGAAGUAUCCUUACUGGAGUGCCUUGAAGGAUAGAGUUCUUGCUCCCGAGUGAUUGCCACAUAUUCCUUCAUGAAUCUCCCUUAGUACAUAAUCUGCCUCCUCAUCAUCCAAACAUCGUAAAAGGGGCAAAGUGAAUCAUCGGCGGUAGAGCACCCCAUCGAGUAGUGUGUACCUCGCUGCUCGACAUUUUAACUUUCUUGCUUGCCUUUUGUCCUCCGGUAAAAUGCCAUCGCGGAUGUAUGCAAGAAUCGGGUCCAUCCAGGAUUCUUCAGUGCUUACUCUCAUUACCUCUACUUCCUCUCCUAUACUCGGCGAGGUUCUCACCUCUAGUGGAACUGACUUAGAUAAUUUAGAAUCUACAGUUGCAGCCAUCCUAGCCAACAUGUCAGCUCGGUAAUUUUCAUUUCGGGAUAUUUGCUUCACCUCUACCUUACUUAAGAGUUCAACCAUUUACUUCGCCUUCUUCAAAUAAAGCCCCAAUUUCUCUUCUCUUACUUGGAAUUGAUCGCUGAGUUGAUUACAUACUAGUUGGGAAUCUGCUCGGAUUUCUACUCUUUCUGCCCGUAGUGCAUGUGCAAGAUCGAGCCCAGUAAUGAAGGCCUCAUAUUCAGCUUGGUUGUUCGUAAGCUAGAACUCAAACUUUACAGCGUAGGAUACCUCGAUACCUUUUGGGCUUCGUAUUAUAACUCAUGCCCCGGAUCCUUGUUCACUACGUGACCCAUCAACCAUUACCAGCCAUACCCCCUUUGGAUCCUCUUGUUCUGCUGGUUGUUCCUCUUGGACCUCUUCCCCUGAUUCAACACGGUCAACCAUAAAAUCAGCUAGGGUUUGGGCCUUGAUUGCUCCUCGGGGCCUGUAGGAUAAGUCGAAUUCGCUUAGCUCCACGGACUACUUCACUAACCGCCCUGAUGCAUAUGGUUUUUGGAGCAUUUACCGAAGAGGCUGGUCAGUCAUCACAAUUAUCGGGUGGGCCUGAAAAUAUGAUCGCAGUUUUCGUGCUGCCGUUAUUAAAGCCAUUGCCCAUUUCUCCAUCAAUGGGUACCUAAUUUCUGCGUCUACCAGGGCUUUACUAGUGUAAUACACGGGGUGUUGCUUCCCUUCUUCUUCUCGGACUAACACUGAGCUGGUAGCCCAUUUUGAGAUUGCUAAGUACAAAAACAGCUGGUCACCUUCUCUCGGAGUUGAUAGUAACGGGGCAUGGGCCAGAUAUUCCUUUAGUUGCCCAAACGCCUCCUCACAUUCUGAUGUCCACUCUAUUUUCUUCCCUUUAUUUAUGAUUUAGAAGAAAGGGUGGCAUUUAUCCGCGGCCCGCGAGAUGAAUCGGUUCAAUGCUGCCAAUUUCCCUGUAAGACUCUACACCUCCUUAACUGUUCGUGGAGAUCUCAUUUCUGUUACCGCCCGUAUUUUUUUCGGGUUGGCCUCAAUCCCUCGGUGGCUCACCAGGAAUCCCAAAAAUUUACCCGAGCUGAUCCCAAAUGCACAUUUCUCCGGGUUUAGCUUCAUUUCAUACUUCCUCAGCAAUUCAAAGGUUUCUUCCAAGUGUUUCACGUGAUCCCUCGGUUCUUUGGACUUUGUGAUCAUAUCGUCCACAUAUACCUCCAUAGUAUGACCGAUCAAGGGUUUGAAGAUCUUAUUCACCAACCUUUGAUAGGUAGCUCCUGCAUUUUUCAGGCCAAAAGGCAUCACCCUGUAGCAAAACAAACCCAUGUUAGUUAUAAAAGUGGUGUUUUUCUCAUCUUGUUUGUCCAUGGGUAUCUGGUUGUAUCCCGAAAAGGCAUCCAUGAAGCUGAGCAGACUGUGACCCGCUGUUGAGUCCACCAAUUGAUCUAUCUUUGGUAGGGAAAAACUAUCCUUCGGGCAUGCCUUAUUAAGAUCUGUGAAAUCCACACACAUUCUCCAUUUUCCGCUGGCCUUCUUUACCAGUACUACAUUGGAAAUCCACUAUGGGUACUUGGCCUCCCUUAUAAAUCCUACUUUCAACAGCUUCUCCACCUCUGCGUUUAUGGCCUCGUACCUUUCCUGGUUAAAGCAUCUCCUCUUCUGCCUCACCGGCCUCGCCCCCUUCUUGAUUGUCAACUUGUGGCAAGCUACCCCGCGAUCAAUUCCUGGCAUGUCCUCGUGAGACCAGGCGAAUAUAUCUGUAUGAGACUGUAGGCACUUUACCAGCUUGCCUUUUACUGCUCCGACAAAUCCUGAUCCGAACCUAACCACUCUGCUCGGGUUGUUUUUAUUUACCACAAUCUCUUCUAGCUUCUCAACAGGUUCUUGGCGACCCUUUUUAGAAUCUCCUCGGUUAUCUAGAGAAGUAACCUGUAAUGUCUCCUUGGCUGUUGUAGCAUAACAACUCAUUGCCAUCCUCUGGUCGCCUUUUACUACACCAACCAACCAUUCCGUUCACUUUGUACUUCAGUGCCAAGUAAUGCGUGGAUAUGACGCAUUGGCUUAUCCUCAUGAAUGGUCUUCCCAAUAUCAUCUGGUAAGGGCUUCUCUCCUCUACCACGACAAAGUCCAGCAUCAUCGUUCUUUCAAACAGCCUUGUCCCCACAUUAAUCGGGAGUUCGAUGAUCCCCAUGGGAGUUAACCGUCCCCCUCCAAAUCCCUUUAAGGAUGUAUUCGUCCGUUCCAAUUUCAAGUCUGCAAUCCCCAUAUCAUCUAGGGCCAAUUUAAACAGGAUGUCAACCGAGCUACCCGUGUCUACCAGUAUUCGUCGUAAUUCUAUACCAGCCAUCAUUGCUUUAAUCACCAGUGCAUCCUCAUGAGGAUAUAAAAUACCCUCUUCAUCGUCAUCUGUCCACAUAAUGGGAACUUGUCGUACUUUUGCCUUCUUGGCUGCUGGCAAAUUGAAAAGCACUUCUUUGCUGGUCAUGGCGUAUCUCCCAUAGUUCUUCCGUGCCCUGUUCGAAUCCCCAGCCAAGGUUGGCCCUCCUGCUAUCACACGGAUAGUCGGCUGUUCACGUUCCAGGCCCCUCUCACCUCCUUCAUCCCGAGUGUACUGUGAUUCAAUGACGGGGGACACCCCGUCUACAUAUUCAUCCAAAUAACGAUUUCUCACCAAAUCCUCCACCUGAAUCUUUAAGUCACGGCAUUGGCUGAUAGUGUGACCGUGAGUGUCGUGGAAUUUACAGAAUUUGCUCUUAUCCCGUCGGUGAGCAGGUUUUGUUAUAGGGGCUGGGGGGUAUAAUAGGCCUCGUCCCUCGAUUCUCUCAUACAACUCCUCCAUAGGGACUUUUAACGGGGUCAGCUGGACUGCUCGGCUAUCAUGAAUAUCGUCCCAAGUAGAUAUUGAAGGUAGUUGACCUAAUCGUCCCGUUCUGAAGUUGGCUGUAUGUAGUGCUCUGGGAGCGUUGUGAUAAGGAUGGUUAGCCAACUGCCGGAAUUCUCGUUGCCGCUCUAGGAAUGGGGGGCGCGGGGGCUGAGCCCGAUUCUGUUUGACCUGUUACGGUCUCUGAGCCAUGGGGUAAGGGCGAGACCGAGCUGAUACUGCAUCCAUCAUUGAGGACUCCCCAGCUCGCUUUCCCGACCCGCUCCCACUUGGGGUUCUCAUUUCCUUUCGCCUCAGUUCCUCCAGCUGUUCACUCUUUAUCCUUGCCAAUUUUUCUUCUUCGAUUUCAAUGUCUCUCUUUGCCUGCUCAUACCCUACUGAAUAAUUCUGCACCAGGGGACUUCUCAGAUUAUACCAUAGCCGGCCUGUCCUCACACCCUCCUUUAAUCCCCUCAACGCUUGCGGGUGAUUGAAAGCUCCCAAAUCAAGCGUGGCUCGGUGGUAUCGCUUUAUAAAAUCUCGAAGGGGUUCUUGUUCCUCCUGCUUCAUCCUCAUUAGUUCCAUCAUAUCAUCCUCUGGGGCCACUGCUCCUCGGAACUGUUCGGCUAACUCUUGGCAUAUCUGCUCGUAUCCUCUGAUACUUCCUCGUGACAGCUUGCGGUACCAUUCUCGGGCUCGUCCCUCCAGUGUCAAUGGGAACACCCUACACCUCUGAGCUGAUGUUAACCCCUGAACACUUGUUAUGUUGUUGAAACAUUCAAUAUGCACCAAUGGAUCACUUCGCCCGGAGUAUUUGAGGUCGGGGAAGCGGAAAUCUCUUGGGAUUAUAGUACCCAUGAUCUCAGUUGAUAGUGGAGAUUCUUCAUCUAGCAUUAUCCUCCAGCUCGGGGGCUUCCUCUUGCCCUGUAUCUCCUCUGUCACUUGUGCUAAUCUGCGCACCUCUCCGUCCAAUUCUACAGCACGGUCAGGAUCACGCUCAGCUAUCUGAUCUCGCUCUUGCUCAGCAUUUUGCAACCGUUGUCUGAGCUCUCCUUCCUCAACACUGGCUCCUCGGCCAUCAGCUUCCAAUACCCGUCCGGGGCGAGGUUGGUCCCUUACUUCAUCUACUCGUUCUCUUGGAACCCGACCAGUGCUUCUGUGGGGAUGCACCCCAUCAGGUUGGUCUGCCAGCGGAGGGAUUUCCUCGACUCUACGCCUCCGGAGGCUGGGUUAUGCUCCAACAUCAUCUCUCCCCACGGGGGUUUCACAAUCCCUUCUCCGCUCAUCCCUCAGCUCAUACAGUAUGGUCGCGAGAGUCUCCAUUUGUUUCUCCAUCCGCUCCAAUCGAUCUUGCAUCAUCCUCUCCCGGGCUUCAUUUGCAAUUUCCCGAAGAGUGAUUGUCUCCACAGCUUCGUUAUCCUCCCUCAAAGCGUCAUUCCUUGGCACAUCCAUGUCUAAUCGUUCGCUGCUUCUCCGGUAACUACUAAUUCGGUGGUAGCUUUUUAUCCAGUUCCCCACAGACGGCACCAAAAUAUUGAUGCUGAAAUCGGCUCGCCCUUUGCCCGACCAGAUUUUUGCACCAACGUUUUCAUUAUCAAUAAUGAAAAUAUCAAUUCUUUCUUGCUUCGACGAUUGCUCCGGCCACUGAAGUUGGAAUUGUCCCUCUGUUUCUCACUAAACCUGCGUUCACAAAAAUGGAUCAGAGACGCCGGUGGUUUUGCCGGCGUAAACCCUCCGAUGCCUAAGUUAGCACAAGGUGUCUACGGGAAAACGGUGCAAUUAAGGUUCAAAUAAUUGCUUAGAAUUGGCUCACUCUCGGUAUUGAAAAGUGUCUGGAUACAAUUUGGCAGAGUUUUCCCUUCUCUCAGUUUUUUCUCCCCUUUCUUCAUCGAUUUCUUUUUCUUUUAUAGCCGCUGUCCCACGUUCCUGUUUAGCCUUUAUCCCUUCUUUUUCGGGUGGUGGCAGCCCCUCAUGGGACUCUAACUGCUACUUAUGGGCAAACGUGGGAUCUCGCGUCUCCCGCAACGGUUCUGGGAAAAGCGCAACUACCGUGAUUCUGUGGCUGUUGUUCUUCAAGUGCAGAGUAAUCAGCUCAGUGCUAAAGUUUCCAAGACACGGGGGAAUUGUUCCGCUCAAAUUGUUGUCAGAUAAGGAAAGAUAUUGAAGGAAACUCAAGCUGCAAAUAGAUGGAGGGAUCCGUCCAGACAAUUUAUUGUUUGAAACUAAGAAGACUUCAGUUGAAGGUGGUGGAACCAGAAUUGAUCCUUGGAUUCUGUUGUUUCUCAUAUCAAGGGUGGUGAUAUUCAUCCAUGGAUGUAGCUCUAUAUGUGUCAAAAAAUUGUUGGAAAGAACAAGGACAGUCAAACUCUUGCAUCCUUGAGAACCAUAUUUCGAAAUCCGACCAUGAAUUCUGCUGUUAGAGAGCUCUAAGACUCUUAAAUUUUCUGAGUUUCUCAAGAAACUUGGAAACUCACUGACAUUGCAAUUAGAGAAACGCAAAAUCUUAAGGCUAGGUAAGGAAUAUUCGAUAAAGAUAUUGGCAGAAGAGGUAAAUGAGAGUAGGCUGUUAUUUGAAAGAUCAAGAAAUUGAAGCUUUUGUAAGUUUGAGAACUGGUCAAAUCUGAUUGCGCCACCAAAUCAUUUGAUGAAAGAUCGAGAAUAGUGAGGUUCACUAAUUGAAAGAUGGAAUUAGGAAUUGUACCACGGAUCUCAUUUUCUUCCAAACGAACAUCCUGUAGUGAAUUAGGCCACUGGAAUGGAUCAAUAGGACCAUUGAGCUUGUUCCAUGCAAGGUUUAUAGAAAUCAAAGAAGGCAGAGUGAACAACCAAGAUGGUACUCUGCCUUCGAAAUAGUUUCCAGAAAGGUCUAAAGUGGUUAAAUAAGACAAUUCACUUACAUGAUAAGGCAGUUGGCCUGUAAAAUGAUUUGAUGCGAACACAAUUUCAGUAGCUCUGGUAAGGUUUCCGAUUGAUGUUGGAAUUGACCCAGUGAAAUUGCAGAAUCCAAUAUGUAAAACCUUCAAGAAAAAUAGAUUUCCAAUUGAAUAUGGUAUUUCGCCUAAAAAAAUACUGAGAGAAAUAUCCAACUUCCUAAGAGAACUAUUCCAAUUAGACUUUGGGAGAUAACCUGUGAGUUGACGGUUUAGUUUUAAAUUGAGUAUUUGAAGAUUUGGAAAACGAAAAAUGUCGUCUGGGAAAUUUCCUUCCAUCGCAGUAUCACCCAUAUCGAGAUCCGUCAUUGUUGAAGACAAGUUUAAUAGAGAAAAGGGUUUGAUCAAAGACAUGUUUGUCUUUCCGAGAUGUAGAAGGCUUCAUUUGUAAGGUUACUCGCAAGCAAAUCAAAAGUUUUUUGUUCGAUUGUCAAGACGCAGAAGGAAAGGACAAGAUGAGUUAGUUUGGACAAGUGGGACAUUUCAUACGGGACUAGACCACCGAAAUUGGAAGCCGAGAGGUUAAGAUACGUCAAUUCCUUCAGCCAUCCAAACUCCGGAGAGAGUUGAGAACCGAGGAAAUUGCUAUAAGCAAGGUUGAGGGAUUGGAGAUGUGAAAGAUGAAAGAGGGUGCUAUUGUCAUCGAUGGUACCUACAAGCCAACUGCAGCUGCUAUAAAGGUCGAGGCCAACCACGUUUCCAGUCACAUUAUCACACGUUACUCCAUCCCAUGAGCAACAAUCGGUACCCUCCGUCCAAGAGUUCGUCUUAGGAGAAGAAUUUUCUUCAUUGCAAAAAGAGUAAUUCGCUGAUCUGACGUAAGUGUUAUUUUUAAAUUGAAGCAAAGCCAAACUUUGUUCGGGAGGGCAGGAAUGAGUUGUUUUAAAAGAAAAGUGAUGGAAAGGUGAUGAACAAUCAACUUGAAAACUAUAACCAAGCAAAAGGAAGUAGAAGAAUAAGAGAGUGCAGGAGACUUUGUUAUAAUGCCAUAUGAACCUCUCCAUGGUUUCUAAGAAUUAAUGCAAAGAAACGAGACAAGGACUGUAUCUUUAGCUUUUAUGUUUCAUUUCCGGGGCGGGCGUGUUGCUAGUUGGUCAAAGAUUGAUUCAAAUGAUACAUUUAACAUUUUCUGAAAUGCAUGAAAUGGAAUGCAAUGGACAAAAAAAAAAAAUUCCAUGAAAUGCAUUAUCCUCCAAAUGACGUGAAAGAAAGCAUACGAUGGAAUAAAUACGAGAGACGGCCGCGGCUGAGUUUCAAGAAUUAUCUUUCAGCUGGCCAAUAUCAUUUGUUGACUGAAAUCCAACGAAUGCAAGGAUUAAUGGGAAAAACAGAAAAAAGUAGUGGAUAACCGGAUGAACGGAUUAAGUUCCAUUUUUUUUUUAAUUCUGUUACUAAAAGGUGUUCACAUUAAUGGUUUUGUUUUUUACCUUGUUUCACAGUAUGGACUUAAAAGAGCAAUCUCGAUUCAAGCAAAUCCAAAGAGUAGGAUAUUUUUAUAUUUGACAUUACAUAUCAUAUGGACAAGUAUGUAAUGGUGCGUUUACUUUAAAAUUGGGAAAAUUGAAAUUCAGAAUCAAAAUAAUUGAGAGUAUUUACUAAUUAAAAGAGAAGGGGGAAUGAAAAUCAAGUAUGUGGAAUCCACAAAUUUUGUAAUUUGAGAAUAGGAACUUGAUUCUCAAGGGGAUUGAGAAUGAAAUUCUCGUUCCCAGAACUACUAUUUUACUCCCAUUAAAUUUUCAUAAUCUCCAAAUUACCUCAACCAAGUACUAUUUCUUUUACAUCUUGAUCCUUACAAAAUUUAUGAAAAUGCUUAGAAAAUUUGUGAUAUUUACAAAUAUAUCCCUCAAUAUUUAUUAUUAUUAAUAUUAUUAAGGUUUUGCUAAGUUACAAUUAAUAUAACUUACAGCCCAACUAAAAUAAUGCAAAAAUCAGGUGGGUUCCACUACCAUUUUAAUCAUUUAUGCAUAUUUUAGGUGAAUGUAAGUUUUAUUAAUUAUCAUUAGAAUCAUUGUAUUUAUUACUGUUAACAUUAUUAUUAUUAUUAUUCAUUUUUUAUUAUUUUUAUUCUUGUUAUUGUUAUUUUUAUAAUAGAUGCAAAUAAUACUAAGUGCAACAAUUAACAAAGAAUAUAUUAAUAACUUAUAACAGUUUAUUUUAAUUUUAAUAUAAAAUAAACACAUGAAUGAGAGUACAGUUCAUUCCAAUUUCAAUUCCUAUAUUUUAAGUAAACAACUUAUUUUGAUUACUUUUUUAAUUUCAACACAAUCCGAUUAUCAAUUAAUGAAUACAUCAUGAAAAUAUAUCCUCUAUUUAUAAAUAAAAAAACCUCAGUUAUGGUUGGAGAUUAGAUCUAAAGUCGCUCGUUCAAUCCCAAGACAAUGGUAACUAUGCAUCUUGUAAAUAAUUUAUGUUUCAUGUCCUUUGUUAGCACGUGAUUUUGUUAGAGAUUUGGUUUAAUCUUCGUUGUGAACCGUUUUUGAUAUUUGUUCCGAUUUUAUUUUAUUCUCACGUGACAUUUAAUGAAAUCACUUGAGUGCGUUGCACUUAUCCACCGGUCGAUGGCCUUGUUUCCGUUACGAAUCAAAGUGUUAUCAGGACACUUUUAUUAUUUCCGUCUGAUAUCAAAUUAACGACACAUGACGCAAUUUAGGUGGUUUGAUGUUAUUGCUGCUAUUAAGGUCAGUAGGCAGUCGUCAAAUGUAAGAGCAUCUCUAAAAGGGUU